rnacentral:lncRNA from 1 species
CGAUGACUUUCCUUCUUUUUCCAUUGAAUCUCCAACCUCGAACCAGCCUUCAAUUUCUAAAGAAUUGAUUUUUCAACUUAUGAUCACAUGCACAUUAAAUUAGGAUAAAAAUUAGAAGAUAGUAAUCACAUGCGCACAAGUAAAAGAAAAUGCAAAAUAAUUAUUCCUAGUAAUUUACGGUUUUAAGUAAAUAAAUGAAUUGGUGAAAGUAAUAAAUAGCAUGUCAAAAUAUAUAUUUUACGUUGAUUAGACUUGAUAGGUUACUCAGAGUGGCGCACAAGUAUAUACACUAAUAAUUUUUCAAGAAUUUGGACCAUAAUAUAUACUCCUUCUAUUCUAUAUUAACUGAAUUUGUGAGACAAUGCACACAUAUUAAGAAAAACAUUUAAGAACAUAACUUAAACCAUAAUUUUUACUAUUGUCCUUUGCGAAAUCAUAAAUAUAGCUUUGUAAGUAGUGUAAUUUAUCUCAUAGAAAAUAUAAACUCCAAUAAUUGAAAGGGUAAAUAUGAAAAAAAUUUCAAACAUUCAUUUUGAACUUUGAACAAUUCAAUUAUUCUGAACAAUGAAAAAAAUCUAAAAAAUUUACUAAAUAUGAAAUGGAAGAAGGACUAAAAAGAUGAGAUCUAAAUUUAAACAAACCAUGAGUGCGUUUGGUAUGAACGAAAUUAUUUUCUGAAAAUAUUUUUUUAACUAAUAAGUGGGUUUGUUAUUUUUUUUUGUGUGUGUUUGAUAUGUUUUCUAAAUAAUAAGAGCAUGUUUGGUAUUGCUGUUAAAAAUUGCUUAUUUUUGAAAAGCACUUUUUUAAAAUGACUUUUUAAAAAAGUGCUUUUGAAAAAAAUAAUUUAUGUUUGGCUAAUUCAUUUGAAAAGUGAUUUUGAUAAACAAAUUGUAUUUUGCUAAUCUUUUUAAAAAAAUGCUUUUGAGAGUCAAAUUACGAAAAAGAGUAAGUAUUAAUGUGCUUUUAAUAUUAAUAUUAUUUUAAAGAGAGAAACUAUUUUAAUUAUCUAUUACAAAAAUUUUAGUUACAAUUUUAUUUUAAUGAUAUUAAAAUGUACAUAUUCAUAAAUUUAAAAAUCAUUCCACAAAUUAAACCACUAUAUACAAAAAUUCACCACAAAAAUAAAUAAAGUCUUUCAUAUGUUUAAUCCUACAAAAUAUUGUUGUUACCUUUAUUUCUAGUUCUGUAAAAUAAAACAUAUAAUAAUAUAUAAUAAUCUAUAAAAUAUAAAUAAUAAUAUAUAAACAUUAAAUAAAUAAUUUAUUAUAUAAAAAUAAAAAAUAAAAUACUUUAAUGAAUCUUAACCAAACUUAUAAGAUAUGCUAAUUAGUUAAUAAGGGAUAUAUUGAUAAAUAUGUAUAUAUGAAGGGGAUAUUUUAGUCUUUAAAAAAAUAUUUUUUUGAGAAGUUGAAAUUUUUAACUUCUUCCCAACGACAACAGAAAAUCUGCUUCUGCUUCCAUUUAAAAGCAGUUUUAAGGACUUGCCAAACACUUAAUUUUUCAAAAUAAUUGUUUUUUCCUAAAAAAAUAAUAAUAAUUUUAGCCUCCCAACAGCAAUGCCAAACAAGCUCUAAGUAAUCAAACGAAAACAUUGAAAAAUAUAUAUUUCCUCCGUACUGAACACACCCUAUAUUAAAAGUGUUUUCCGUAUCAAGAUAUAUUAAGAUCUUAAAUAUAGAGCCAACCAAGAUAUAUAUCUACAAAACUACGUUAAAAGGUCUUCUUCUAUAAAUCAUUUUUCUAGUUCUUAUUAUGUAUGUUUCUUUCAAAUCAAGUGAAUCACAGAAAUACAUGUAAAAAAUGAAAUAGAAAACUAGAAAAAUAUUAUAUUAUACCUUUUUGUUUACUUCCAAGCUAAUAAUUCCUCUCAAAUGGUAGUUUGCCUUGUUGCAGAUUUACAGGAAGCAAAUGUUGAAGAACCUAAUUCACUUAUUUAAAAAGCUUUAUUGUUAGAUAUCUGCACAUGUGAAAAUAGAUUAGUUUAAGUUUAGUAUUGUUUUGAAUUAUUAAAGCAAAGUCUUUCUAUAUAAUUUCCGACAGUCCAUAAAAAUAUUUGUUUGAAAAAAGUUAUUCAAUUAGUCCUAAUCAAGUAAGUUGACAAGAAAAAAAAAUGGCAUUUUAAUGUCACAUUAUUAUUAUAAAAUAAUAAUAAAAAAAGCUAUGAUGUUAAUGCACCAACAAUUGCAAUUAUGUAUUUUUUUGUUGUCUUGAUUUUUGGAAUCAAGUGAAGUGGUUGAUGUUUGAUUUUUGGAACCAAUUCUCAACCAGUAUUUGCUUGACUUUUCUUUUUGUUUAUAAAUUAUUUUUCUACAUAAAUAAAAUUUUAAAUUAUUUGUUUUAACUAAAUAUUGUGUAGUUUUGAUUUGAAAAUUUUGAUGUACCUAUUCAUUUACCACUUCUCCAAGUUUGAACACACUUUUUUUUCUUAACUAAUAUUGUCGUUACGCCGUUGUUUUUGCCCCUCACAAUAAAUGGUAUAUUUUUUUUAUUGUAGCUUAAGUUUAUAUUUUUAUAUCAUAAUAUUUUAUAUAAGUUAUGUUUUUAGUUUGUAAACAACUUGGCAUAAAUUUGUGAAGUUGGUCAAAGUGCAAAGUGGAAUUAUUAUUCUAUCUCUAUUCUAAAUAAAAUAUCUAAUUCAUUAAAUAUUAAAUAAUAUCAUAUAUAUUGUACAAAAUACUAAUACCGGAAAGGUGUUAAAUCAAAAAGUUGAAUAAACUUUUAAAUACAAUCAAAUGAGAAAGACAUUAAAAAUAUGAUAAUGAAACGAUCAUGGCUGAUUUUUGGAACCAAUUCUCAGCUAGUAUUUGCUUGACUUUUCUUUUUAUUUUUUAAAAUUAUUUUUCUACAUAAAUAAAUUUUAAUAUUAUUGUUUAACGAAAUAUUGUGUAGUUUGAUUUGAAAAUUUUGAUGCACCUAUUCAUUUUAAAGAAAAGGAAAAUGGUCUGAUAGACCCUGGUACUUGUAUGUGUUUGUAUUCUGAACCUUUCUACUUACCUCUUUGUCAACUGAACCCUUUAACUCAAUAAAAUUCAACAUCUUAAACCCUUUUGACCAUUGACCAAACUUAUGUGGCAACUUAAUUGUUGAGUUGGCAUAAGUACGUGAUUUUAUGUAAAAAAGGAGCGUGAAAAUAAAAAUUUAGACUAAAAAUAAUUAAAAGAAAAAGGAAAUUACAAUAAAAACAACAAAAUAAAAAUAAAAAUUAUAAACUUCACUCUUUCUUCUUUCCUCCACCCCGUUCCAUUUCUUUCACCUUUGUCACGACCUGAGCCUACACCCUGGACAUGGCUGGCACUCGAGAAUCAUUGCUAGUCCCCAAGCGAACCCUCAUCCUGGCUACCUAUAAGUGAAAGACUAACUCAAGCAUACAAAGCUUAAAACAUAAUGAAAUUCAUGAAAAACUUAAAUACAAGCUUUAACUCAAAAGAAAACUCUGAAUAAAAAUAGAAUAUUCAACUAGCCAACAAUAGGCAACUCAAAUCUUUAAUACAUUUAAUAAGAUAAAUGAAACAGACUUCUCAAACUCUACUAUCUAUCUAUGAAGCCUCUAACUGACAAAGAUGAAAGUUAAGACAAGACCCACGACAUCCUAAAAACUGAUAUAACUAAAAAGCAAAUGAAAUCCUCCGGAAUCAAGGAGACUCACCAUAGCUAACUCGAACUCCAUGUGGUAUCAAUAAAGCUCCUGUUGAUGAUCUUGAAUACCUGAAUCUGCAUCAUGAAAGGAUGCAGGCCAAAUGGCUCAGUACAUGGAAUGUACGAACAUGUAAGGGGAAUUCUAAAGCACAACAUAAGCUUGAACUUGAUAAAAAGGAAACAUACUUACCUCUUCUCAACUCACUCAACUAACUCAACUCAGGAAUAAGAUUCUCAACUGAAAGAUAAAAUAUUCAACUCGGUGAAAUAAGGCUCAACUCAAUAAUAAGAUAUUCAACUCAGUGAAAUAUGACUCAACUCAAUAAUAAGACACUCGACUCUUAGUACUCAAACUCUGGAUACUCAACUUUGGAUACUCAUCUCAAUAUAAAGCAACACUAAUAGAUGCAAUAUAUGGAAAGUUUUUAAAACAAUAGAAAGCAACUCAAUGUAUUUAAGAAUACAUUAUACUCAGUUUGUAUGCAAGGAUACAAUAUAAACUCUGUUUGUAUAUGAAAAUACAAGUAAACUUUGUGUAUAUAAAAAUACAAAUAUCUCUAUGGGAGUUUCUCUAACCGACAACCAUCACUUGAGAGCUAUUGUGAUAAUACAACGUUUUGCCUCACGCUGGAAGGGCCGUCCUAUACCUUGCCAAGGGUAUUGAACCUGACUACUAAGUGGAAAGCACUAAGGAAUCAUCUAAAAAGUAUGACCCUUUUCUACCCAUGGUGGCUACAUGGUUUAUGGGGGCUGUGAGUUAUCUGAACUCCCCCCUCCCAUAUCGGUGCUCAAUACUACUCCCAAAAUAUGAUACUAGCUCUUAUGUUUAAAAACAUACUUCUUUCUGUGAUUUGAGAUAAUUGCUCAAAACUUAGCUCAAAGGCUAUCUUGGAAAUCAAAGUUUUAUCUCUCGCUUAAUUGUGAAAGCAUUUACUCUUUUCUGAAAACUAGCUCAAAGGCUCUUUGGAAAUCAAGGUUUCCUUUUCUUGUUUAAAUGUGAAAACAUUUUCUCUUUGGGAAUACUUAGUUCCCAUAUAAUCUUUUGAAGAAACUGAACUUCAAUUUUACUCUUACUAAAACGUUUGUAAAAGACUUCCUAAAAUAUGGUUCAUGCCGAAUUAUGGACGUGAACGACUCAAUGCAAGGUUUUCAAUAACCAUAGAUAGAACUCAAUACUCAAGACUUAGAACUUGAAGAUACUACUCCUCUCAAUGAUGCUCAAUUUAUGGAGUUCAUGUGGAAUUAUAUGCAUGAACGACUCGACUCAAAGGUCUACAUAACUACAUGGAUCUCAUGUAUAUGACUCUUCUCAUUCUCUUACUUACUUCCUCAAAACUUAGUUCAAAGCAAUAGUUGAUCUCAAAGAAUUCACAAUCGAACUCAAAGACUUUCUUGAACUCUACUCUUAAUUCUCUCUUGAAUGUGAAUUAUGAAUUCAAGAGUUAUAGUUCAUGAUAUGAAGGAUCUCGGUGAUAGUGUAGACUCAUGAAAAGAUUCUCCUCACUCAUAUUCACUUACUUGAGUCUUGAAACAAGUUACUAGAAGUUGUAGAAGACUCCUCAAAAGGACUCAAAAGGGCUUUCUUAAAUGUUCAGAAGAACUCUCAAGACUCAACUCUUAACUUUACCUUGAAUUGGAAUUAUUAAUUCAAGGUUAUGAUUCAUGUUAAGAAUUAUUUCUAAGUGUUUAGAAGUAGUUUAGAGUGAUUAAAAUAAAAGGGAGUGAAGGUACACUUAAAUGGGACUCAAACGGGACAACCAACAGAAAAAGAGUGGGGGUAGGCGACCUUGGCGCGUUCCGGGCGUGGGGCGCCAGCCCCAAACUUAAGAGGCUGCAUAUGGGCGCACUGCAAGGGCGCCGCCCCAGCCUCUCCCCAGGCCGAGUUCGACGAAUUUUCCCUCUCGUUUUCUGAUCUUAAAUCGCUUUUAAUCGAUUUCUUUUCUCAAGUUUUCCUUAGAUUCAAUUACCCAACCUAAGUACACACUAACCCACUCAAAAAAACACUCAAAACAAUCACUUUCAUCUCAAGAAAUCAUCAAAACCCUAAUAAAAUAAGAUUUAGAAUGAACUUCAAGAACUUAAAUCAUUCUACUUUUGAGAAUGAAAUUAAGCUGAAAAUAACAUGUUUGGCGUACGGGUGACAAAUCCAACACUAUGGAAGCUUACAUACCUCUUAGGGAUCAAACCCAUGGCGAAAAUCCACGACAAAAAUCAAGAACCUCGACGAACGCCUUGAUCCUUUCUCUUUUCUCCUCUUCUUUUCUCUUCUUGAACUCUCAACUAAAACCCUAGGCGUAUAUUAGGAUUAUAAAACUGAACCUAAUCAGAUUAGACCUAUAAAACAUUACUAAAAAUGAAUUAAAUCUGAUUGGGUAAGGAAAAGACGAAAAUACCUCUCUAAAAUCCGGUUAUGAUUGUCCUUAUCUAGACAACCCAACUUCUAAUGAACAUAUCUCCCUCAUAUGAACUCGAAACUGAGCAAACUCGGUGGCGUUGGAAAUAAUUCAAAUAUUUUUCCUACGGUAUAUGAUAGAACACCUAACUCAUCCUUAGCUACGAGUUAUGGUCGGUUGAAGUCGACCCUAAACUCAUACUUAGCUUAACCAGCAAAAUUUCAGAUUUUGCUAUUUCUAAUUUAGUUCUUUUUGGAACUCAAGGUGCUACAUCUAGUGACCUGACCUUAAUACUUAAGAAAUUUGAAAUUCCUUAGUGAAAUCCUACUCACAACGAAGGAUGAUUAGAGUCUCAGUUCGUAAAAAAUUUCUGGGGUGUUACAACCUUUCUUGAUCUUCCCCCACCCAAUUCCCCAUUACUUUCGUUCUCCCUUCCUGUACUCCUUUCCAUUUCCUUUUCUCUUUUUCCUUUUUCAUUUUAUCUUUCCCAAAUUAGAAAUGAUAUCGUGCAAAAAAUGAGAACAAAAUGAGCAAAGGAAAAUCAAGAAAAUUGAUGCAAUACCCAAAUCCACGGAAGAAAUAUGUCUAAUGAGUAUCAUGAACUCUUUUUGUUGUUAAAAUUGUUAGCAAUUUUAGUGCUCCAUCUUUAAAUUUGUUAUUGUUCUUGAUUUGUCUUUCUUUUCCAUCUUCUAGGGUUAACUGACAAAGAUCCGGUAGUUUUGAAGGAUAAAAGUAAUUGUUGAAUGUAAAUUAGAUGAAGUAUGUUGGAUAAAUAUAAAUAUUAUAAUCUAUUGAAAUACUUCAAUGGUGAUUCAUUGGCAUCCAUGGAGAAAAGGAUUUUACAUGUGUUGGUCAAGUGAUAUGAAGAUGAAGAUGGAGUAAAAAAAGAAGAAAAAAAAUAAUUUAUUUUAAAAAAUUAAAUAAUAAGUGACGUGUCAUAUAAAAUCUGAUGUGGGUGAUGACAUGUCAUUUUUAUUGUGCGUUUGAAGUUCACACAAGGCCAAAGAGAUUUAAAAUGCUGAGUUUUAUUGAGUUUAAGGGUUCAGUUGGUAAAUGGUUAAGUAAAAGGGUUCAAAAUACAAACACAUACAAGUACAAGGGUCCAUCAGACCAUUUCGCCCAAAGAAAAUACCACUUCUCCAUGUUUGAACACUUCUAACUAAUUUUGUGGUCGCGUCAUUGUUUUUGCCCUCACAAUAAAUGAUAAUUGUUUAUUGUGGCUUAAGUUUAUAUUUUUAUAUCAUAAUAUUUCAUUUAAGUUAUGUUUUUAGUUUGUAAACAACUAGGUAUAAAUUUGUUAAGUUGGUCAAAGCGCAAAGUUGGAUUAUCAUAUUAUCUCUAUUCUAAAUAAAAUAUCUAAUUCAUUAAAUGUUAAAUAUAUAUUAUAUUAAAUACUAAUAGAGAGAAGGUGUUAAAUCAAAAAGUUGAAUAAACUUUUAAAUACAAUUAACUGAGAAAGAUAUAUUUAAAUAAAAAGGUUUAAUAAACUUUUAAAUAUAAUUAAAUGAGAAAGACAUUAUGUAACACCCCGGACUUCAAAAGAGCUAAAUAGAGGUUCGUACAAGUUACCCAUCGGUUUUUAGUUUUGGGUCAACUUUAAAUGACCAUAUCUUUAAGCACAUAAAGAAUUAGGUGGACCAUGAGCUAUCAAAUCGAAGGUGUUUGAGUCCUCUUUCCAACGCCACCAAGUUUGCUUAAUUUCGAGCUUGGUGUAAAAAAUUAUGCUCAUUUGAGUGAAGUCUCUGUUUAAGUCUUUUUAUUCUAUUAUAGAAGGGUAUUUUUGUCUUUUCCUUUUCCCACUAGGCCUAGCAUGUUUUUUCUCUCCCAAUUAAGGGUCUAAUGAUAUGCUAAACCACUCUUGAUCGUUUCUAAACACUUAGAAAAAUAAGAGAAGAGUUCAAGAGGAGAAAGAGCUAGGUUUUGAGCGUUCGUCAAGAUCCCGUCGAUUUUCGCCAAGAACAUUGUUGUUUCCAGGUAUGUAAGACUUCUCACAGUGUUGGAAUUGUUCUUCUUCAUCCCAUACAUCUAGUUAUCCACGAAAUCGUUGUAUCUAAAGGCUUCUUGAGUAGUUCUUGAUAUUUGUUCAAUUCCUUAACAAUGGAGGUUGCAAAUUCUUAUGCUUUGUGAAUCUUUAGUAAAAGUUGUGCUUCCCAAAGGGAUUGUGUUGAAUUCCUCAUGUAUUCGUAUUGGGCUUGAGAAUCAAGAAGAGUUAUAGGAGAAUUUUCCCCCAUUCUAACUGAGUUAGGACCCUAAAUUGAGUACAAAAAUUCUUCGACUUUUUGGGUAUCCGGGUGGGGCGGCACGCCACGCCACCAAGGUGCCAGGAAUUUUGGUAUGUAGUUUGGGGCCUGGAGCCCCACGCCAGCAGUGUGCCCCAAACUUUGGUUAGUAGUUUGGGGACUGACUCCCCAUUCCAGCAGUGAGCUAGGGUCGCCUAAACCUUUUUCUUUUCGUGCUUCAUUCCGAACGUGUUCCUUUGAAUCAUGACUACGUUCUCUUCUUUGUAUUAGCUCCUAAAGGCUCCAUUCAUCCUUGAGAGAUCAUAUGUGUCCUAAUCACAUGUCUUAAUUUACAUUCCAAACUAAGUGAGUUUAAGAGGAAAGCUCAAGAGGUGUUUUUGAGUCAUUUUGAGGAUUCUUUAAUCAACAAUGGUUUUGAACUAAGUCUUGAGAAAGUAAAUAUGAGAAAAAAGAAGAGUUGUAUUCAUGAUUGAAAAAGAGUAUAAGGGAAGUAAAUAUUCCCAAAUGUAACACUUUUACGAUUUAAAGAGAGAAACAUUGAUUUCUAAAUGAGUUUAUGAGUUCAGAGAUAUUUUAGAGUAUUGUUUUAUACAUUUGAGCAUGAGUUUAUAUAUUAUAGGGAAUAAUAUUGAGCAUCAAUAUGGGGAUGAGUUCAGACAACUCACAUUCCUCAUAAACCAUGUAGCCAACACGGUUUAUGAGCAUUUUUUGAGUAAUUACUUUAAAUUGAGAAAUAGUUAUGUUUUAUACAUUUGAGCAUGAGUUUAUAUAUUAUAGGGAAUAAUAUUGAGCACGGAUAUGGGGAUAAGUUCAGACAACUCACAAUCCUCAUAAAUCAUAUAGCCAACAGGGGUAAAUGGUUGUACGUACUUUUUAGAUGAUUCCUUAUUGAUUUUAAGCAUAGCUUAGUAGAUCCACUUAGUUGAGGUGUCCUAUACCUCAACAAGGUUUAUGACAGUGUGGGCGAGACACUGUAUAUCACAUAGCUCAUAGUGAUGGUUGCCGGUUAGAGAAUCUCCCAAAUAAGAGUAAAGGAUAACUUAUUGUAUUUUUAUACAUCAUUGAGUUUAUAUUUUCUGUUUUAUAAUGCUUUAAACAUUGCAUCUCUUGUUAUUGCUUUUAUAUUGGAGUUGAGUUGAGGUGAGUGUCUUCCAGUCUUAUUGGUUUAGUUAUCUAUGUUUUCAGUUUCCCCUUACAUGCUCGUACAUUCAAUGUACUGAUGUCAUUCGACCUGCAUCUUAUUAAUGAUGCAGAUACAGGUGUCCAGGGUCAUCAACAAGCGAUUCGUUGAUACCAUUUGCACUCCAACUAGCUUUGGUUAACCUUCUUGUUUUCUAGAGGGCUUCACACUUAUUUCCUUCUUUUGAUUAAGUUGUCGAGGGUUCUGUCCCGACAUCUAUCUUAGUAUUUAGAGGCUUCAUAGAUAGUUAGAGUUGAGGAGUCUCUCAUUAUUUUCCUUAUUGAUGUUUUGAGAUCUUGAGACAGUUACUUAUAUAUUAUUAAGUAUAUCCAGAUGUUCAUUUGAGUUAAGUUCUAUUUGAUACUUUUAAGUUUAAUUAUGCACUUGGAGUUCCCAUUUUGUGUGACAUCUUGGAAUUUGAAAUAACUAUGAAGAAGCUUAUAAUUGGAAAUAGUCAUUUUUGGAAAGAAUGCAAAUCUGGAAAUUUAGUCAAGUAUGGAAAAAAUUGAUUUUUUGGUCAACUUCAAAUGGUCAUAACUCCUAGAUCAGGAUUAUUUAGGUGUAUUUCCAGUUAUGUUUGGAAAGCUCUUGGAAUGAUCUUUCCAACGCCGCUGAGUUUGCACGAUUUCGUGUUCGUAUGAGUGAGUUAUGCCCUUUGGAAGUUGGGCUGUUGGGAUAAGGGAAGUUCAAUCCGAAUUUUUAAGGGGUAGUUUUGGUCUUUUCCCUACCCAUUUCUUUGGUUAUAUUAAGGGUCUAAGCUGAUUUUAUAUCAGUUUUCCCUUUAAAAAGUGAGAGUUAGGGUUGUGAGAGAAGAGAGAAAGAGAGGAGAAAAGAGAAGAAGAAGCAAGGUUCGUCAAGACUCGUCGUGGAUUUCAUCGGGGGUGAUCCCUACUAAGUUAUGUGAGAUCACAUAGUGUGGGGUUGGUUCAGUCCCCCACACGCCAAACUUGUUUCAAUUCCGAGAAAAAGAUUGGUUGUGUUUUGUUGAAUUCUUGUGGUUGUAUUGAAGUUUCUUGUUGAUUUGGUACAUGUUUCCGGGUGUAAUUUUGAGUUGAAUCUAUUGUAUGUUAAGGGUUUUAAUGAUUCUAAGUGUUUGGGGAAAGAACCUUUGAAGUUAACAGGGUUUAGAAUUGGAGAAAUGAAGAAGAAAAGUCGGGUUUUUUUUUUGAAAAAAAGGUGGGGUGUCGCGCCAGCCAGCAAGCCCCAAAAGGGACUCUAAAGUUCCCCCCUUGGGACGACGCGCCAGCCAGUGCGCCCCAACAUGCCCUCUGAAGUUUGAGGGCUGGCGCCCCAAGCCUCUCAGAGCGCCAGGGACACCAAUUCUCCCCAUUCGUUCCCCACUUUUUUUGUACGUGUUCCUUAGUAAUGUACCUAUGUUUUCUAGUUGAUUUCAACACUCUAAGGUACAUCUAAACAUCACAAACUCAUCCAUAAACAUGAGAUCAUGAACCUUGAAUCCAUAAUCCAAAUUCCAAGGAAAGUUAGGAUCAAAGUCAAGUGAAGUUAGAGUCAAGUCUAGAAGUUAAGAAGUAAGUCAAAGCAAGUUUUUAAAGUUUUCAAGAGUCUUUACUGAACGUUUAAACUUCGUUUUAAGGCUCAAGUUUCAAGCAAAGUAUAGAGUUGAGUUCAUUUCUCAAAAGUUAUUAGGGAACUAAGUAUUCCCAAAGAAGUUUAUAAAUGUUUUCUCAUUUGAGUAAGAAAGGAACUAUGUUUUCCAAGAGAGCCGGUGGGCUAGACUUUGAGUAAUUAUCUCAACUAAAGAAAGAGGUGUUUAAAAACACAUAUGAGCUAAAGUAUAUUUUGGGAGUAGUAUUGAGCACCGAAUUGGGGACGCGAGUUCAUCUUAAACUCAACUCUCCAUAAGAACCAUGUAGCCAACAUGGGAUUUAACGGGUCAUACUUUUAAGAUGAUCACGUAAGUUAAGCUAGUGGAUCCACUAAGUUCAGUAAGGUCUUAUAUGUAACACCCUAGAGAAUUUUUCGAACUAAGACUCGAGUCGUCCUUCAUGUGGAGUGAGAUUUUACCGAGGAAUAAAAUUUCUUGAGUGUUAAGUUAAGAUUCCUAGAUGUAGCACAUUGAGUUCCAAGAAGAGUUGAAUUGGAAAUAGUAAUUUUUGGAAAGAAUCUGGAAAAUUUGGCUAUGGAAAAAAAGUGAGUUUUUGGUCAACUUUGAGCAGUCNNNNNNNNNNNNNNNNNNNNNNNNNNNNNNNNNNNNNNNNNNNNNNNNNNNNNNNNNNNGUGUGGGUUGAUCCUUUCCCCCACUCACCAAGCUCAUGUUUAUAGUUUGAGAAAAGGUUGGAUUUGUUGUUGAAGUUGUUAGUUGUUGUUGAUGUUGUUAGUUGUUGUUGAUGUUGUUAGUUGUUGUUGAUGUUGUUAGUUGUUGUUGAUGUUGUUAGUUGUUGUUGAUGUUGUUAGUUGUUGUUGAUGUUGUUAGUUGUUGUUGAUGUUGUUAGUUGUUGUUGAUGUUGUUAGUUGUUGUUGAUGUUGUUAGUUGUUGUUGAUGUUGUUAGUUGUUGUUGAUGUUGUUAGUUGUUGUUGAUGUUGUUAGUUGUGUUGUUGAAGUUAUUGUUGGUUGUGGGACAGGAUUGGGCUGUGUAUUUGAGUUGUGAUCUAUUGUAUGUUGAGAGAUUGAUGAUCCUUAGUGUUGGUUGGUUCAUACCCCCACACACCAACUCGUUUUUAAUUCCAAGAGAAGAUUUAUUGGUUGUUGAAGUUGUAGUGGUGUUGUGUUGAAGUUCUUGCUGGUUUAGUACAGAUUUCUGGCUGUGAUUUUUGAGUUGAAUCUAUUGUAUAUUAAUGGUCUUUAUGAUUCUAUGUGUUGCUGCUGAAACCUUGAGGUUGAGAGAGUUUAGAAUUGGAAAGAAACAAGGGGAAAAAGUCAGAUUUUUGGGGGAAAAGGGCUGGGCUGUUGCGCCAGCCAGCGCACCCAAAAAAAAUGGGAUGCUGAACUUCCCCUUUGGGGCAGAACACCUGGCAGAACGUCCAGCAGUCCCUCUGAAGUUUGAGGGCUGGCGCCCCGCGCCUCUUAGAGCGCCAAGGACGCCAAUCCUUCCCGUUACCUUCAUUCCCCACUUUUUCAUACAUGUUCCUAGGUAUUAUACCUAUGUUUCCUAGUUGUUUCCAACACUCCAAGGUACUUCUAAAAGUCAAGAACUCAUCCGUAACAUGUGAUCAAACACCUUGAAUCCAAAAUUCCAAUUCAAGGAGAGUUAGAUAGAAAUCAAGUGAAGUUAGAUUCCAAGUCAAGUGAAGUUAGAUUUCAAGUUGAGUCAAGAGUUUCAAGUCAAGUCAAAAGUUAAGAGUUUCAAGUUGAGUCAAGAGUUUAAAGUUGAGUUCUUUUCUCAAAGUUAUUAGGGAACUAUGUAUUCCCAAAGAAGUUUUAAAGAAAUGUUUUACAUUUAAACAAGGUUGGAAACUAAGAUUUCCAAAGAGCCUUCGGGAUAGUUUUUUUUGAGUAAUUAUCUCAAUCAGCAGGAAGACAUAUGUUUUAAAAACAUANNNNNNNNNNNNNNNNNNNNNNNNNNNNNNNNNNNNNNNNNNNNNNNNNNNNNNNNNNNNNNNNNNNNNNNNNNNNNNNNNNNNNNNNNNNNNNNNNNNNNNNNNNNNNNNNNNNNNNNNNNNNNNNNNNNNNNNNNNNNNNNNNNNNNNNNNNNNNNNNNNNNNNNNNNNNNNNNNNNNNNNNNNNNNNNNNNNNNNNNNNNNNNNNNNNNNNNNNNNNNNNNNNNNNNNNNNNNNNNNNNNNNNNNNNNNNNNNNNNNNNNNNNNNNNNNNNNNNNNNNNNNNNNNNNNNNNNNNNNNNNNNNNNNNNNNNNNNNNNNNNNNNNNNNNNNNNNNNNNNNNNNNNNNNNNNNNNNNNNNNNNNNNNNNNNNNNNNNNNNNNNNNNNNNNNNNNNNNNNNNNNNNNNNNNNNNNNNNNNNNNNNNNNNNNNNNNNNNNNNNNNNNNNNNNNNNNNNNNNNNNNNNNNNNNNNNNNNNNNNNNNNNNNNNNNNNNNNNNNNNNNNNNNNNNNNNNNNNNNNNNNNNNNNNNNNNNNNNNNNNNNNNNNNNNNNNNNNNNNNNNNNNNNNNNNNNNNNNNNNNNNNNNNNNNNNNNNNNNNNNNNNNNNNNNNNNNNNNNNNNNNNNNNNNNNNNNNNNNNNNNNNNNNNNNNNNNNNNNNNNNNNNNNNNNNNNNNNNNNNNNNNNNNNNNNNNNNNNNNNNNNNNNNNNNNNNNNNNNNNNNNNNNNNNNNNNNNNNNNNNNNNNNNNNNNNNNNNNNNNNNNNNNNNNNNNNNNNNNNNNNNNNNNNNNNNNNNNNNNNNNNNNNNNNNNNNNNNNNNNNNNNNNNNNNNNNNNNNNNNNNNNNNNNNNNNNNNNNNNNNNNNNNNNNNNNNNNNNNNNNNNNNNNNNNNNNNNNNNNNNNNNNNNNNNNNNNNNNNNNNNNNNNNNNNNNNNNNNNNNNNNNNNNNNNNNNNNNNNNNNNNNNNNNNNNNNNNNNNNNNNNNNNNNNNNNNNNNNNNNNNNNNNNNNNNNNNNNNNNNNNNNNNNNNNNNNNNNNNNNNNNNNNNNNNNNNNNNNNNNNNNNNNNNNNNNNNNNNNNNNNNNNNNNNNNNNNNNNNNNNNNNNNNNNNNNNNNNNNNNNNNNNNNNNNNNNNNNNNNNNNNNNNNNNNNNNNNNNNNNNNNNNNNNNNNNNNNNNNNNNNNNNNNNNNNNNNNNNNNNNNNNNNNNNNNNNNNNNNNNNNNNNNNNNNNNNNNNNNNNNNNNNNNNNNNNNNNNNNNNNNNNNNNNNNNNNNNNNNNNNNNNNNNNNNNNNNNNNNNNNNNNNNNNNNNNNNNNNNNNNNNNNNNNNNNNNNNNNNNNNNNNNNNNGUUUUACAAGCUUUAUAUAUUGCAUGUGUCUUAUUGCUUUAUAUUGAGUUCAGCUAUUCAUGAGUUGAACAGAGCCAAGGUAAAUUCUCUUUUAUAUCCCUUUCAAGCUUAAGUUGUUGUUAAGUUGUCCUGCUCGCAUACUCGUACAUUCCAUGUACUGAUGCCAGUUAGCCUGCAUCUUAUUAUGAUGCAGACGCAGGUACCCAGGAUCAUCAUUCAGCACGCCGUUGAUCCAAUUGAGCAUUCCAGAGUCAGUGGUGAGCCUCCUUGCACUCCGGAGGACUCUGUUAUUUCGUUUUCCUAGUUUUGCUUUAUUAGGAUGUUGUGGGGUCUGUCCCAACAUCCAUCUCAGUGUUAUAGAGGUUUCAUAGACAGUCAGACAGUUAGUAUUGAGUCUCUCAUCUAUGUAUUUACAUAUUUUCUAUUUUUGAGACACGAGUUGCCUUUUUGGCCAGAUUUUAUCAUUUAAGUUGCUUUAUGAUCUUUUAUUGUAUUGAGUUGUUCCACUGAGUUUAGUAGCCAGGCCAAUGGUUCGCUUGGGGCCAGCGAUGGUCUUCGAGUGCCAGUCCCGCCCAGGAUGUAGGCUCGGGGCGUGACAUUUUGCAUGAUUAAGUCUUUCGUUAAGUAGUCAGUCAGGCCAAGGGUUCGCUUGAGGUCCAACGAUGGUUCUCAAGUGCCGACCACGUCUAGGGUGUAGGCUCGGAGCAUGACAAACUUGGUGUCAAAGCACAAAGUUGAAGAGUCCAAGGGUGUCUAUCAAGUCGUGUCUAUAGAGUCAUUUUUAUCUAUGUGAAGCGCGUCACAUCUAUGAUUAAGAGGCUACAACAUUUAGAAAACAUUUCACUUUCUUCUUACUCUUGUUCGUGCGAUAGAGUUCAACUUUAUAAAAGUUUCCUCUAACUCGUGCUUAUGCGUGUCUUUUCAGAUCAUGCCUCCAUGAAGAGUUGUUCGAGGAUGUCCUGCUAAAAAGAAGGUGAAUCCUCAAGGUCAAGAAAUUCCCAAUGCACCAGAAGUGCAACCACCUCAAGAGGAUGUCACCAAUACUGGAUUCAGGAAUGCUAUCCAGAUGUUGACUCAAGUGGUGGCAAAUCAGGCUAGUCAACAAAGAGCAGGUCAUUAGGAUGUGACUGGUACAUUCAUAAUCUGUGAGUUCUUGAGAAUGAAUCCCCAGAGUUCAUAGGGUCGAAUAUCACUAAGCAUAAAAAGAACUUUGUGGAAGAAUGUCACGCCCCGAGCUUACACCCUGGACGUGGCUGACACUCGAAGACCAUUGCUGGCCCCAAGCGAAUCCUUGGCCUAGCUUCUUAACUCAGUGAAAACCAAACUCAACAGAAAACUCCAUGCAACGAAAAGUCAUAAAACAACCCAACUGAUAAAAUCUGGCCAAAAAGGCAACUAGAGUCUCAAAAUAGAAUAUUUACAUAUAAACAUAGAUGAGAGACUCAACACUAACUGACUGACUGUCUAUGAAGCCUCUAUAAUACUGAGAUGGAUGUUAGGACAGACCCCACAACAUCCUAAUAAAACAAAACUAGGAAAAACGAAAUAACAGAGUCCUCCGGAAUGCAAGGAGGCUCACCACUGACUCUGGAAUGCUCAAUUGGAUCAACGGCGUGCUGAAUGAUGAUCCUGGGUACCUGCGUCUGCAUCAUAAUAAGAUGCAGGCUAACUGGCAUCAGUACAUGGAAUGUACGAGUAUGCGAGCAGGACAACUUAACAACAACUUAAGCUUGAAAGGGAUAUAAAAGAGAAUUUACCUUGGCUCUGUUCAACUCAUGAAUAGCUGAACUCAAUAUAAAGCAAUAAGACACAUGCAAUAUAUAAAGCUUGUAAAACUAUUUAAAACAUGACGUAAAAAUCAUAUUUAUAAUAUCAUGAAAAUACCAUUCUUCCUCUCAAAGUCUACUUGUGCAAUGCAUGAAUGAAGUCUCAUACCCCCAUCCAUACUAAGCAGAACCCCUCGAGGAAUCAUGCAAUUUCUAUUGUGGAGUUUCUCUAACCGACAACCACCACUACAUGCCUAAGUGGUGAUACAACAUUUACCUCACGUUGCCUAAGGACCAUCCUAUACCUUGCCGUGAUAUAUGACCUUACUUUAACUUUAACUUAGUGGAUCCACUAGCUUAACUUUACGUGAUCAUCUAAAAAGUAUGACCCAUCAAAUCCCAUGUUUGGCUACAUGGUUCUUAUGGAGAGUUGGUUAAUAUGAACUCGUGUCCCCAAUUCGGUGCUCAAGACUACUCCCAAAAAUACUUUAGCUCAUUAGUGUUUUAAACACAUCUUUCUUUAGUUGAGAUAAUUACUCAAAACUUAGCCCAAAGGCUCUUGAAAAACUACUUCUAAAAAGAACAUAUCAAAAACCAUAUUUUAAUAUGAUCAUUGAUGACUCGGGAAAGUCAUACUGCAUAAACAUUGAUGGUAUAUCUAGAGACCAUACUGUUUAACAUUGAUGACAUACUUGAUUUGUCAUACUAAUCAUGUUUUAGAAACUCUUUCGCAAAAACUCAUCUUUUCUCAAAAAGAGAUAGUACUCAAACUUCUCAAAACUCUUUUGGAAAUCUCAGUUUCCUCUCAACUUAAAUGUGAAAACACUUAUAAACUUCCUUGGGAAAUACUUAGUUCCCUAAUUACUUUUGAGAAAUGAACUCAACUCUUGACUCUUGACUUAACUCGAAACUCGAUACUCUUUACUCGACUUGAAACUAUAUGCUCUUUACUCUUUGCUAAACUUGAAACUAUAUCAACUUUAUACUCUUGGCUUAACUUGAAACUCUAUGCUCUUUACUCAACUUGAAACUUUAUGCUCUUUACUCACUUUAUACUCUUGGCUUAACUUGAAACUCUUUACUUAACUUGAAACUCGAGCCUUUAAAUGAAGUUAAAACGUUCAAUAAAGACUCUUGAAAAACUUAAAAGACUUGCUUUGACUUACCUCUUAACUUCUAAGCUUGGCUCUAACUUCACUUGACUUUGAUCCUAACUCGCCUUGAAUUGGAUUAUGGAUUCAAGGUAUAUGAUCACAUGUUUAUGGAUGAGUUCUUGACGUUUAGACGUACCUUGGAGUGUUGAAAACAACUAUAAAACAUAGGUACAUUACCAAGGAACAUGUAUGAAAAAGUGGGGAAUGAAUGGGAAGACUUGGUGUCCUUGGCGCUCUGAGAGGCGCGGGGCGCCAGCCUUCAGAGGGGCCUGCUGGGCGCUCUUCAAGGCGUGCCACCCCAAGAGGGAAACUUCAGAACCCCUGUUGGGGCGCGCUGGCUUGCGCGACGCCCCAACCCUUUCCCCCAAAAAUUCGACUCCUCUCCUUCAUUUUUCCAACUCUAAACCACCUUAACUUCAAAGUUUCCAGCCCCAAACACUUAGAAUCAUAAAACCCCUCAACAUACACUAGAUUCAACUCGAAAUCACAACCGGAAACAUACACCAAGGAACUUCAACAACACCACCAACAACUUCAACAAACACAACCAAUCUUUUUCUCGAAAUUAAAACGAGUUUGGCGUGUGGGGGAAAGAACCAACCCAACACUAUGAUAUCACAUACCUUAAUAGGGAUCACCCCCGACGAAAUCCACGAUGAUCUUGACGAAUCCUUGCUUCUUCUUCUCUUUCUCCUCUUCUUUCCUUUUUUCUCAAGAACCCUAACUCUCACUCUUUUAAAAAGGGAAAUCUGAUUUAAAAUCAGCCUAAACCCUUAAUAUAACCAAAAGAAAUGGCUAGGGAAAAGACCAAAAUACCCUUACAAAUUCGGACUAAACUGCCCUGCCAACACCCAACUUCCAAAGGGAAUAACUCACUCAUACGAACUCGGAAUCGCGCAAACUCGGCGGCGUUGGAAAGAUCACUCCAUGAACUUUCCAAAAAUAACUGGAAAUACACCUAACUCAUCCUUAGCUAGGAGUUAUGACUGCUCAAAGUUGACCAAAAACUCACUUUUUUUCCAUACUUAGCUAAAUUUUCCAGAUUUUUAAUUCUUUCCAAAAAUGACUAUUUCCAAUUCUAAGCUUUUUCAUAGCUAUUUCAAAUUGCUGGAUGUUUACAAAGAACUUCAGAAAGUGUUUGAGGUUAUGCGUGUUGCCGAUGCAGAGAGUGUGGAGUUAGCUUCAUACUAGCUCAAAGGUGUUGGUUAAAUAUUGUUUAAUCAAUUGAGAAGAGCAGGGCAGAGGGGGCACCACUUUUGAGUUGGGCGGUGUUCGAAGGUGCUUUUGUGGGGUGCGUCUUUCCCCUCGAUCUAAGGGAAGCAAAGGUAAGAGAAUUUCUAAAUCUGAAACAGGAGUCCAUGAGUGUCCAAGAGUACAACCUCAAGUUCACUCAGUUAUCCCCUAUGUUCCGGAGAAGACGAUUGAUAUGAGGAGCAGGAUGAGUUUAUUUGUGUCUGGGUUAUCCCGAUUGUCAAGUAAGGAAGGUAAGGCAAACAUAUGUUUUUUCCAUUUCAAAUAAGUCCCGAAACAUGAAAUAGAGAUUUUUCCUUUUGUUCUUGUGUUAUAGUCCAUGGAUAAAAACUGUUUUUCAUAAAUUGAUUUUAUUAUAUUAAAAUUGACAUUUAUAUUUGAAUUACAAAGAUAUUUCCAACUAAAUAUUCAUUUCUUUCAUUUGAUUUAUACCAAAAAAGAAAAACAAUUUUCUAUCAAGUUGGGGAAAAUUCAAAUUUGAAUGGGAUAAAAGUUGUUUUUUAGAAAACAAGAUUGACCAAACCGCCUUAUGGCAGUUUGAAUGCUUAGAUCUCAAAAAAAUACCCGACCUUUAAAAGAAUCGCUUGAAACGGACAUCCGAGGCAAACAUUAUGAAUAUUUGAAGUUUCACCAAUUUACAACUACUUAUUCUAGUUCCACUCCUUAACUUUGAAGACAUGUAAUUGGAUCCCUAAAAAUCAGACCAAAAAAUUAUAUUUCGAAAGAUGGUUUUACGAGUCAAGUCCACUGGUUGUAAAUAGUGUUCGUAGUUGUUAGACAAAAAUAACUGGACUAGGCUAGUCUUUUGGUAAAAUAGUUAUAAUGCUAACUUUAAAUGAUACAAACUUAGUGGUGUUAGAAAGAAAACUCAUAGACCUAUAGUAUGAUAUGUCAUGGGCCACCUAAUUCAUUACGUACUAAAAGAUAUGGUAGUAUAUAUUGUUUGCCUUCAGGAGAGACACUUAUUGAUUACGGGCAGUUUUUUGACCAACUAUUUACUUGGGCAUUCGCGAGGACCUAAAAAAUUGUGUGUGUUAGUUCAGAGGGGUAAAAGUAGGUAUUUUCAAGUUCAAACGAGGCACAAACCAUGAAAUAAGGAUUUUUCUAUUUUUCGUGUGUUAUAAUCCAUGAAUUUUUGUAGGUGUCCGUGAUGAUCUAUUAAAUGGUGUGCGUUGGUUCAGAGGGACAAACAUAGAUUUUUUCAAGUUCAAAUGAGGCCCGAACUUGAAAAUAGAGAUUUUUCCAUUUUUCAUGUAUUGUAGUCCAUGAAUUUUUUGUGGUAUGUGCACUCGAUGAUUUUUUGGCUGAUAUUUUCCAUGGGCGUCUGUAACGACCUAUUAAAUAGCGCGCGUUGGUUUUGAGGGGCAAACAUAAGUUUUUCUUUAAGUUCAAAUGAGACCCGAACUAGGUAAUAGGGAUUUCUUUUUCAUUUUUCAUGUGUUAUAGUCCAUAGAUUUUAUGUUAUAUGUGCGCCCGACAUUUUUUUGGCCAAAUUUUUUCGUGGACAUCCCUGACAACCUAUUAAAUGGCGUGUGUUAGUUCGAAAGGGAAAACAUUGAGUCUUUCCAUUUCAAAUGAGUCCCGAAACAAGAAAUAAGGAUUAUUUAGUUUUUCGUGUGUUAUAGUCCAUGGAUUUUAUUUGAUAUGUCGCAUAGUGGUUUUCUGGGCGAAAUUUCUGUGCGGGUCCGUGACGACCUAUUUAAUCUCUUUUUUUUUUUUUUUGUAAAAAGUGUUGCAUAACAAGGUGGUUGUGGAUCUAAAUCUCACAUUUUACGAGUCCAGUCUACUUGUUGUAACUAGUGUUCAUAGUUGUGAGACACAAUAAACCCGACUAGUCUAGUCUUUGUAAAACGGUCAUAACACUUUACUAUAAAUUUUAAAUUAUACAUUUGGUGGAGUUAGAAAGAAAACUCACAGACCUACAAUUCAGUAUGUCAUGGACCACCUUAUACAUUACGUAUUAAAAUAUAUGGUGGUAUAUAUUGUUUGCCUUCGGUGAGACAUUCAUUGAUUAUGGGCAGAUUUUUGGCCAAGAUUUUUCGUGGGCAUUCGUGACGACCUAAUAAAUUGAGCGUUAGUUUGAAGGGGUAAAUGUAGGUAUUUUCAAGUUCAAACGAGGCACAGAUCAUGAUAUAUGGAUUUUUGCAUUUUUCGUGUGUUAUAAUUCAUGGAUUUUAAGUAAUAUGUGCGCCUGGCGAUAUUUUGUUUGAAAUUUUCCAUGAGCAUCCGUUAUGACCUAUUAAUGGCACGCUUUAGUUCUGAUGGGCAAAUGUAGGGUUUUUUCAAGUUUAAACUUGGCCUGGAAUGGGAAAUUAUGAUUUUUUUUCAUUUUUCUUGUGUUAUAAUCCAUGGAUUUUGUGUGAUAUGUGUGCCAAAUGGUUCUUUGGCCAAAAUUUUCAUGGGCAUCCAUGAAAACCUAUUAAAUGGUGUGCGUUGGUUCAGAGGGUCAAACAUAGGUAUUUCCGAGUUCAAAUGAGGCCUGCACAGGGGAAUAGAGUGUUUUCUAUUUUUCAUGUAUUAUAGUCCAUGGAUUUUGAAUGAUAUGUGCGCCCAAUGGUCUUUUGGCCAAAAAUUUUCAUAGGUGUCCAUGAUGACCUACUAAAUGGUGCGUGUUUGUUCGGAGGGGCAAAAUUAGGUUUUUCAAGUUCAAACAAGGCUCGAACUGGGAAAUAAGGAUUUGUCCAUUUUUCUUGUUUUAUAGUCCAUGUAUUUUGUGUGAUAUGUGCGCCCGACGGUUUUUUGGCAUAAAUUUUUCGUGGACAUUCAUGACAACCUAUUAAAUGGCACGCGUUGGUUCGAUGGGGGGCAAAUUUAGGUUUAUUUAAGUUCAAACGAGGUCCAAAAUGGGAAAUAGUGAUUUUUAAAAAUUUUCGUGUGUUAUAGUCCAUGAAUUUUAAGAGAUAUGUGCUCCUGGUGAUUUUUGGCUGAAAUUUUCCAUGAGCAUUUGUGACGACCUACUUAAUGGCGUGCGUUGGUUUGAGGGGCAAACACUUGUUUUUUUCCAUUUCAAAUAAGUCCCGAAACAAGAAAUAGAGAUUUUUCCAUUUUGCUUGUGUUAUAGUCCAUGGAUAAAAAACUGUUUUUUUUUCAUAAAAAUUGAUUUUAUUAUAUGAAAAUUGACAUUUAUAUUUGAAUUACAAAAAUAUUUCCAACUAAAAAUCCAUUUCUUUCAUUUGAUUUAUACCAAAAAAGAAAAAAACAAUUUUCUAUCAAAUUGGAGAAAAUUCAAAUUUGAAUGGGAUAAAAGUUGUUUUUCAAAAAAGUUGACAUAGUGAUACUGAUACAUAACAAGUGACAAAGGUUUGCCUUUAGAGUUAUGUUAAAUGCUAACUCAUGAUCACAAGUGAUAAUAAAGAUAUUUACAAAGUUGAAACAGAAUAUGAAGUAUGUAUAUUUAAUUUGAUCCACUAUUAUUGUGGGAAGUUUCAGAUAAGAGUAUCAAACUUAUUCAAUUAGUUCUAAUCAAAUAAUUAGGUGACAAGAAAAAAAAUGGGCAUGUUGAUGUUCCUUUAUUUUUAGUAUUGAUAUAAAUUAAUUGAAAACAGUAUGAUUGAAAAUGGUUGGUUGAUUUGCAAUUAUAGUUUUCUUCUUCAAACUAAUACAACUUUUAUUUGAAAACAACUGGGCAUAGUAAUGAUAACUUUUUAUCGUGACAUAGGUUUAUAUUUUCGUAUCAUAAUAUCUCUGAUUUUAGUUUGUAAAUAACUGGGCAUAAAUUUGUUAAGUUGGUCAAUAGCUGAGGAUAACUAUUCACUAGAUUUACUUUAAAAAGUCCCACAUUGGGGGUAAAGACAUUUCCUAACAAAGGUGACUAUGUACUACUAGGGCUCGAAUGCAAGAUCUUUAGUUAAGAAUCAAAAAGUAUUUACCACUGUAUCACAACCCUCGUUGGUAGUAUACCCUGUUCGUGUAGAAGUCAUCCAUAGUAAUAGUGAUAGUUUCCCUUUUCAUUUUAGAAACUACUAUUUUCUUAAGAAAAAUGAUGUUUGGAGAAUACAUUUGGUCACUGUUCUUCAUCAGAUUCAGGCCAGUUGGAACAUAAAAUUUGGCAUUAAAACCUUCCAAAACAUUAAUUUAAACACUCAAAAUACUCUUCAGCUUCUUCUUCAUACACAUCUGAUAUAUGGACUUUUGAAGUCUGUCCUCUCCUGAGAAAUCUACUAUCUGUUUCUUAAUCUCAAUGGCUGAAUCUCCAACCUCACGCUUAUUAUCAGUUAAAUGAAUGGACUUUAAAGUGUGUAUAUGCAUAAAUGCACAAGGGAUCUCCCUAAGAUGGUCACAAUGAUUUAGUAUUAAUUCCUCAAGUUUGGGAAAAGUUUCCGUAUCAACUUGCCAUUCUGAAAGGUUGACCAUUAGCAAAGACAGAGUCUUAAGGCUUUGAUAGAUGUCCUCACUUGCGUCUCAUUCAUCCUCCACGAAUUUACAGUCCAUAAACUCUAGAAUUUCAAGCUCAGGCAAUGCCGCGAUUGCUGACAACAAAUCAGGUCUCAGCAGGGGAAAACUAUACAACCAUAACUCUUUCAACCUGUUAGGGAAGUAAUAUGCAUUGGGUACUUGUCGGAUUUGGUUUGUUAACUUGGGAUAUUCAAAGUAUCUGACAUCUUUGUAUAGGAUAAUCUGUAAAGAUGUUGCACUGAAGGUGCUAAAUUUUUGGGAACUUCUCCAGAACAUCACUCGUGGCUUCAUGAUCUGUAAUAACAACAUUGGAUAAAGUUGUCAAGUGUUCUAACUUUGGUUGAUGCAUAAUAUUGUCUGCAUCUAUUUCCUCUUCCUCUUUCUCUUCAAAGAAAGAACAAAAGUAAAUUUCCACAUGUUUCAGCUUUGACAGUUUUAAUAUUCUGGGCAGUAAUACCAUGGUGGAAUAUCUCGUUUUGAUGAAUAGAGUUUCUAGAUUCUGGAGGUUCAACCGCGACAGUGGGAUAACUUUAACAUCUCGAGUCUACGACACUGUCUCAGCAUGAAAGAUUAUUUUCUCUUGUUCGAAAAACCAUGUACUUUGUUGUACAUAUGCAGGUGAAUCAACUAACGAUGACCAACCAUUGAUUUAACACUCCCUAUUGUUUAACCAAAGUCUAAAUCCAUACCCGACUUAUCUCCAAGCAACAUGAAGCCUCCAAAUUUCAAUCUUGAAUCAGAAGACGAGUCCGAGGUCAACAACUGCCAAGUGGGUUCAAACAUUUCCGUCCAAGAAAUUCAUCCUGGUCCUUCCCUUAAUCUUCAGCAGGAAUCAGUUCCUGUUACUCUUGACUUGAUUCUUGGCUUCAACAGCAGUGACUCCGAGUGCUCGUGGCUUCAUGAUCUGUAAUAACAACAUUGGAUAAAGUUGUCAAGUGUUCUAACUUUGGUUGAUGCAUAAUAUUGUCUGCAUCUAUUUCCUCUUCCUCUUUCUCUUCAAAGAAAGAACAAAAGUAAAUUUCCACAUGUUUCAGCUUUGACAGUUUUAAUAUUCUGGGCAGUAAUACCAUGGUGGAAUAUCUCGUUUUGAUGAAUAGAGUUUCUAGAUUCUGGAGGUUCAACCGCGACAGUGGGAUAACUUUAACAUCUCGAGUCUACGACACUGUCUCAGCAUGAAAGAUUAUUUUCUCUUGUUCGAAAAACCAUGUACUUUGUUGUACAUAUGCAGGUGAAUCAACUAACGAUGACCAACCAUUGAUUUAACACUCCCUAUUGUUUAACCAAAGUCUAAAUCCAUACCCGACUUAUCUCCAAGCAACAUGAAGCCUCCAAAUUUCAAUCUUGAAUCAGAAGACGAGUCCGAGGUCAACAACUGCCAAGUGGGUUCAAACAUUUCCGUCCAAGAAAUUCAUCCUGGUCCUUCCCUUAAUCUUCAGCAGGAAUCAGUUCCUGUUACUCUUGACUUGAUUCUUGGCUUCAACAGCUGUGACUCCGAGUUGAAAGCCAACGGAGAGGCGAGUGACGAAGUAGUACCCCAUCCUCCAACGGCAGCACUAUCCAGAGUUUUCUCGUGCAAUUUCUGCAGGCGCAAGUUUUACAGCUCACAGGCGUUGGGCGGACAUCAGAACGCACAUAAGAGGGAGAGGACUUUAGCUAAGAGAGCAAUGCGGAUGGGAAUGUUAUCGGACAGGUACGCUAGCUUAGCAUCAUUGCCCCUUCACGGGACUGCAUUUCGAUCUCUUGGCGUUGAAGCUCAUGCUUCCGCACACCAACGCAUCUCGCACCAAGAAACGCCUAUUCAUGCAGUUAGAAGCGGGGCUAGAUUUGAACAAGGCUAUUUCGGGAUGCCAGUAUUCGUGGAGGAUGAUGAAGUGGAGGUGUUCUGGCCCGGUAGCUUCAGGCAAAUAGAGGGAAUUGGUGGCAAUAUGGGGUAUAAUUCAGGGCAAAGUUCAAGCAUAAAUUUUGUAGCUGUAGCUCCUCAAACUAGGACAGAUCAAACAUUGCCUGAUCUUAAUUUGAAACUCUGAUGGUCUUUUUUUUUUUGCAUUCUAUUCUACUUUUUUGUAUCAGAAUUUUCAUAAUUGUGGUAUUACAUUAGUGCUCUAUUUGUACAGGAGGUGAAUAUUUGAGACUGUCUUGAGCUUUCAAUUUUGAAUCUUUUUCAUUCCCAAAUUUGUUUAGUUGACCAACUUAUUGUACAACUAGUCUAUGGGAACGUGCGUUGCACGUUUGUUCCUUAACACUAUUAUAGAACUUUGAUAUAUUUAAAAAAAAUUAAGUUAUGAAAUAGCAAAUUUUAAAAUUAACAAUAUUAAUUUUAUAUUUGUAUUUUAUUCAUUAAAUAAAUUACAUAAAAGUGGGACAUGACAUUUUUCAUGAAACAAAAAAUAUGUGAAGUCAAUUAUGACAGUAUAGUCUCUAAUGGUCUAAAUAUGUCGAUGAAUUGUUGAAUUGAAAAUUAAUAAAUUCAUGUAAAUGUCUCUAACGAAAUUUUCAAAUACAUGAACAUACGAACAAAUACCAAAAACGUAAAAUAAUAAUACUGAAAUUUUAUCAUAGUAACAAAAAUAAUAUGUAUAUCCAUUCACUAAAAUUACACGCUAGCUCUAAAUUUUAUAAUCCAAAUGGGUUGACAAACAAAGUUAGUUAAUUGUAUGACAAAAACAAGAGUCAUACACUUGAUCUUGAUAUAAUGUAAGAUCUCCAAAAAUGGUCAAAAAUACAAAAGCACAUAUUAUAUUAUAUAUAUGAAUAAAGCCUUUUAAUUCACAUUGCUUUACACUAAUGAAGACGAUGAUAAUUUAUUAUCGAUUUAUCAUGUUUACAAAUUGGUAGCUCAUAAAUCAAACAAUAAUACAUAAUUCGAUUCAGAAAAAAUCCAAAAGAAAAGAAAAAUAUAUAAAGUCUAAUUAACUUGACACUCACAAUACCCUUCAAUUGUUAAAACGUGUAGUGUGGUGAUAUUGUAAUUAAUAGAGGCUGCACAUAAAACUAAAAACAAAUAAAUACCACCUUAAUUGUUAAAAAACAUGACUUUUGAGCUUCUUGAAACCAAAUUAAUAAAGAAAUAAAGAAAAUAUAGUAGAAAAAUAUAAAGAGACAUUCAGGGUUCUUUUAAAAUAUUAAAUAAAUAAUAGAAAAUUAAUAACAAAAGAGAAAGGAAAAAUUUAAUGCACAGCAAAAUAGAGUUUAACACCAUUUUAUUCCUCUAGACGCAUUGAGUCGUUGAGAUAUACGACGUUUCAGUCAUCAUUAAAAAUUGAAAUGAAAACACUUAAAAGCACAUUUAAUAUUAUAAUUAAAAAUUUAAAUGAUUGUUUUGAAGUUCUUUUACUCUAGCAUAAUAUAUUGUAUAUGUUCACAAUAAGUAUUACACGGAAAAGUAACUCCGGAAAAUUGAAAAGAAUACAAUAAAUUUAGUUUCUCAACUAAAUAAUUCAUUCUAAAUAUUUAAUGUUCUAAUAAUAUUUAUUAUAAUAUAAGUUUAUUUUUUUAAUAAAUAAAAUAUUUAUAGAAAUAAUUUUAGCUUGAGGGUAAAAUGGUAAUCCAACUUUGAUUAUUGAAGCUUCCCACUUAUAAUAAUAUAUGAUAUGAUUAUAUGAUGUUAUUCAAAAUACAGAUUUGGGACUGUGGUGAUUUUUUUUAGUUUAUGCAAACCUUUAACUUCCUCCCAUUUUAACCAUGUUUAUUAUUAUUCGCUAGAUUCACUUCAGAAAGUCUCACAUUGAGGGUAAGACAUACAUUCCCUAACAAAAGGGACUCUAUAUCCGGUAUGGCUUAAACGCGAGACCUCUAAUUAAGGAUCAAAGAGUACUACCACUCCACCACAAUGCUUGUUGGCAGUAGUCAUCUAAUUAUCCAUAUUCUUAAAAAAAAAAGAGGGAUAGUUGCCUUUUUCAUGUUCUUGAAAAAAAAAAGGGGGAAUUGUCCAUUGAUGACUGUUCUUCAUCAGAUUCAGGCCAAAUGGGACAUAUAUUGAUUCACAAUUUGGCAUUGAAACCUUCCAAUUGAAAACCUAGAAUCUUAUAUGAGAGAUUACAGACAAAAUAAGAUUCAUAACUAACAAAAAACAGGAAAGAAAACACACAACACAUUAAAUUAAAAUAUAUCCAAAACCAGCAAUGAAAAAAACCAGUAACAAGUUUGUUUAUUGGAAGCAGUAAUCAGAUGGAAGCGUCGCGUUGUUUCUUUCUUCAUUGUUGUUCUAUCCUUGAGUCCUUUGGGCAUUCUGCAAAUCAUAUAUAGUAUGAUUUAAAUUAAAUGAAGUAUAUAUGUAUGUAGGGGUAACGAUAUAAGAAUUAAUUACCUCUUCUUCAGCCUCUUCUUCAGCUUCUUCUUCAGCCUCUUCUUCAUCUUCUUCUUCAGUCUCUUCUUCAUCUUCUUCUUCAUACAAAUCUUCUAUAUGGACUUGAGGUCUGUCCUCUCCUGUGAAAGCUUCUACUUGUUUCUUAAUCUCAAUGGCUGAAUCUCCAAUCUCACGCUUAUUAUUAGUUAAAUGAAUGGACUUUAAAGUGUGUAUAUCUAUAAAUGCAGAAGGGAUCUCCGUAAGCUUGUAACAAUGUUCUAGUCUUAAUUCCUCAAGCUUGGGAAAGGUUUCCAUAUCAAAUUGCCAUUCCGAAUGAUUGACCACUUGCAUAGACAAAGUUUUAAGACUUUGAUAGAUAUCCUCACUUGCGUCCCACUUGUCCUCUAUGAAUUCACAGUCAAUAAACUCCAGAAUUUCAAGCUCAGGCAAUGCCGUGAUUAAUGACAACAAAUCAGGUCUCAGGGGAAAACCAUACAACCGUAACUCUUUCAAGCUGUUAGGGAAGUAAUAUUCAUUGGGUUGUCGGAUUUUGUCUGCUAACUCGGGAUAGCCAACAUUCUCGUACAUUGCAAUGAGUGAUUCAAGUUUAUCAAGGACAUCAAACUUGGGAAACCAAUCACCCUGUGUAAGAGGAUCUAUCGGUUCCUUGAUGUGGCAAUGAAGGUGCUGAAGAUUUGGGAACUUCUCUAGAACAUCACUCGNNNNNNNNNNNNNNNNNNNNNNNNNNNNNNNNNNNNNNNNNNNNNNNNNNNNNGUUGUCAAGUCUUCUAACUUUGAAUUCUCAGCUUCCAAUAUUCUACUUGGUUGAUGCAUAAUAUUGUCCACAUCCAUUACAUCCUCUUCAAAGAAAGAACUCAUGUCAAUUUUCACAUGUUUCAGCUUUGACAGUUUGAAUAUUAUAGGAAGUAAUACCAUGGUGGAAUAUCCAGUAUUGAUCAACAAAGUUUCCAGAUUCUGGAGGUUCAACCACGACAAUGGGAUAGCUUUUACAUCUUGAGUUCGAAUCCUUAAGAACCUCAAAUGAAAUAGGGAGCCUAUUUCUUCCAUUAAAGAAUCUUCCAGAAUAAUGCUAUCCAGUUGCAACACUCUAGCAAGUCCAAAAGGUCUUGUAUGGCAGAUAUAGCUGGAGUUAAGAGGCCAACCGCUAACUUUCAAAGAUAUGAGAUGCUUACUACCAGCUGAACACUUAUUAGAAUUGAACAAAACACAUUUUUUGUGGAGUUGACUGUCGUAAAUAUGAAUGGUUAGACGAUGAUGUAGGAAAUCCGAAGCAUGAAAUCGAGCACCUGGAUUCAUUAACUUGAAAAACUUUGCCUUUAUAGAUUUUUCUAAACAAAAAUCGUGCACAACAUCAUGCACAUAGCAAACCUUGAUCCUAACAGAAAAAGGCAUACUCUUCUUGGAGGGGAUUUGAUCCACCAUUAUCAGGCUACUGGAAACUAAAGCAUCCAAGUCACUUUGAGUUGCUUCCUCUAAACUACUCUUGGAUCGGAUAUCAUGAUCCACAAACCCUUCGGCCAUCCACAACUGCUUUAACUUAGAGACCGGAGUUCGUUUGUUCUUUUGUGAUCUUGCGAAGUAAAGCAACAAUGGCUUCAGGUGGCAUGGUAAAUGGUCAUAACUUAAUUGCAUAACCUUCAUCAUCUGCAAAUUGAUGUUGGCAGAAAUAAAGGAAUCCAGAUUAUCUUGAAUCUUAAGCCACAAAUAAAACAAUAGCCAAGGGAAGUCCUUUACAUUUCUUAACUAUUUUGUGUCCAACAUCUGACAGUUCAGCAGGGCAGCUUCCUUCUCCAAAUACCCUUUUUUCGAAUAGUUCCCAACUUUUUUCAAGUGUUAAAACUUGGAGGUCGAUAGGAUCAGUACUAUAUUUAACUUGCGAACCAACCUUACUAAUUCGGCUAGUUAAAAUAACUCUAUCUCCUCUCUUAAGCUUUGGAAAACAUGCUAUUAACAUCUCCCCUGUUGCAAUAUCCCACACAUCAUCCAAGACGAUGAGGUACCUUCUAUCGUACAGUGCUCUUCGUAGCUUUUCAGCAAGGUCAUCCUCACUUCCUUUUACUUCAGAGCCAGUAACUUGCUGAAGAAUCUCCCGCAACACCUUUGACUUGUUAUACUUUUGGGAAACAGUGCACCAAGCACGAAUCUUGAAAUGACUAGCAACUAAUGUAUUGUUAUACACUUUGUUGGCCAGAGUAGUUUUACCGAGUCCUAGCAUUCCGACAAUCGAAAUGACAUCAAGCUCAGAUUCAUGUUGAUUAAGGAGUUGGCCAAUGAUCUUGGAUUCUUCUUUCUCAUGACCUACUGUUACCUCAACAAAAGGUGAUGAGGUUGACUCAAUUGGCUCGACGAAAGACUUUGCCUCAAGGGGGUCAUCCCCAUUCUUAUCCUCCAGCUGUAAACUGGUGACUUGUGUCACGAUAAGCUUGAUCUUAUUAGUGACACUCGGAAGUGAGAAGAUGAGAUGCGAGAGAGCUUUAUCUCUGACAAGAAUGGAAUUAAUGACAUGUUCUGCCUCAUAUGCCACAUCUAAAACACGUACCUAACAAUCUUUAACUACUCCACUAGUGUCAUCCAAUGUUUGCCUGGCUUUCCCAAAAGAUGAUCUUAGGAAUUCAAGGCAUUCUUUCACCAUCCCUAUUUCGUUCUUUAUCAGAGAAACUGAAUAAGCAUUGGAAAUGAGUAAAUCAUUUAAAUGUCUGAAUAGAAUAUUUAUGAAGAAGAAACCAUCAUCUAUAGGAAAGGAAAGUUGAGAUGACUCUGGGGCUUUCAAGAAAAUCUGUCUGAUAUCUCCCUUCAUUCGUUCAAUUUCUUGCAAAAAGUCUGGAGCUGAAAAAUCCGCUAUGUUGAUAUUAUUCUCUGAGCUCUCCUCCAACAGCUUGCUCACCAGAAUCUUAGUUGCGCGGACUCUUCACUUUUGAUGCCGCACCCGUCUCGGAUUCUCCAAAAAUACACUACUUUUGGCGAAUCCGACACGCACCCGUUGGCACUUUUGAAGAGUCCGAGCAACAUAGACCAGAAUAGACAUCUUCCUUGUAAGUACUCUGAUAUGUGCCAAUAUAUCGUUCAAUUUGCCAGAAUGGAUAAAGCUCUUUGGUAUAUCGGUUAGAAAGAUCUAGGAACUCCAUCAUGAGAUUAAUGCUUUGAGUUGGAGUGUAAUUGACAGUUACUACGCCUGCCAUGCGUCCUUGGAGAAGAAUAAGAUAAUUUUGAAGAAUCCUUGGAGAUGCUUUUAGGAUUUGCUUAACAAAGAUUUGUAGUUCAGUUGACCUUGAUUCUUUCAUGAGCUUAAAAGUACAAAUGUAUUGAACCUCCAGCUCAAGAGGGAUUAUGUCGAUGAGUAGAGAAGUGAUCACGGAAGAGCAUUGAGAGACGUCGUCACACACCUUGUAACCAUCAUAAUAUCGUUUAUACUUUCCAGUCCAAAGAUCAAAACAGAAUUGUGUUACUCUAUCAGCAGUCAAUUGGAGCCAAGGGUAGAGAUAUUCAGUGUUUGCUUUGUUGGCCUUGAGGAUAGGAUAGAAAUCUCUCAGAUGUCGGAAUACUUGCUGAAGAAUAUUGAAGACACUCAUCAAGGGGAGAAGCAAAUUAGCACGAUAGUUUGGUAGAUCAUGAAGGUGUCUGAAGAGAUAUUGAAACAUUUUCUCUUCAGUCGUCAUGGCUACAUAAUAAUCAUUCUCCAAACUCCAAAAAUAGCUUUUCAUCUCUUCCAGCAGCAGAGGGGCAAGACACUCCAUGUCGCAUUUCGCUAGGAUUAAUUUGCCAUCUUCAUCUUGAUAGAAAAGUGAGCAACUAAGUUCAUAGAACUUGUCUAUUCUCUCGGACAUGCUGGAAUAAAAAUAAUCCAAACUCGAAUUCCCAAACAGAACAAAUGUUCUUAGGAAUCUCAAUUCCAUUCUUAGCUUUACAAUGUCAUCCAAUUUUGAUGAAGCAAUUAUUUUUUCAUUCUUUAUUUUCUUCAAGCCAUUGAAGAAAUCGUCAAUAUGAUUGCUGAUUCUUCUUCUUUCUUCCUCAAAUGGAAGCUGCUAAAUUAAAAAACAAUCAUUAGUUGGGAUAUAUUAGUGACAUAUUUUGUUAUUUAGUUACACAAGUGUAGUAAGUAGUUUUUUGAAAUGAUGUAAUAUAAAGUUUGAGUAAUAUCUCAGAUGGUCACUCAACUAUGCAGUCUUCUCUCAGAAAAUCACUCAACUUUCAAUUUUAACUCAAAAGUUACUCAACUAUGCACUUUUCUCUCAAAAAGUCACUCAACUUUGAAUUUUAACUCAAAAGUUACUCAACUAUCCACUCUUCUCUCAGAAUGUCACUCAAUUUAUUUAAUUGUUUAUUAAAUGAAAAUUUGCUGAUAUUAAAUUUUUAUAUAACAAACCAAAAUUUUAAAAAAUAAAAAUACCAUUUAAACCAUUUAAUGAUCCGCUCCACUUGACCCGACCUGCUAAAAUAUAAUAUUGACCCAUUUGAUGGGGUGAUACAGACUGUUAUGAUGUGUUACAUAGGCAUUUGAUGGUGAGUAGAGGUUUUGAGCUUAUAGUAUACCAAAUUAUUAGAGUGACCAACAAUUUCUCAAGUGUUGGUAUGAUGCAUAUGAUAGUUUUGAAUAUUAGUUGAAAUUUGGUAUCUGAAAGUUUACGUGGAGUUGACAUUGUACGUGAUUCAAUAACUUUGUAUUGAUGGGAAAAUACUUUUAGAUCUGAAAUCAGUGCUAUCAGUCUUGGGUGUGACCCGUAUCUGUCAUAAAAUAUUUAUUUAGAUAGAGAGAGCGCCAUAGUUUGGAAAUUUUGGAGGCGAUAAUGUGUUUGUUAAGAAGACUUUUAUACUAGUGACGAUUUGAGAGUAAGGUAAAUGGCGGGUGUGAUUAUGAUGUUUGUUUAGUAUUAACAGUGUUGACUUUAGUGGAGUACUGUGAGAAGUAUGUGGGAUUCCAUGAAUCGAGUAUGUGUACGAUUGUAAUGAGGACUAGACUAAUUGAUUGUGGGUGGCUAAAAAUCAAGGGGAUAGAGUUAGAUGGAUGUAAAUGUUUGAUAUGGACAUUAUGGAAAGAGUAUCUUGUGUUAUUCGACUUUGGUUCUGUACGUUAUUAUGUGACCACCCUUGUAACAUCCGACAAUUUGAAAUAACUAUGAAGAGGCUUAGAAUUGGAAUUAAUUAUUUUUGGAAGGAAUUCAAAAAUCUGGAAAUUUGGCUAAGUAUGGGAAAAAGUGAGUUUUUGGCCAACUUCGAACAGUCAUAACUCCUAGAUCAGGAUGAUUUAUGUGUAGUUCCAGUUAUUUUUACGAAGCUCAUUGAAUGAUCUUUCCAACGCCACCGAGUUUGCUCGAUUCCGAGUUCGUAUGAGUGAGUUAUGCCCUUUGGAAGUUGGGUAGUUGGUAGGGAAGUCCGUCCGGAAAUUUUAAGGGUAUUUUGGUCUUUUCCCUAACCAAUUAUUUUGGUUAUAUUAGUUUGUUAGACUGAUUUUAUAUCAGUUCUUCUUCUUUUUUUAAGAGUGAGAGUGAGGGUUUGUGAGUGAAGAGGAGAAGAAGAGGAGAAAGAGAAGAUCAAGCAAGGUUUCGUCAAAGAUCGUCGUGGAUAUCGUCGGGGGUGAUCCCUACUAGGUAUGUGAGUUCAUAGUGUUGGGUUGGUUCUUUCCCCCACACCCCAAACUCGUUUUAUUUCCGAGAAAAGAAUGGUUGUGUUGUUGAAGUUGUUGGGUUGUGUUGUUGAUGUUGUUGAUGUUGUUGAAGUUGUUGGUUGUGUUGUUGAUGUUGUUGAUUGUGUUGUUGAAGUUCCUUGUUGAUUUGGGACAUGUUUCCGGUUGUGUUUUUGAGUUGAAAUCUAUUGUGUGUUGAGGGGUUUAUGAUUCUAGGUGUUUGGUGUGGGUGAUCCCUACUAGGUAUGUGAGUUCAUAGUGUUGGGUUGGUUCUUUCCCCCACACCCCAAACUCGUUUUAUUUCCGAGAAAAGAAUGGUUGUGUUGUUGAAGUUGUUGGGUUGUGUUGUUGAUGUUGUUGAUUGUGUUGUUGAAGUUCCUUGUUGAUUUGGGACAUGUUUCCGGUUGUGUUUUUGAGUUGAAAUCUAUUGUGUGUUGAGGGGUUUAUGAUUCUAGGUGUUUGGUGUGGGAACCUUUGAAGUUUAGAAGGUUUAGAGUUGGAGAAAAGAAGGAGAAAAGUCGAGUUUUCGGGGAAAAGGGGNNNNNNNNNNNNNNNNNNNNNNNNNNUCGGGGAAAAGGGGUGGCGCGUCGCGCCUUGCAGAGCGCCCCAAGAAGUUCUCUGAACUUCUCCCCUUGGGGUGCCGUGCCUAGCAGUGCGCCCCAGCUGCCCUUCUGAGCUUUGUGGUCUGGCGCCCCGUGCCUCUCAGAGCGCCAAGGACGCCAACCUUUCCCAUUCAUUCUCCACUUUUACGUGCAUGUUCCUUGGUAUUGUACCUAUGUUUCCUAGUUGUUUCCAACACUCGAAGGUACGUCUAAACGUCAAGAACUCAUCUAUAAACAUGUGAUCAUAUACUUUGAAUCCACAAUUCAAUUCAAGGCGAGUUAGGAUCAAGUCAAAGUGAAGUCGGAGUCAAGUCAAGCAAAGUCAAGAAGUAAGUCCAAGCAAGUCUUUAAAGCUUUUCAAGAGUCGUUACUAAACGUUUUAACUUCGUUUUAAGGCUCAAGUUUCAAGUCAAGUAAAGAGUCUCAAGUUUCAAGUUAAGUCAAGAGCAUAAAGUUGAGUCCAUUUCUCAAAAGCUAUUAGGGAACUAAGUAUUCCCAAAGAAGUUUAUAAAUGUUUUUUUUUUACAUUUGAGCAAGAAAGGGAACGUCGAUUCCAAGAGAGAUUUUAAGUUAAGUUUUGAGUAAUUAUCUCAACUAAAGAAAGAUGUGUUUAAAGACACUUAUGGGCCAAAGUAUUUUUGGGAGUAGUAUUGAGCACCGAAUUGGGGACGUAAGUUCAUAUUAACUCAACUCUCCAUAAGAACCAUGCGCCAACAUGGGACUUGACGGAUCAUUCUUUUUAGAUGAUCACGUAAGAUUAAGCUAGUGGAUCCACUAAGUAAAGUAAGGUCCUAUAUCACGGCAAGGUAUAGGAUGGUCCUUGGGCAACGUGAGGUAAAACGUUGUAUCAUCACUAGGGCUGAUAGGUGGUUGCCGGUUAAAGAACCUCCCACAAAAGUUAUAUUACUUUUAUAUAUAAGUAAGGUUGAGUUUGUUAUUGUUUUAUCAUUAACGAACUAAGUUGUUUAUACUAUUUUACAAGCCAUUUAACAUCUCAGGCUUAUUGUAUCCUUGUAUACACACAGAGUUUAUAGCAUGUUUUAAACAGUCUUUCUUUAUAUCGCACUUGUUUUAAAUUGCCUUAUAUUGAAAGAAGUCAGUCAGGUUGAGUUGAGUUGAGCCAGGUAAUCUUUUCAGGUUCUUCUAGAGUUUUCCUUCUAGCCUUUGUUGCUUAGUUUUCCAGCUCGCAUACUCGUACAUUCCAUGUACUGAUGCCAGUUGGCCUGCAUCGUUUUAUGAUGCAGAUGCAGGUACCCAGGAUCAGCAUCCAGCACGCCGUUGAUCCAGUUGAGCACUCUAGAGUCAGUGGUGAGCCUCCUUGCCUUACGGAGGACUCAGUUAUUUUGUGUUCUUAAGUUUUGUUUUAUUAGGAUGUUGCGGGGUCUGUCCCAACAUCCAUCUCAGUAUUUUAGAGGCUUCAUAGACAGUCAGUCAGUUAGAUUUGAGUCUCUCAUCUAUGUACAUAUAUAAUAUUCUAUCUUUUUUUUGAGACUCGAGUUGCCUUUUGGCAGAUUUUAUCAGUUGGUUGUUUUAUAACCUUUUCAUUGCAUUGAGUUAUGCUGUUGAGUUAAGUUUUCGCUGAGUUAAGAAAGCCAGGCCAAAGGUUCGCUUGGGGGCUAGCAAUGGUCUUCGAGUGCCGGUCCCGCCCAGGGUGUAGGCUCGGGGCGUGACAACCCUCAUCGUUUUGGACAUUAUUUAGAGUUUGAUUCAUUGUCUAUGUCACGCGUGUUUUGGGUGAAUUUCUAGUGGUGGAUCGGGUGUACCGAUCCUGUGAUUGGCCUCUUAGUAGGGUGACAUUCUUGGUAGAGUUUGUCAUCUUAGUUAUGAUAGAUUUGGUGUUGUUUGGGAUAGUUGAAGUAUACCAGUAGUUCUACAUGCACAUCCUUGCCUAUGAGAACUUAUACAAGAGCUACUAUGAAGAGUUACAAUUGUCUAAGAGUAUUGUUAGAGGUUCUACAUUUUGUAGUGUAUCGUUUGUUGGGUGGUUACUUGAUCUUUUCCUUCUUUGGGUUAGACAAAUUUGAUCCUCCCUUGAUGAGUACCCGAUAUCUAAAGAUCAUAGUUUUAUAACUUAAAUUCGUGAAAAGAAAAUUUUGAUAAGAUCUGUGAUGGUUUGUGCAUUAUGAGUGUAUGGUGGUUGGUUUAAGUUCGCUUCUAGUUGUAGCGGGUAUCAAUUCAAAAUAUUAUCUUGGUUAUGUUAGAAAAGAUUCGUCGUGAUGGUUGUGUUAAGGUCCAGUAGGUUUCAGUUUAGAUUUGAUUCAUGCGUUAGUUUGUGGCUUGAAAAAAAUCACUCUUGAUUUAUAGAUCUUCAAAAGUUUGAUUCGAAAGUUCAGUUCUUAGUAGUUGAUCUUGAUGGAAUGGUCUUAAGGAGGAGCUCACUUGGAGACAUGAACACCAAUUGGUAGGUCAUGACUCAAGCUUUUGGUAAUGCCAGUUAUUCUUCCUUCUUAUUCCUUAUGUUCGAGGACGAACAUGAUUUUUAGUGGUGGAUAAUGUAAUGACCCAGAAGGUCAUUUUUAGAAAUUUUGAAUAUUCGUUUAACUAGAGUUAAUUAAUUGAUAAUUAAUUAUUAAAUAUCUAGUUUUAGUUAAUGCUUAAUGGGUUUAAGUUUAUAGUUUGGUUAAUACCAUAUAGCACUUGACCCAUAUAGGAAAAUAAAUUAUUAGGGUUGAGAAUUUUGGUUCAUAAUUUAAGAAAAGAAAAGGAGUCAGACUUACCUGCGUAAAGCUGCUACCGACGAGAGAAUACUUCAUGUCCAGGUAAUAUGCAACCACGCCAAAUAUAUGCAAUUGUGUGUAUGGAAUGGAGUAUAUUAUUGUUAUUAUUAUAAUGAUGAACAACAUAAUCUUUUAUAGUGCAUUAAUGACUGCAAACUAUGAUUUGAAUUGGAAAAUCAAGGUCAUUUAUUGCGGGCUAAUGAGAAAAUAAUGUUUGACUGAUUAUUGGCUACAUAUAGUUGAAAUUGAGUUAUGUCUCGUGUGGAAGUGACAGGCGAGGAGUUGGGUUCCUUGGCUUAUGCGAUUCCAUCACUGGUUUCGUAACCAGUGGUUCUCAUAUUUAUUAAUUCUUAUUUUAUUAUCACAUAAUUAUUCAAGUUAUGAUAUAUUGAGACACUUAAUUAUAUAUUAAGUGUAUUACAUUAUAUGAAAGCUAUUAGGGUUGUAGUGUCACGCCCCGAGCCUACACCCUGGGUGGGACCGACACCCGGAGACCAUUGCUGGCCCCAAGCGAACCCUUGGCCUGGCCUUCUUAUCUCAGCGGAAACCUAACUCAACAGAAUAACUUCAUGCAAUGCAAAGUCAUAAGACAACUUAACUGAUACAAAUCUGGCCAAAAAGGCACCUCGAGUCUCAAAAUAGAAUAUUUACAUAUAUACAUAUAGAUGAGAGACUCAAAACUAACUGACUGACUAUCUAUGAAGCCUCUAAUACUGAGAUGGAUGUUGGGACAGACCCCGCAACACCCUAAUAAAACAAAACUAAGAACACAAAAUAAUUCAGUCCUCCGGAAUACAAGGAGGCUCACCACUGACUCUGGAGUGCUCCGCUGGAUCAACGACGUGCAGGAUGCUGAUCCGGGGUACCUAUAUCUGCAUCAUAAUAAGAUACAGGCCAACUGGCAUCAGUACAUGGAAUGUACGAGUAUGCGAGCUGGAAAACUAAGCAACAAAGUCUAGAAGGAAAACUGGAAGAAACUGAAUACCUUACCUGGCUCAACUCAACUCAACCUGACUGACUUCUUUCAAUAUAAGGCAAUUUAAAACAAGUGCAAUAUAAAGAAAGACUGCUUAAAACAUGCUAUAAACUCUGUGUGUAUACAAAGAUACAAUAAGCCUGAGCUGUAUAUAGAAAUACAAAUGAUCUGAUCUAUAUAAAAAUACAAUAAUCUCUAUGUAUGAAUAUACGAUAACUGCUGUGGGAGUUUCUCUAACCGACAACCAUCAUAUAAGAGCUAUAGUGAUGAUACAACGAUCGACCUCACGCUGCCAGAGCAUCUUAUACCCGGCCAAAGGUAUAAGACCUGAAAUGCCUAAUGGAUCCACUAGUCUAUCUGGAAAGGAUUCAUCUAAAAAGUAUGAUCCUUUUCUACCCAUGGUGGCUAACAUGGUUCUAUGGGGGCUGUGGGUUCUUUGAACGCUCCCCCAAUUCGGUGCUCGAUACUACUCCCAAAAAUGUACUGGCUCUUAUGUUUUUAAAGCAUAUGUUUGUCCUGCUGAUUGAGAUAAUUACUCAAAAACUAGCCCUAAGGCUCUUUGGAAAUCUCAGUUUCCAACCUUGUUUAAAUGUAAAAACAUUUCUUUAAACUUUCUUUGGGAAUACAUAGUUCCCUAAUAACUUUGAGAAAUGAACUCAACUUUAUGCUCUUGAUUUAACUGACAACUCGAUACCCUUUACUCGACUUGAAACUCUAUGCUCUUUACUCUUUACUUAAUUUGAAACUCUUAGCUUGACUUGAAACUCUUGACUUAACUUGACUUGUAACUAGAGCCUUAAAAUGAAGUUAAAACAUUCAACAAAGACUCUUGAAAAGCUUUAGAAACUUGCUUUGACUUCCUUCUUAAACUUCUAGACUCAAACUCUUAACUUCACUUGACUUGGAAACUAACUCUCCUUGAAUUGGAAUUAUGAAUUCAAGGUGUUUGAUCACAUGUUACGGAUGAGUUCUUGACGUUUAAACGUACCUUGGGGUGUUGCAAAACAACUAGGAAACAUAGGUACAAUACCUAGGAACAUAUAUGAGAAAGUGGGGAAAGAAUGAGAAGACUUGGCGCUUUUGGCGCUCUUAGAGGCGCGGCGCACCAGACCUCAAACUUCAGAGAGGUCUGGUUGGGGCUCUGGUAUGGGUGGCGCCCCAGGGGCUAGACCUUAGAGUCCCUCUUGGGGCGCGCUGGCUGGCGCGACGCCCCAGCCUUUUUCCCCGAAAACUUGACUUUUCUCCUUCCUUUUCCAACUCUAAACCUCCCUUACCUUCAAUGGUUUCAACCCCCAAACACUAAGGAUCAUAAAAACCCUCAACAAACACUAGAUUCAACUCAAAAACACAACCAAAUCAUGUCCCACAACCAACAAUAACUUCAACAACACAAUCAACAACAUCAACAACACAACCCAACAACUUCAACAACAUAUCAAAUCUUUCUCAAUAAUGAAAAUGAGCUUGGUGUGUGGGGAAAGGAUCAACCCACACUAAAUACUCACAUACCUUGAUAGGGAUCAACCCCGACGAAAAUCCACGACGGAAAUUUGUUGAUCUCCUUUUUCUCCUCUUCUUCUUCUCUUCUUCACUCUCAAGAACCCUAACUCUUUCUCUUUUAAAAUGGGAUAAAAAUGAUCCAAAAUAAGCCUAACACACAAUAUAACCUCAAAAUAAAUGGCUAGGGAAAAGACCAAGAUGCCCUUAAAAUUUCCGGACGGAUUCCCUGCCAACUGCCUAACUUUCAAUGGCCAUAACUCGCUCAUACGAACUCAUAAUCGAGCAAACUCGGUGGUGUUGGAAAGAUCAUUCCACAAGAUUCGCAACCAUAACUGGAACUACUCCUAAAUCAUCCUGAGCUAGGAGUUACGACUGCUCAAACUUGUCCAAAAAAAUCACUGAUUUCCACACUUAGCCAAAUUUUCCAGAUUUUUGAAUUUUUUCCAAAAAUGACUAUUUCCAAUUUCAAACUUUUCCUAGCUAUUUCAAAUUGUCGGAUGUUACAAUAUCUCCCCCUUGUGAACAUUCGUCCUCCAAUGAGGUUACUCUUACAAGGCUAAAGGUGUAACAUCAAACUCAAACACCCAACAAGAAAUCAUACAAAAGCAACAACAACAACAUGCUCAUUAUAAUUAAAAGAGCACUAAAAAGGAAAUUAAUAUCUUAAUCUGCAUUUCCUCCGGAUUCAAAGAGAUGUAGAUAUCUCUUCUUCAUGUCCUCUUCGGCUUCCCAAGUAGCUUCCUCAACAAAUUGGUUCCUCCAAAGGACCUUGACUGAGGCUACAUCUUUCGUUCUCAAUCUACGAACUUGACGAUCUAAAAUCUGAACAGGAACCUCCUCAUAAGAUAAGUUAUCCUUGAUCCUAAUACUUUCAGUUGGUAGGAUCAAUGAAGGAUCGCCUAUGCACUUCUUCAACAUGGAGAUGUGAAAUACUGGAUGAACCGCUUCUAGUUCCUGCGGCAACUCCAACUCAUAUGCAACAUUGCCAAUCCUCUUGGCUAUGUGGUAAGGUCCAACAUACCGGGGACUAAGUUUCCCCUUCUUACCAAACCUCAUAACCCCCUUCAUGGGUGAAACUUUCAAAUAUACCCAAUCGUCUACUUCAAACUCUAACGCCCUUCUCCUAACAUCGGUGUAGGAUUUUUCGGCGAAUCUGUGCCGUCUUCAACCUUUCUUGAAUCACCUUCACCUUCUCCAUAGCUUGGUGAACUAAAUAUGGUCCUAUCAACCCUGCUUCGCCAACUUCUAACCAUUCAAUAGGAAAUCUACAUAUUCUCGUGCCAACUACGCAACUUCCAAAGGGCAUAGCUCACGCAUACGAACUCGGAAUCGAGCAAACUCAGUGGCGUUGGAAAGAUCGUUUUUGAAAUCGAUCACACAAGCCCUCAACAUAUCUUCUAAAGUCUGAAUAGUGUGCUCUGCUUGCCCAUCCGUCUGAGGAUGAAAGGCAGUACUCAAGUUCACCUUGGAACCCAAGCCUUUCUGAAAAGAUUUCCAGAACUGUGCAGUGAACUGUGCACCUCUAUCUGAAAUAAUGGAGAUUGGAACUCCAUGAAGUCUCACCACCUCUUGAAUAUAUAACUUGGCAUAAUCUUCUGAUGUAUUAGUAGUCUUUACCGGUAGAAAAUGAGUUGACUUUGUCAUUCCGUCAACAAUCACCCAAAUGGAAUCAUGUUGUCUGCGAGACCUUGGCAACCCCAUGAUGAAAUCCAUAUUGAUCAUCUCCCACUUCCACUCUGGAAGUUCUAUCCUCUGAGCCAAACCACCGGGUCAUUGGUGUUCAACUUUCACCUGUUGGCAAUUUGGACAUUUAGCAACAAACUCUGCAAUGCCCUUCUUUAUGCAAUUCCACCAAUAAACUUCUCUCAAGUCACNNNNNNNNNNNNNNNNNNNNNNNNNNNNNNNNNNNNNNNNNNNNNNNNNNNNNNNNNNNNNNNNNNNNNNNNNNNNNNNNNNNNNNNNNNNNNNNNNNNNNNNNNNNNNNNNNNNNNNNNNNNNNNNNNNNNNNNNNNNNNNNNNNNNNNNNNNNNNNNNNNNNNNNNNNNNNNNNNNNNNNNNNNNNNNNNNNNNNNNNNNNNNNNNNNNNNNNNNNNNNNNNNNNNNNNNNNNNNNNNNNNNNNNNNNNNNNNNNNNNNNNNNNNNNNNNNNNNNNNNNNNNNNNNNNNNNNNNNNNNNNNNNNNNNNNNNNNNNNNNNNNNNNNNNNNNNNNNNNNNNNNNNNNNNNNNNNNNNNNNNNNNNNNNNNNNNNNNNNNNNNNNNNNNNNNNNNNNNNNNNNNNNNNNNNNNNNNNNNNNNNNNNNNNNNNNNNNNNNNNNNNNNNNNNNNNNNNNNNNNNNNNNNNNNNNNNNNNNNNNNNNNNNNNNNNNNNNNNNNNNNNNNNNNNNNNNNNNNNNNNNNNNNNNNNNNNNNNNNNNNNNNNNNNNNNNNNNNNNNNNNNNNNNNNNNNNNNNNNNNNNNNNNNNNNNNNNNNNNNNNNNNNNNNNNNNNNNNNNNNNNNNNNNNNNNNNNNNNNNNNNNNNNNNNNNNNNNNNNNNNNNNNNNNNNNNNNNNNNNNNNNNNNNNNNNNNNNNNNNNNNNNNNNNNNNNNNNNNNNNNNNNNNNNNNNNNNNNNNNNNNNNNNNNNNNNNNNNNNNNNNNNNNNNNNNNNNNNNNNNNNNNNNNNNNNNNNNNNNNNNNNNNNNNNNNNNNNNNNNNNNNNNNNNNNNNNNNNNNNNNNNNNNNNNNNNNNNNNNNNNNNNNNNNNNNNNNNNNNNNNNNNNNNNNNNNNNNNNNNNNNNNNNNNNNNNNNNNNNNNNNNNNNNNNNNNNNNNNNNNNNNNNNNNNNNNNNNNNNNNNNNNNNNNNNNNNNNNNNNNNNNNNNNNNNNNNNNNNNNNNNNNNNNNNNNNNNNNNNNNNNNNNNNNNNNNNNNNNNNNNNNNNNNNNNNNNNNNNNNNNNNNNNNNNNNNNNNNNNNNNNNNNNNNNNNNNNNNNNNNNNNNNNNNNNNNNNNNNNNNNNNNNNNNNNNNNNNNNNNNNNNNNNNNNNNNNNNNNNNNNNNNNNNNNNNNNNNNNNNNNNNNNNNNNNNNNNNNNNNNNNNNNNNNNNNNNNNNNNNNNNNNNNNNNNNNNNNNNNNNNNNNNNNNNNNNNNNNNNNNNNNNNNNNNNNNNNNNNNNNNNNNNNNNNNNNNNNNNNNNNNNNNNNNNNNNNNNNNNNNNNNNNNNNNNNNNNNNNNNNNNNNNNNNNNNNNNNNNNNNNNNNNNNNNNNNNNNNNNNNNNNNNNNNNNNNNNNNNNNNNNNNNNNNNNNNNNNNNNNNNNNNNNNNNNNNNNNNNNNNNNNNNNNNNNNNNNNNNNNNNNNNNNNNNNNNNNNNNNNNNNNNNNNNNNNNNNNNNNNNNNNNNNNNNNNNNNNNNNNNNNNNNNNNNNNNNNNNNNNNNNNNNNNNNNNNNNNNNNNNNNNNNNNNNNNNNNNNNNNNNNNNNNNNNNNNNNNNNNNNNNNNNNNNNNNNNNNNNNNNNNNNNNNNNNNNNNNNNNNNNNNNNNNNNNNNNNNNNNNNNNNNNNNNNNNNNNNNNNNNNNNNNNNNNNNNNNNNNNNNNNNNNNNNNNNNNNNNNNNNNNNNNNNNNNNNNNNNNNNNNNNNNNNNNNNNNNNNNNNNNNNNNNNNNNNNNNNNNNNNNNNNNNNNNNNNNNNNNNNNNNNNNNNNNNNNNNNNNNNNNNNNNNNNNNNNNNNNNNNNNNNNNNNNNNNNNNNNNNNNNNNNNNNNNNNNNNNNNNNNNNNNNNNNNNNNNNNNNNNNNNNNNNNNNNNNNNNNNNNNNNNNNNNNNNNNNNNNNNNNNNNNNNNNNNNNNNNNNNNNNNNNNNNNNNNNNNNNNNNNNNNNNNNNNNNNNNNNNNNNNNNNNNNNNNNNNNNNNNNNNNNNNNNNNNNNNNNNNNNNNNNNNNNNNNNNNNNNNNNNNNNNNNNNNNNNNNNNNNNNNNNNNNNNNNNNNNNNNNNNNNNNNNNNNNNNNNNNNNNNNNNNNNNNNNNNNNNNNNNNNNNNNNNNNNNNNNNNNNNNNNNNNNNNNNNNNNNNNNNNNNNNNNNNNNNNNNNNNNNNNNNNNNNNNNNNNNNNNNNNNNNNNNNNNNNNNNNNNNNNNNNNNNNNNNNNNNNNNNNNNNNNNNNNNNNNNNNNNNNNNNNNNNNNNNNNNNNNNNNNNNNNNNNNNNNNNNNNNNNNNNNNNNNNNNNNNNNNNNNNNNNNNNNNNNNNNNNNNNNNNNNNNNNNNNNNNNNNNNNNNNNNNNNNNNNNNNNNNNNNNNNNNNNNNNNNNNNNNNNNNNNNNNNNNNNNNNNNNNNNNNNNNNNNNNNNNNNNNNNNNNNNNNNNNNNNNNNNNNNNNNNNNNNNNNNNNNNNNNNNNNNNNNNNNNNNNNNNNNNNNNNNNNNNNNNNNNNNNNNNNNNNNNNNNNNNNNNNNNNNUGAUGACUCGGCCCUGUUCGUCACCGCUAUUCCUCCUUCUGCGGAAUCUGUAAAUCUGACUCCCAGGCAUGCCAGUCCGUGCACAUCUUUUGCUAACUCUCUCUUCUCUUCUCUAAUAUGUGCGGUGCUACCCAUAGACAACCUGCUCAAUGAACCAGCAACAACUUUAGCCUUACCUGGGUGGUAAAGAAUACUCAGGUCAUAAUCCUUGAGUAGCUCUAACCACCUCCUCUGUCUGAGAUUAAGCUCUUUCUGAGUAAGCACAUAUUGAAGGCUCUUGUGAUCAGUGAAUAUGUCAACAUGUACACCAUACAAGUAAUGACACCAUAUCUUCAAAGCGAACACUACUGCCGCUAACUCUAAGUCAUGGGUUGGGUAGUUCUUCUCAUGGACCUUCAACUGUCUGGAGGCAUAAGCUAUAACCUUGCCACUCUGCAUUAAGAAUCAACCCAAACCAACUCUAGAUGCAUCACAAUACACCACAAAACCUUGAGUACAUUCUGGUAGCGUCAAAACUGGAGCUGUAAUCAAUCUCUUUUUCAAUUCCUGAAAGCUCUCCUCACAUGCUUCAGACCACUGAAAUUUCACUGCCUUCUGAGUCAACUUUGUCAAAGGAGAUGCAAUAGAUAAGAACACCUCAACAAACCUUCUAUAAUAACCAGCUAAUCCCAAGAAACUCCUAAUUUCAGUUUGGAGAUGUGGGUCUAGGCCAAUUCUGCACUGCCUCAAUUUUCCGAGUAUUAACUUUAAUUCUGUCACCGGACACAAUGUGGCCUAGGAAUGCCACAGACUUAAGCCAAAAACUCACACUUAGAGAACUUGGCAUAUAACUCCUUAUCUUUCAAAGUCUGAAGAACUGUUUUGAGAUGACUAGCAUGAUCUUCUUCUAUUCCUUAGAAUAGACUAGUAUGUCAUCAAUGAAGACUAUAACAAACGUAUCUAAGUAAGGUUUGAAGACUCGAUUCAUCAAGUCCUUGAAAGCUGCCGGUGCAUUGGUCAACCCAAAGGACAUAACUAAAAACUCAUAAUGACCNNNNNNNNNNNNNNNNNNNNNNNNNNNNNNNNNNNNNNNNNNNNNNNNNNNNNNNNNNNNNNNNNNNNNNNNNNNNNNNNNNNNNNNNNNNNNNNNNNNNNNNNNNNNNNNNNNNNNNNNNNNNNNNNNNNNNNNNNNNNNNNNNNNNNNNNNNNNNNNNNNNNNNNNNNNNNNNNNNNNNNNNNNNNNNNNNNNNNNNNNNNNNNNNNNNNNNNNNNNNNNNNNNNNNNNNNNNNNNNNNNNNNNNNNNNNNNNNNNNNNNNNNNNNNNNNNNNNNNNNNNNNNNNNNNNNNNNNNNNNNNNNNNNNNNNNNNNNNNNNNNNNNNNNNNNNNNNNNNNNNNNNNNNNNNNNNNNNNNNNNNNNNNNNNNNNNNNNNNNNNNNNNNNNNNNNNNNNNNNNNNNNNNNNNNNNNNNNNNNNNNNNNNNNNNNNNNNNNNNNNNNNNNNNNNNNNNNNNNNNNNNNNNNNNNNNNNNNNNNNNNNNNNNNNNNNNNNNNNNNNNNNNNNNNNNGGUAUCUCAGCACUAGAGUCAUUAACUCGGACUAAGUGAUAGAUACAACCCUUUGAAACUAACUUUCUUGCCUUAAGGUACGAAAUAAAACGACCCUUAGGCACUGCGGAACUGCUACUCCAUUCUAUGACUGACUCAUUCGGAAACUGAAACUUGACUGCUCGAGUUCUACAAUCUAUCGAUACAUAACAAGCAUGAAGCCAAUCCAUACCUAGAAUGACUUCGAAAUUUACCAUGUCUAACUCAACCCAAUCAGCCAUGGUGCUCUUGUGAUUGAUAGAUACAGGACAAUCACGAUAAACUCUUUCUGCUAGAAUAGACUCCCCAACAGGUGUAGAAACACAAAAGGGUUCACAAAGUCUUUCAGGUUGAACCUCAAACUUAUUUGCAACAUAAGGAGUUACAAAAGAUAAACUUGCUCCUGGGUCUAGCAAAGCAUACACAUCAAAAGCAAAGACUUUGAUCAUACCAGUGACAACACUUCGGAGAAUUCUCUUGCUCAUGGCGACUGGUGAUAGAAUAAAGGCGGUUUGCUCCUCCACCAGUACUAGAAGUAGCUACUCUAGGUGUCGUCCUGUCUGGUGGAACAACUGAAGAAGACUGUGCUUUAUUGCCCCCAUUAUCCUACCUAUUCUUUGGACACUCUCGCAUGAAAUGUCCAUUCUGACCACACCUGAAACAACCAAUGGAGCCCUCUAGACAAAUACCUGAGUGGUUCCUACCACACUUGGCGUAGGCAGGAGGCUUACUACUCCCUUGCGCCACACUACCCGAAGAUUGUGCUGGUCUAGCCCUGAAGUCCUUCGAAUUCUGGAUAUUAAAUUCACCUUUGUAUCUGGGUGUAGGUGCUCUAGCAAAUGAUGGAGCAGGUCCCUUUUUCCUUUGCUGAAAGGAGGAACGACUUGAAUUGCCUUUCUGCUGCCCGGACUCAUUACCGGACUUUGCUCUCUUAUUUCUGAACUCUUCUCUGUCCCUCAACUUCUCUUCCUCAACCUGCUGUACAUAGAUCAUUAAUCUAGAUAUGUCUAUGUCCCCGAUAAGCAUUGCAGCCCUACCUUCAUUACUUGACAGCUGAGACAGCCCAUCAACAAACAAACUCAUUCUAUUCCUCAUGUCCGCAACCAUCUCCGGAGCAUAGCGGGAUAGUUGGGUGAACUUCAGACUGUACUCUAGAACACUCAAAGACUCUUGCUUAAGUGUGAGGAACUCACGUACCUUGGCCUCUCUCAAUUCUCGAGGAAAGAAAUUCCCCAAGAAAGCUUCCUCAAAAUAGGCCCAACUCACAGGUGGUGCAUUCUCAGCUCUGCCCCCUUUCCACUGAUCGAACCAAGUUCAAGCAAUAUCUUUCAGUUGAUACGCAGCUAGUUCAACCCGCUCAGUGUCUGCCACAUGCAUCACAUCAAAAAUCUUCUUCAACUCCUCAAUAAAGUUCUCUGGAUCCUCAGUAGUACUCGAACCCAUGAAACUCGGAGGAUUCAUCCCCAAGAAUUCACGAAUUCUAGAAGUGUCAGCUCAUUCAUGUCGAGCUCCCUUUUGCUGACCAAUCUGAUUUGUUACAACUUGACUCAGAAUUCUAAUUGCCUCUCUGAACUCGGCAUUAGAAAACUUCCCAUUGAUCUUGCACUCCCGGUGCAUAGGGUAACUCUUGCUCAUCAACAUAACGUCUAGGAAGACGCCCUCUACCAACUCUUCGUAGAGGCAUGACUGUCUGAAAAACGCGCAAGCACAGAUUAGAAAGAAACUCUUUAGAGAUAAACUCUAACGCACAAGAUGAGUGUGAAAGAAAUGAGAAAUCUUCCUAAAUGUUGUAGCCUCCCAAUUAUAGAUGUGGCGCGCUUCACACUGAUAACUAGGACUCUACAGACACGGCUUCAUAGACUCCCUAGGACUCUUGAACUCUGGCCUCUGAUACCAAGUUUGUCAGGCGCCGAGCCUACACCCUGGGCGGGACUGGCACCCGGAGACCAUUGCUGGCCCCAAGCGAACCCUUGGCCUGGCCUUCUUAACUCAGCGGAAACCUAACUCAGCAGAAUAACUUCAUGCAAUGCAAAAUCAUAAAACAACUUAACUGAUACAAAUCUAGCCAAAAAGGCACUUCGAGUCUCAAAAUAGAAUAUUUACAUAUAUACAUAUAGAUGAGAGACUCAAAACUAACUGACUGACUGUCUAUGAAGCCUCUAAUACUGAGAUGGAUAUUGGGACAGACCCCGCAACACCCUAUUAAAACAAAACUAAGAACACAAAAUAAUUCAGUCCUCCGGAAUACAAGGAGGCUCACCACUGACUCUGGAGUGCUCCGCUGGAUCAACGACGUGCAGGAUGCUGAUUCGGGGUACCUAUAUAUGCAUCAUUAUAAGAUACAGGCCAACUGGCAUCAGUACAUGGAAUGUACGAGUAUGCGAGCUGGAAAGCUAAACCACAACUUAAGCUUGAAAAGAGUACAAGAGAACACUUACCUUGGCUCUGUUCAACUCAUAAAUAACUAAACAUGCAAUAUAUAUAUAUAAAGCUUGUAAAACUAUUCAAAACAUGACGUAAAAAUCAUAUUUAUAAUAUCAUGAAAAUACCAUGCUUCCUCUCAAGGUCUACUUGUGCAAUGUAUGAAUGAAGUCCCAUACCCCCAUCCAUACUAAGCAGAACCCUCGAGGAACCAUGCUCUUUCUACUGUGGGAGCUUCUCUAACCGACAAACCACCACUAUGAAUCUGAGUGGUGAUACAACGUUUUACCUCACGUUGCCCGAGGACCAUCCUAUACCUUGCCGUGAUAUAGGAAACUAACUUUACUAAGUGGAUCCACUAGCUUAACUUUACGGGUUCAUCUAAAAAGUAUGACCCGUUAACUCCCAUGUUGGCUACAUGGUUCUUAUGGAGAGUUGAGUUUAAUAUGAACUCGCGUCUCCAAAUCGGUGCUCGAUACUACUCCCAAAAUACUUUAGCUCAUAAGUGUUUUAAACACAACUUUCUUUANNNNNNNNNNNNNNNNNNNNNNNNNNNNNNNNNNNNNNNNNNNNNNNNNNNNNNNNNNNNNNNNNNNNNNNGCUCUUUUGGAAUCAUAGUUCCUUUCUUACUCAAAUGUAAAAACAUUUAGAAACUUCUUUGGGAAUACAUAGUUCCCUAAUAACUUUGAGAAAUGAACUCAACUUUAUGCUCUAGACUUAACUGACAACUCGAUACCCUUUACUCGACUUGAAACUCUAUCCCCUUUACUCUUUACUUAACUUGAAACUCUUAGCUUGACUUGAAACUCUUGACUUAACUUGACUUGUAACUAGAGCCUUAAAAUGAAGUUAAAACAUUCAACAAAGACUCUUGAAAAGCUUUAGAAACUUGCUUUGACUUCCUUCUUGAACUUCUAGACUCAACUCUUAACUUCACUUGACUUGGAAACUAACUCUCCUGAAUUGGAAUUAUGAAUUCAAGGUGUUUGAUCACAUGUUACAGAUGAGUUCUUGACGUUUAAACGUACCUUGGGGUGUUGGAAACAACUAGGAAACAUAGGUACAAUACCUAGGAACAUAUAUGAGAAAGUGGGGAAAGAAUGAGAAGACUUGGCGCUCUUGGCGCUCUGAGAAGCGCGGCGCGCCAGACCUCAAACUUCAGAGAGGUCUGGUUGGGGCUCUGGUAGGGGCUGGACCUCAGAGUCCCUCUUGGGGCGUGCUGGUUGGCGCGACGCCCCAGGCCUUUUCCCCGAAAACUUGACUUUUCUCCUUCCUUUUCCAUCUCUAAACCUCCCUUACCUUCAAUGGUUUUAACCCCCAAACACUAAGUAUCAUAAAAACCCUCAACACACACUAGAUUCAACUAAAAAACACAACCAAAUCAUGUCCCACAACCAACAAUAACUUCAACAACACAAUCAACAACAUCAACAACACAACCCAACAACUUCAACAACAUAUCCAAUCUUUCUCAAUAAUGAAAAUGAGCUUGGUGUGUGGGGCAAGGAUCAACCCACACUAAAUACUCACAUACCUUGAUAGGGAUCACCCCCGACGAAAAUCCACGACGGAAACUUGUUGAUCUCCUCUUUCUCCUCUUCUUCUUCUCUUUUUCACUCUCAAGAACCCUAACUCUUUCUCUUUUAAAAUGGGAUAAAAAUGAUCCAAAAUCAGCCUAACACACAAUAUAACCUCAGAAGAAAUGGCUUGGGAAAAGACCAAAAUGCCCUUAAAAUUUCCGGACGGAUUCCCUGCCAACUGCCCAACUUUCAAUGGCCAUAACUCGCUCAUACAAACUCGGAAUCGAGAAAACUUGGUGGCCUUGGAAAGAUCAUUCCACAAGCUUCGCAACCAUAACUGUAACUACUCCUAAAUCAUCCUGAUCUAGGAUUUACGGUUUCUCAAAGUUGGCCAAAAAAAUCACUAAUUUCCACAUUUAGCCAAAUUUUCCAGAUUUUUGAAUUUUUUCCAAAAAUGACUAUUUCCAAUUUCAAACUUUUCCUAGCUAUUUCAAAUUGUCGGAUAUUACAUGUAGUGUUUGGAGAAAUUAUGACUUAAUCCUAGGCUUGAAAUUCGGAAAACAUGAGAGUUGACAUGUUAAUUGGCACCGAGAUUAGGAACUUGAUUAUAAAUUGAGUGAGUGUUUGGGUCUAGGCUAGACCUAUAGUAAUUUGAGUGUGGUUAGUUUCGAAAUCUUAUUGUGAUUAAUAAUGUGAGUAGAUUGCUUUGAGUUGGAAGUUCAACGAAAGGGAAGACUCAAGUCUCGGAGUGAUUGUUCGACUAUUUGAGGCAAGUGGAUUUCUAAACUCUUGUUAAGUGUAUGGAAUUCGUGUAUUUCCUUGUAAUAUGUGUUUCGGGGGUAACGAGACUUGGUGAUGGGUUGACUUGUCCACAUUGAUUAAUUCUAAUGAUGAAAAGUUCAACGAAAGGGAAGACUCAAGUCUCGGAGUAAUUGUUCGACUAUUUGAGGCAAGUGGAUUUCAAAACUCUUGUUAAGUGUAUGAANNNNNNNNNNNNNNNNNNNNNNNNNNNNNNNNNNNNNNNNNNNNNNNNNNNNNNNNNNNNNNNNNNNNNNNNNNNNNNNNNNNNNNNNNNNNNNNNNNNNNNNNNNNNNNNNNNNNNNNNNNNNNNNNNNNNNNNNNAAAAGGCAAUAUGAUCAAUUGUUUGUGUGAUGUGUUGAGAAUUGUUUGAAAGGCUUGUUGAAUCUUUGUUGAUGUUGUAUCAUGAUUGUGUUGUUGUGAAUUGUGCAAUGUUAUGAAAAUGGUCAUCUCCUCAUUAUUUGUGUGAACAUGUCAUUUGCAUUGUUCUGAGACAUGGUUGUGACAAGUGUUAUGUGAAUUGAGAAAGAAUAAGAAAUGAAAGAGGACGUACCAUUUCGAGGGAUGUAUCACGCGUCGCAAUGGAUACUAUAUUUCGAGGGACGUAUCGUGCGCCGCGAUGAAUACUAUAUUUCGAGGGUCGUAUCGCGCGCUGCGAUGGUUACUAUUAUCGAGGGUCGUAUCACGCUCCGCGAUGGAUGCAUGGACAGAUAUGUCCCCCAUGGGUCCCGAAUUGAGAGACAAUGGGUGUGUAUCACUAGGUCAGACAUGCAUCAUUAUACUUGACAUUGCAUUCCAUUGCAUUGCACAUACUUAUCAUUAGUGAACUUGAUAUUGUGUUUUGCUAAUCUUGUGAGUGCCUCUCUGUGGAACUUUGUGAGUGCCUUUCUGUAGAAUUUGAUUGAUGAAUAUUGAGGAUAUGUAAUUGUUAGAGUGUUGUGGUUGAGCUGUGUGCUAUGUGAAUUAUGAGCUGUUAGGUUGGACUGGUUUUAAGCAGGUUGUAGUUGUGGAGGUUGUAAUUGAUGAAUCCUGAGCUUGUUGUGUAGAAUAUGUGAUUGUUAGAAUGUUGUUGUUGAGAUAUGUGCUUGUAAAUUGUGAAUUGUUAGGUUGGGCUGGUUUUAUGCAGGUUGUAGUUAUGAAGGUUCGGUUGGGGUGUAAGGAGUACCCGUAUUCUAUCCCCUUAGCUUGUGUUUAGAGGUUUACUUGCUGAGUAUCGUGUGGUUUGGUACUCAUCCCUUGCUACUACAUUUUUUUGUAGGUUAUUAGCCCGGACCUUUGUGAUAUUUUCUCUUCUCCUUGUCUGAGGCUUCUUGUGGAGGUUUGUGAGGUAGCUGCUUGUCAUUUUCAGCGGACUUUUCUUUCUCCUUAAUUAUGAUCUUGUUCUAUUCUAGAAACAGGGUCAUUUGAGACUUGUGUUUUUCUUUUGAAUAAAUUGUAUUACUUUAGAGGCAUGUACACGUGACAACCAGAUGUUGGGGGUAUUUUUGAGUUGAUUAUAAAAUUUCCGCAUUUUAUUGUAAUGGUUGAGUUUUAGGCUGACUUGUCUUGAUGGGAUAAGACGAGUGCCAUCACGUCCAUUUUUGGGUCGUGACAAUAUGCCUCUAUAUAUUUUAAUAGGCGUUAACAUUGCCAUGUAAAACAUACCAAUAGUAUUGUUACGAAAAUAUGUAAAACUAGUAAUUGCUAGAGAAGUAACCAGCUUAAUCACUACUAAUUCCAUUCCUUUUUAGUUGUCAUAGUUUUCUUUUUAAGACUCAAACGAUAUAGAUUUUGACUAAUAUUUUAAGUUGUAUUUUUUCAUCAUAUUGAUAUAAAAAAAAUUACAAUUUAUAGUACUUUCGGCAUAUUUUUUGAAUAUCUAAAAUUUUAUUUUAAAUAUUGAAUGAAUAUAAUCUAAUUUAGCUAUGAAAAUUAGUCAAAUUAACUCUCAAAAAGCAUAACAUGACAAAAAAAAACGAAGAAAGUAUUAAUUUGGAGCAUGUAAAAGUAUUAGUAGACAUACCGAUGACGUUCCUUUUUCCAUUUAAUCUCUAACCUCGAACCAGCCUUCAAUUUCUAGAGAUUUGAUGUUUCAACUAAUCACAUGCACAUUUAAUAAGGAUAAAAAUUAGAAAUGCAAGUAAAAAGAACGGCAACAAGCAAAAAUUGUGAAUGUAAACUAUUAAAUUUAUAGGUUUUGAAUUAAUAAAAUGAUAUAUAUGUAAAUAAUAAUUCAGGAUAAAUACAUGAUAUUUUUUUUAGAGAAAAUGUUCUCUAAAAUUUUUGACCAACCAAAAUGAGAAAAUUGAAAAAACAGUUUAGAGAGGGAAGAGAAGAGGGUCGGAGACUAAUCUUGAUGCUAGGAUAUAAACUCUUUCAACUACUAUAUAUUGAUGCUUAAUUAUCGACAAUUGUGCUCUAUCGGUGAAAAUCUCCUACUUCACAGCAGGAGAUCAUAUCGGGUAAGAAAGUAGGCUCACUAUAUCCAUUAUACUCUUACUAAAGUACAUUUGAUCUUUCUUUGUCUCGAACCCAUACCCCUAUAAUAAUGGUAGAGUCAGGGGUAGCCCCAAAUUAAGCGAAAUUGACCGGUAGUGCUUGGUCGAAGCUCCAGUAGGUAGCCCACUUGCUAGGAUGAUAAACUCAUAAACAUGCUCUCGCCUUCAACCUUAAGAUUGUAAGCAAAGAUGGUAGAAACUCCUACAUAUCAUUCUAUAUAUCCAACAUAUACAUUCUAUAAUUAUCAAGUCAAAAAUAUAAACCAUUUUUCUGUUUCUUAUGUAUGUAUGUAAUCCACAAAUAAAUACAAAAAGGGGAUAUUACUCUCUCUGCCUUUGUAUUCAAAUAUUACAUGUAAAAAAAUGAAAUAGAAAAAAAAAUAGUUUACCUUUUUCUUUACUUCCAAGCUGUUAAAACCAUGAAAAUUAACAAGGAAAUGAUGAAUGUGAUAUAUUAUGAGAGAGCUCACAAUAAAACUUAAAUGCUAAUUAAGGCUACCUUGAAUUUAUAUGACUAUAUAGCCAUACAUACAAUAAGAGAAAAAUGACAAAAGGUUAAGUUGGUCAAUAGCUCACAAUACCAUGUUCUUACAAUUUUAUAUUUAUAUUAAUUUUUUUGAAACAGUCAACUUUUUUUCUAUUUAGUUUAAUUGAUAAUAAGAAUUAAUUUCUUCAAAAAAUAGACUUACUAAUAGUUAGUUCUAUCAAGAAUUUUUAGAUAACAAUUGUUCACAUUCCUAAAAAUCUCUCUUUUUUAUGGGUUUUUCACCCGGUGUCCGGAGUCUAUAUUGGAGCAUUGCGCAACACUGCAAAAGCUCAUUUGGGUUUGACGCUCCCAACAAAAUCUUCUUUAUUUCGAACUCUCUGUUUAAGGUGAAACAGCCCCAUAUUCCUAAAAAUCUCUCCAUUAUUAGUCAACUAAACAGACAAUGGAUCUGCCAAUAAAAUAAAGGACCCAUUUGGUAAUAAAAAUUAUUUAUUUAUUUUAUUUAAAUGUUAGUGUAAAUCUACGAUGAAAUGCAUCCUAAAUUAAUCCGGGAAAUGUCAACUGAUAAUGCUUAUUCUGCUAUUCACUUGCAAAUAUAUUUAUGGAGACUGUCAGCUAUCAUUUCGAUUUUCGAGUAGAAAGAUUUGGUUUUAAUUAAUUAUCAAAGUAAUUAUAAACUUAAAUUAAUCAAUUUUAGAUCUAGACUUUGAUUAGACUAAUUGAAAGUUCACGUUAAGGCUGCAAACAUAAAUCAAACAUUACAUAUUCUACAACAAGUACUAUUGGGUCAUUUGCACUUUUAUCCUUGUUUUAUGGUGCUCUUUAAUUUUUGCUUAGUGGAGUUAUCGUAUCGUAAAGAUGGUUAGACGAAUAUUAUUCAUUGAUCUCAAAUUUCAUAUCCUAACAGUUAAUUGAAAUCAUAACUUCAUAUAACUUAGCUUAAUAGCUUCCGCUUAUCUAAGUUAACAUGAUAUGAAAGCGCAUAUACGAAUCUGCACUAAUUGAAGAAUUGAUCGUAGUAGCUUAAGGACAUAAAUCUAGUCUAGGUAACAUAAGAGCAUAAAUUGAUCAUAAUCAUCCACUUUAUCUUCAACCUAAUGAUACUCCACGUAGUUCUCUCAUCCCUCUUCAGUUAAUUGGAUCUGAGAAUUAUGACCAUUUUUUCUAACAGAAUUUAGUGGUAUUUAAAACUACGGUGUCAUCGAACCACUCAAUUGCAGUAAAGUACAUUUAGAAUACUAGAAUUUAGUAGUAGAAGAAGAAGUCGAGAAAAUCGUUGUUGAGUAAAAAGUUAUGAUCAUUUAGGAAAGGUUACAACCCUUUAUAGAAGUCGAAAGUCAAAACCCUUCUUAAAAAUAACAAAUCUUCACAAAUCACACCUUAUGGAAAAAUCACAAAUCUUCACAAAAAUAAAUGAUAGUGUGAACAUGUGUUUAUAGUGCCUUAUCGGAAAGUCACACAACCCUUUAGAAAAGUGAAAAGUCAUAACCCUUCGUAAAAAUCACACCUUACGGAAAAAUCACAAAUCUUCACAAAAAUCACAACCCUUCAAGUUAACAAAAAAACUAGAAUCUUAUAUCAGAGAUUAGAGACGAAAUAAGAUUCAUAACUAACAAAAAAACAUGAAAGAAAACUCUCAAAACAUUAAUUUUGAGCAUCUCCAGAACCACGCAGAUGAACUGAGACUGCAAAUGCAUGUGUUGUUUCUUUCAUCAUUGUUGUUCUAUCCUUGUGUCCUUUGGGCAUUCUGCAAGUUAUAUAUAGUAUGAUUUUAAUUAAAUGAAGUAUAUAUGUAUGUAGGGGUAAAGAUGUAAUAAUUAAUUACCUCUGUUUCAUCCUCUUCUUCAGCUUCUAUAAUUCAUACAACACAUCUGAUAAAUGGACUUGAAGUCUGUCCUCUCCUGCGAAUUCUAUUAUCUGUUUCUUAAUCUCAAUGGCUGAAUCUUCAACCUCACGGUUCAUAUUCAUUAAAUGAAUGGACUUUAAAGUUUCUCUAUCCGCAAAUGCACAAGGGAUCUCCGUAAGCUUGUAACAAUUAUCUAGUAUUAAUUCCUCAAGCUUGGGAAAAGCUCCCCUAUUAACUUCCCAUUCUGAAAGGUUGACCAGUCGCAAACUCAAAGUCUUAAGACUUUGAUACAUGCCCUCACUUGCAUACCACUUAUCCUUCACUAAAUCAGAGUCGAUAAUCGCCAGAAUUUCAAGCUGAGGUAAUGCCACGAUUGCAGACAACAAAGCAGGUGUCAUGGUAAACCGAUACAACCGUAACUCUUUCAAGCUGCUAGGGAAGUGAUAUUUUUUGGGUUGAGGGAUUAACUCGGGGCAACAGUAUAUUGCUAUGAAUGAUUCAAGUUUAUUAAGCACAUCAAGCUUGGGAAACCAAUCGUCCUGGGUAGGAGGGUGCUGCGCUUCCACUAUGGUGCAAUCAAGGUGCUGAAGAUUUGGGAACUUCUCCAGAGCAUCAUUCGUGCCUACAGAAUAUGAGAUAUUGACUUGGGAUAAAGUUGUCAGCUUUGAAUUCUCACCUUUCAAUAUUCUACUUUGGAUUUUUUUCGCGUCCUCUUCCUCUUCAAAGAAACAACUCAUGUCAAUUUUCACAUGUUUCAGCUUUGACAGUUGUAACAUUCUGGGCAGUAAUACCAUGGUGGAAUCUCCAGUAUUGAUCAACAGAGUUUCCAGAUUCUGGAGGUUCAACCACGAUUCUGGGAUAGCUUUUCCAUUAAGAGUAUGAAUCCUUAAGAACCUCAAAUGAAAUAGGGACCCUAUUUCUUCCAUUAAAAAAUCUUUCAAAAGGAUGCUACCCAGUUGCAACACUCUAACAAGUCCAAAGUGUCUUGUAUGACAGAUAUACCUGAAGUGGAGAAGCGAACCGCUAACUUUCAAAGAUAUGAGAUGCUUACUACCAAAUGAACACUUCUUAGACUUGAACAAAACACAUUUUUUGUGGAGUUGGCCCUCCUCAAUAUGAAUGGUUAGACGAUGGUGUAGGAAAUCAGAAACAUGAAAUCGAUUACCCGGAUUGAUUAUCGUGAAAAACUUUUCCUUUUUCGCUUUUACUGAACAAAAAUCAUGCACAACAUCAUGCACAUAGCAAACCUUGAUCUUUACAAAAAAUGGGUGACUCCCCUUGAUAUGAUCCACCAUUAUCAGGCUACUGGAAAUUAAAGCAUCCAAGUAACUUUGAGUUACUUCCUCUAAACUAUUCUUGGAUCGGAUAUCAUGGUCCAGAAAACCUUCAGCCAUCCACAACUGCAUCAACUUAGAGACUGGAGUUCGUUUGCCCUUUCGAGAUCUUGCAAAGUAAAGCAACAACGGCUUCAGGUGGUAUGGUAAAUGGUCAUAACUUAAUUGCAUAACCUUCAUAAUCUCUAAAUUGUUGUUGGCAGAAAUAUCCAAAUUAUGUUGAAUCUUAAGCCACAAAUCCUUUUCCUCUUUCUUUCCUCUAACAAUUACUCCAGCAAUCAAAACAACAGCCAAAGGAAGCCCUUGACAUUUCUUAACUAUUUGGUGUCCAACAUCCAACAGUUCAGCAGGGCAGCUUUCUUUUCCAAAUACCAUUUUUUCGAAUAACUCCCAACUUUUUCCAAAUGUUAAAAGUUGAAGGCAGAGAAGAUCACUAUGGCAUUUCAGUUUCAAACCUACCUCACUAUUUCGGCUAGUUAAGAUAACUCUAUCUCCUCUCUUAAACUUUGGAAAACAUGCUAUUAACAUCUCCCCUGUUGCAAUAUCCCACACAUCAUCCAAGACGAUGAGGUACCUUUUAUCGUACAAUGCUCUUCGUAGCUUUUCAGCAAGGUCGUGAUCCUCACUUUCGUUUUCUUCAGAGUUAUCAACUUGCUGAAGAAUCUCCCGCAACACCUUUGACUUGUUAUACUUUUGGGAAACAGUGCACCAAGCACGAAUCUUGAAAUGACUAGCAACUAAUGUAUUGUUAUACACUUUGUUGGCCAGAGUAGUUUUACCGAGUCCUGGCAUUCCGACAAUGGAAAUGACAUCAAGCUCGGAUUCAUGUUUAUCAAGGAGCUGGUCAAUCAUCUUGGCUUCAUCUUCUUCAUGACCAACUGUUACCUCAACAAAAGAUGACGAGGUUGACUCAAUUGGCUCGUUGGAAGACUUUGCAUCAAGGGGGCCAUCCCCAUUCUUAUCUUCCAGCUGUAAACAUGUGACUUCUGCCACGAUAAGCUUGAUCUUAUCAGUGACACUCGGAAGUGAGAAGAUGAGAUGCGAGAGAGCUUUAUCUCUGACAAGAAUGGAAUUAAUGACAUGUUCUGCCUCAUAUGCCACAUCUAAAGCACGCACCCAACAAUCUUUAACUACUCCACUACUGUCAUCCAAUGUUUGCCUGACUUUCAUGAAAGAUGAUCUUAGGAAUUCGAGGCUUUCUUUCACCAUCCCAAUUUCUUUCUUUAUCAGCAUAACUGAAUAGACAUUGGAAAUGAGCAAAUCAUUUAAAUGUCUGAGUAGAAGAUUCAUGAAGAGGAAACCAUCAUCCACAUGAAACUGAUCCGGGGCUUUCAAAAAAAUCUUUUUGAUAUCUCCCUUCAUUCGUUCAAUUUCUUGCAACAAGUCUGGAGCUGAAAAAUUUGCUUCAUCCAUAUUAGAGCUCUCCUCCAUGAGAGUAGAUAUCUUCCUUGUAAGUAGUGCGACAUGUGCCAACAUAUCGUUCAAUUUUUCAGGAUGGAUAAAGCGCUUUGGUAUAUCGGUGAGAAAGAUCAAUAGGAACUCGAUCAUGACAUUAAUACUUUGAGUUUGAGAGUAAUUGACAGCUACCAUGCGUCCUUGGAGAUGAAUGAGAUAAUUUUGAAGAAUCUUUGGAGAUGCUUUCAGGAUUUGCUUCACAAACCGUUUUAAUUGAGUUGACGUUGAUUCUUUUAUGAGCUUAGAAGUAGAAAUGUAUAGAACCUCCAGCUCAAGAGGGAUUAUCUUGAUGAGUAGAGAAGAGACUUUGGAAGAGUACUCAUCAGCUUCAUAACUUGGUUUAUACUUUCCAGUCCAAAUAUCAAAAUAGAAUUGUAGAAAUUUACGGGCGAUGAAUUGGAAGCGAGGAAAGAGAUAUUGAGUAGUAGUUGUUUUGUUGGCCAGGAGGAUAGGAUAGAAAUCUGUCAGACGACGGAAUACUUGGCGAAGAAUGUUUAUUUGCUUGGACAUCCUCUCAUAAAAGUCAUCAUCCGAAUAAGAAGUACUGUUUGGUAGAUCAUGAAGGUCUAUCCAGAGGUAUUCAAACAUUUUCUCCUCUGUGGUCAUUGCUACAUAAUUAUCGUUCUUUAAACUCAAAUAACUUUGCAUCUCUUCCAGCAGCAGAGGGACAACACCAUCCAUGUUGUAUUUCUCUAGAAUUACUUCAUCAUUAAGUAGUGACUGAGUCAUAACACUGAACUUGUUUAUUUUGUUGGACAUCCUCUCAUAAAAGUCCUUGCCCAAACUUGAAUUCCCAAACAGGACAAAUGUUCUUAAGAAUCUCACUUCCAUUCUUAGCUUUUCAAUGUCAUACCAUUUUGAAUCAAGGAAUUCUUCUUCUUCUUCAUUCUGAAUUUUCUUCAACCCAUUCAAUAAAUCAUCAAUAAGAUUCCUGAUUCUUCUUCUUUUUUCCUCAAGUGGCACCUCCUAAAUUAAAACAUAGUAAUACGUAAUUGUUGUUUCAAUAGAGACAAUAAUUAAAGAAAUGAAAAUUUAGUAAGAAACUUGGACGAAUUGAAUUAGCCCAAAUGAGUAAUUCUCAGUUUUUCUUCUUUAUUAGCUCAUCAAUAUUUUGGUGAUAUGACUUUUGAAUCAUUUUUAAAAAAAUACUUCACGGAUCCUCAGUAAUUAGUUGUGGAAACAAUACGCAUAGUCUCGAUUUUUUCGUAUGUUAAUCCAUGAAUAUUUUGGUGAUAUAACUUCCAAAUGAUUUUACAAAAAAAAAAAACAUUUAUGGGGCCCUCCCUAAUAAGUUGGGAGGAGCAGUAUUGGGCUACGCAAUCAAUCGAAAUUAUGUACACAAUCAAUCGAAAAGUCAAAUAUGACUUAACAGUUCCCACUUCUUAAUGGGUUUUAAUAUAUUGGGGGUACCCUUUUAAUUGUUAAUCUUUUUAGCUUCGGUAAUUAAAUAUACUCAUUCACAACUUUUCAUGUACAUAUAGUCUCCCUUCCUUCAUAAAUUUGACAAAAAAAUAUUAAUUUACAACAUUUUUGUAUUUUAUCAUCUUAUAAUUCUUAUAUAAUUUUUUAUUUAUUGAUCAUUCUUUUUUUUUUUUCUUAUUAAUAUAUUCAUUUCGUAUGAUAUGACGACAAAUAUAUUGUAUUGCUUUUCACGUUAAUUGACUUGGUUAUAAAUGUUUCCCUUUAACUCUCAUUCUAUAUUUCAAUUUUUUUGAUUUUUUUCUUGUAAGUUUGUCAUUUUUUAUAAAUUAAUUGAACAUGUAAUAUUAGAUUCAAGUUUUUAUUGUACUGUCCAAUUAUUCAUAUAUAUAUAUACACAUAGUAAUCAUUAGUUUGAUAUUUUAUGGGAUUUUAUCAGCUCAAGUAUAUUAUCUAGCCCCUUAGACAAUUUUAACAUAUCAUAUGAUGUCAUCAUUGUUUUAAUUUGUCAUUAUGAUUAUUGAAUGUUGUUUAAAGAUUUUAGCAUAAGUAUUUUUUUUAAAAAAAAAUCUUAUAAGUAAUUGGGGCCAAAUAUGCAACACACAUUCUCAAAAUAAUAGUUACAAAAAUAUGUAAAACUAAUAAUUGCUAGAAAAAUAAGUAUAAUUUAUAUGUAAAACUUAAUUACUACUAAUUUGGAGCAUGUAAAAUUUGUAAUGAUAGACAUACCGAUGGCUUUCCUUCUUUUUCCAUUGAAUCUCCAACCUCGAACCAGCCUUCAAUUUCUAAAGAAUUGAUUUUUCAACUUAUGAUCACAUGCAUAUUUAAUAAGGAUAAAAAUUAGAAGAUAGUAAUCACAUGCACAAGUAAAGGGAAAUGCAAGAAGCAAGAGAGUUAAGAAUGUUAAUUAUUAAGUUUAUAAGUUUUGAAUUAUAAUUAUACCUAGUAAUUUACUGUUUUAAGUAAAUACAUGAAUUGGUGAAAGUAACAAAUAGCAUGUCAAAAUAUAUACUCCCUCUGUCCCAAUUUAUAUGACUUACUUUCCUUUUUAGUCAGUCCCAAAAAGAAUGACACAUUUCUAUUUUAAGUAACAAUUUGCCUAUAAAAUGUCUUUUUUACCCUUAAUGAAAUGAUUUACAACCACACAAAUUUCUAUCAUUCAUUUUGGACCACAAAUUUUAAAAGUCUUUCCAUUUUUCUUAAAGUUUGUGCCAAAUCAAAGUACAUCAUAUAAAAUGGGACGGAGGAAGUACUAUUUUACGUUGAUUAGAUUUGAUAAGGUACUCAGAGUGGCGCACAAGUACACACACUAAUAAAUUUUCAAGAAUUUGGACCAUAAUGUAUACUCCAUUUAUUCCAUAUUAACUGAAUUUGUGAGACAAUGCACACAUAUUAAGCAAAACAUUUAAGAACAUAAUUUAAAUCAUAAUUUCCACUAUUAUCUUUUGAGAAAUCAUAAAUAUAACUUUGUAAGUAGUGUAAUUUAUCUCCUAGAAAAUAUAAAACUCCAAUAAAUAAAAGGGUAAAUAUGGAAAAAUAUUCAAACAUCCUUUUUGAAUUUUAAACAAUUCAAUUAUUCUGAACAAUGAAAAAACCCUAAAAAAAAUUACUUAAUAUGAAAUGGAGGAAGUACUAGAGAGACGAGAUCUCAAAUUAUACAAACCAGGAGUGUGUUUGGUAUGAAAGAAAUUAUUUUCUAAAAAAUAUUAAUUUAACUAAUAAAAUUUGUUAUUUUUUUAUGGGUGUGUUUGAUAUAUUUUCUAAAUACUUAAGUAAUCAAACAUGAAAACAUUGAAAAAUAUAUAUUUCCUCUGUACUGAACACCCUAUAUUAAAAUUGUUUUCCGUAUCAUGAUAUAUUAAGAUCUUAAAUGUAGAGCCAAUCAAGAUAUAUAUCUACAUAAACUACGUUAAAAGGUCUUCUUCAUAUCAUGAUUAGAGAACCUUAAUCUUCCUUUACAAGCUUGGACCCUAUAUGGGUGUGGUUGGUACAAAGGGUUUCGUACUUAUUAAACAUGAGAAAAUUGAACAGUUUAAAAAGGAAAGGGAAGAGGAUUGGGGACCGAUCUUAAAUUAUCAGAUCAUUCUAUAAAUAUUUUUCUAAUUCUUAUUAUGUAUGUUUCUUUCAAAUCAAGUGAAUCACAAAAAUACAUGUAGAAUGAAAUAGAAAAAAUUAUAUCAUACCUUUUUCUUUACUUCCAAGCUAAUAAUUCCUCUCAAAUGGUAGUUUGCCUUGUUGCAGAUUUACAAGAAGCAAAUGUUGAAAAACAUAAUUCACUUAUUUAAAAAGCUUUAUUGUUAGAUAUCUGCAAAUGUGAAAAUAGAUUAGUUUAAGUUUAGUAUUGUUUUGAAUUAUUAAAGUAAAGUCUUUCUAUAUAAUUUCCGACAGUCCAUAAAAAUAUUUGUUAGAAAAACGUUAUUCAAUUAGUCCUUAUCAAGUAAGUUGAGAAGAAGAAAAAAUGGCAUUUUAAUGUUACAUUAUUAUUAUAAAAUAAUAAUAAUAAAAAAGAAGCUAUGAUGUUGAUGCACCAACAACUGCAAUUAUGUAUUUUUUUGUUGUCUUGGUUUUUGGAAUCAAGUGAAGUGGUUGAUGGUUGAUUUUUGGAACCAAUUCUCAAACAGUAUUUGCUUGACUUUUUUUUUUUCUUUUUAAAUUAUUUUUCUACAUAAAUAAAUUUUAAAAUUAUUUGUUUAACUAUAUAUUGUGUAGUUUUGAUUGGAAAAUUUUGAUUCACCUAUUCAUUUUUAAAAAAAUGCCACUUCUUUAAGUAUGAACACACUUUUUUUUCUUAAUUAAUAUUGUCGUUAUGCCGUUGUUUUUGCCUCUCACAAUAAAUGGUAUUUUUUUUUUAUUGUAGCUUAAGUUUAUAUUUUUAUAUCAUAAUAUUUUAUGUAAGUUAUGUUUUUAGUUUGUAAACAACUUGGCAUAAAUUUGUGAACUUCGUCAAAGUGCAAAAUGGAAUUACCACUUUAUCUCUAUUCUAAAUAAAAUAUCUAAUUUAUUAAAUAUCAAAUAAUAUCAUAUAUAUUAUAUAAAAUACUAAUAGCGAAAAGGUGUUAAAUAAAAACGUUGAAUAAACUUUUAAAUAUAAUUAAAUGGGAAAGACAUUAAGAAUAUGAUAAUGAAAAGAUCAUUGUUGAUUUUUGGAACCAAUUCUCAGCCAGUAUUUGCUUGACUUUUCUUUUUAUUUUUAAAAAAAAUAUUUUUCUACAUAAAUAAAUUUUAAUAUUAUUGUUCAACUAAAUAUUGUGUAGUUUGAUUUGAAAAUUUUCAUGCACCUAUUCAUUUUUAAGAAAAUACCACUUCUCCAAGUUUGAACACUUCUAACUAAUUUUGUGGUCGCAUCAUUGUUUUCGCCCCUCACAGUAAAUGAUAAUUGUUUAUUGCAGCUUAAGUUUAUAUUUUUAUAUCAUAAUAUUUCAUUUAAGUUAUGUUUUUAAUUUGUAAACAACUGAGUAUAAAUUUGUUAAGUUGGUCAAAGUGCAAAGUUGGAUUAUCAUAUUAUCUAUAUUCUAAAUAAAAUAUCUAAUACAUUAAUUAUUAAAUAUAUAUUAUAUUAAUGUAACGUCCGGCGAUUUUAAAUUCUAUGAAGAGGUUAAAACUUGGAAAUAGUUUUUUUGAAAGAAUUAAAAAUCUGGAAAAUUUGGUUAAGUAUGGGAAAAAGUGAGUUUUUGGCCAACUUUGACAGUCAUAACUCCUAGCUCAGGAUGAGUUAGGUGUAGUUCCAGUCAUGUUUGCAAAGUCCGUGGAAUGAUCUUUCCAAUGCCGCUGAGUUUUCUCGUUUGCGAGUUCGUAUGAGCGAGUUAUGCCCUUUCGAAGUUGGGCAGUUGGCAGGGAAUCCGUCCGUAAAUUGUAAGGGUAUUUUGGUCUUUUCCCUAGCCUUGACUUUGGAUAUACAUUAAGGUGAGACUGAUUUUGAUCAGUUUUUCCUUUUUUUUAAAAGAGUAAGAGUUAGGGUUCUUGAGAGAAAAUGAGUGAAAGGAGAAGAAGAAGCAAACUUCGUAAAGAUCGUCGUGGUUUUCUUCGGGGUUGAUCCCUAUUAAGGUAUGUGAGUUCAUAGUGUUGGGUUGGUUCUUUCCCCCACACGCCAAGCUCGUUUAAUUUCGAGAAAAGAUUGAGUAUGUUUGUUGAAGUUGUUGGUUGUAAUUGUUGAAGUUGUAGUUGUGUUGUGUUGAAGUUCUUGUUGGUUUAGUUAUGUUUCGGGUGGUGUUUUUGAGUUGAAUCUAUUGUAUGUUGAGAGGUUCAUGAUUUUAAGUGUUUGGGGCUGGAAACUUUGAAGUGUAGAAGGUUUAGAGUUGGAGAAAACUAAGGAGAAAAGUUAGUUUUCGGGGGAAAAGGGUGGGGCGUCGCGCCUGUCAGCACGCCCCAAGAGGGGCUCUGAACUUUCCCCCUUGGGGCGGCGCACCCAUCAGAGCGCCAGCAGGCCUCCUCUGAAGUUUCUGGUCUGGCGCUCUGCGCCUCUCAGAGCGCCAAGUUUUCCUAUUCCUUCCCCACUUUUUCAUACAUGUUCCUAGGUAUUGUACCUAUGUUUCAUAGUUGUUUUCAACACUCCAAGGUAUGUCUAAACGUCAAGAACUCAUCCAUAUCAUGUGAUCAAACACCUUGAAUCUAUAAAUCCAAUUCAAGGAGAGAUAGUUUCCAAGUCAAGUGAAGUUAAGAGUUAAGCUUGGAAGUUAAGAAGCAAGUCAAGCAAGUUUUUAAAGUUAUUCAAGAGUCUUUAUUGAAUGUUUUAACUUCAAUUUAAGGCUCAAGUUUCAAGUCAAGUAAAGAGUAAAGAGUCAAUAGUUUCUAGUAGAGUAAAGAGUUUAAAGUUGAGUUCAUUUCUCAAAAGUAUUAGGGAACUAUGUAUUUCCAAAGAAGUUUCUAAAUGUUUUUACAUUUGAGUAAGAAAAAGGAACUACGUUUCCAAAAGAGCCUUUGGGCUAGUUUUCAAGAAAAAGGAACAUCGAUUCCAAGUGAGCCUUCGGGCAAAGUUUUGAGUAAUUAUCUCAAAUAAAGAAAGAUGUGUUUAAAACACUUAUGAGCUAAGUAUUUUGGGGAGUAGUCUUGAGCACCGAAUUGGGGACACGAGUUCAUAUAAACUCAACUCCAUAAGAACCAUGCGCCAACAUGAGAGUUAACAGGUCAUACUUUUUAGAUGAUUCCGUAAGUUAAGCUAGUGGAUCCACUUAGUAAAGUUAGCUUCCUAUAUCACGGCAAGGUAUAGGAUGGUCCUUGGGCAACGUGAAGUAAAAUGUUGUAUCACCACUAGGGCUCAUAGUGGUGAUUGUCGGUUAAAGAAUCUCCCACUAAAGUUAUAUUACUUUUAUAUAAGUAAAGUGAGUUGUUAUUGUUUUAUCUUUAAACAAGCUAAGUUGUUUACAUUGUUUUACAAGCUUUAUAUAUUGCAUGUGUCUUAUUGCUUUAUAUAUUGAGUUCAGUUAUUCAUGAGUCGAAUAGAGCCAAGGUAAGUGUUCUCUUGCACUCUUUUCAAGCCUAAGUUGUGGUUUAGCUUUCCAACUCGCAUACUCGUACAUUCAAUGUACUGAUGCCAGUUGGCCUGCAUCGUUUUAUGAUGCAGNNNNNNNNNNNNNUCUCAGUAUUGUAGAGGCUUCAUAGACAGUCAGUCAGUUGGUUUUGAGUCUCUAAUCUAUGUAUAUAUGUAAAUAUUCUAUUUUGAGACUUGAGUUGCCUUUUUGGCCAGAUUGUAUCAGUUAGGUUGUUUUAUAACCUUGCAUUGCAUUGAGUUUUCCGCUGAGUUAAGAAAGCCAGGCCAAGGGUUCGCUUGGGGGCCAGCGAUGGUCUUCGAGUGCCAGCCACGUCCAGGGUGUAGGCUCGGGGCGUGACAAUUAAAUACUAAUAGUGAGAAGGUGUUAAAUCAACAAGUUGAAUAAACUUUUAAAUACAAUUAAAUGAGAAAGACAUAUUUAAAUAAAGAGGUUGAAUAAACUUUUAAAUAUAAUUAAAUGAGAAAGACUUUAUGUAAUAACUCCUCGGACUUCGAAAGAGCUAAAUAGAGAUUUGUACAAGUCACCCAUCUGUUUUUAGUUUUGGGUUAACUUCAAAUGAUCAUAUCUUUUAGCACAUAAAGAAUUAGGUGGCCCACGAGCUAUCAAAUCGAAGGUCUUUGAGUCCUCUUUCCAAUGCCAUCGAGUUUGCUUAAUUUCAAACUUGGAGUAAAACAUUAUGCUCUUUUGAGUGAAGUCUCUAUUUAAGGUUUUUCAUUCAGUUGUAGGAGAGUAUUUUGGUCUUUUCCUUUUCCCACUAAGCCUGACAUGUUUUUUCUCACCCAAUUAAGGGUCUAAUUAGAUGCCCACAUUACUAUUUAGAACUAACUAAGGGCUCUCAUUUAGCUAUUUCUCAUAGUAAAACUUCAUUCUCUUCUUCCUCCUCAUUUAUAACCUUAGACAGAAUUAUCAUACCAUCAUUAUCACGAUAGGAUCAUUAACCUUCUCUCUCUAACAUUACUCUGUUACUAAAAGGACCUCUGAAAAGAUAUCUCCCAUACUCCUUUGAGCUCAUUACUAUCUUAUUCUUAACACUUGACUUGAUUUUCAAUCUUAUCAUCUCCUCAUUAGGUCUAAAGCUGACACUUGGAGGCUAUGGACCUAUUCCAACAUCUCUAACUAGUCUACAUCCUUUUUUACCCCCCACCCCCCACCCCCCGCUCCCUAAUCUAUGCUGGUCCACACCCCGAGUUGAUUGGCGGACUGGGUCGCCACCGUUCCACAUCCGAUCGGUACACCUCGUAAUGCUCUUUUUACUCUUGUGACUUAGCCACACUUCACUGCCCUUAUCAAGAGGUUUAGGGUAUCUCACUUGUACCACUCAUAUUUAUUUAGCUAAUCACCUUAAUUCAUCUCCUACUCUGUGUCAGGUCUUCUAGUUCAAAUCUCAAGACAACAUCAUCACCCUCAUGUUGCCAUCCUUUUGAUCAAGACACUCAUCUCAAAUUCAUGCUUAGUGUUUAUUACUAAACCCGAAUAUCAAUAUGAUUGCUCGCUUACUACACUAACUUACAACUACUGGAUGCAAAUUUAGAAACACUCGUCCACUUGGACCUGAUGACAAGUAGUCAAUCCUUAACCUUUAGUCUCCAUACUCACAAAUUACCAUUAUAUUCGACUUCACAACUUAGGUACUACUUACUCACUUACUGCGCAUUAUCUUUCAAAUAGUUCUAUCAUCAUCUGAAUAGCAUGGGGUUUCCCCCUUCAAAAUUCAUAAGCAUAGCUUGGGUCUACUACCUCAUGAAUACUCUGCUCGAUUAUUUAACAUAUGAAUUUAAUCUUCUCUAACACGAUGACACAUUGACAUCAACUCUAUUCUGGUUAAAAAAAUAUACUCUAUCACAUCGUGACUAGUAUCUAUUCCUCUUCCUUCUAUCUAGAACUCUCUACAACAUUAUUAUUACUUAUUUUACUCAUAAGGGAAACUCAUCACUUAUAACUGAUUGGGUGCAUGAUUGCAAUCACAUAAUCUGCCCCAUCACUAUCUCAUUUCCUUAGAUUACUAAACAUCUGCAUACUUUCCUCUAAUUCUUGGCACUUUCACUACUACUGCUCAUAAUCUCAUAAUUCAUACUAUCUUUUAGGGCGAAAAUACUACCCAAGCUCUAAACAUACCAUCCUAUUAAAGGUCUUAGCUGAAUAAGGUUUAGGGAAGAGUGUACAACUCGCUUUUAGCUUAAACGCACGAUUCAUAUGAACAUGAGUGCAUUCCUCUGAAACACAACAAUUAACUCACUCAUGGGCUUCUCUUAAGCCCCUUUGGAGUCUCAUGACUUCCUCAAGACUCUUGCUAAGAGCAACUCAUCGAUAAGGACAGAUCUUUCUUUUCAACCACCUCUAGUAUGAUGGGUAGUCGAAUAAAUCUGAGAAAUGCAUGAGUAUGAAUAAAUCUCUAUGACAUAGCUCUAUUGCACGAUUAAGAGUAUGAAAGAAGUGAGAGAGUUCCUAAAAUGUUGCAGCCUCAUAAUUAUUGAUGUGGCGCGCUUCACACCGAUAACUAGGACUCUACAUACACGACUUCAUAGACACCCUAAGACUUUUGAACUCUGUGCUCUGAUAGCAAGUUUGUCACGACCCGAGCCUACACCCUGGAUGUGAUCGGCACUCAAAGAACCAUUGCUGGUCCCCAAGCGAACCCUCAUCCUGACAGACUACAAACGAAAGACUAACUCAGGCAUACAUAAGCUUAAAACUGAAUUAAAUUCAUUGAACUCUAGUAGUGAACUUUAAGAAAGUCUGAACAAUACUCAAAAGAAAGUAAAUACAAACAACUCUUCAACUUUGUCUAUCUAUGAAGCCUCUACCAUUACAGAAAUAUAUUGGGACAAGACCCAUGACAUCUCAAAACUACUAAUUGUAAGGUAAAUGUAAAGUCCUCUGGAAUAUAAGAAGGCUGAUCACGAAAGCUGACUGGAAUAUCACAUGACCUCAACGAAACGCCUGUUGAUAAUUAACAAUUUAAUUAUCAUAAUUUCAUACUAAAUUCAAUGAUUCUUAUAGCAACAUUAUUGGUUUAAUCAACAAUAUUAAAUCUACUCGAUCAUAAAUUACAUGACUUUUUUUUAUAAUGACACAAUAAUAAAAACAAACAAAUAAAUAAAGAUACAUUUGUGGUAAAUCAUGGUGAGAAAGAAAUACUUGUAUUAUAUUCUAACAUAGUUAUGCAUGAAAUUUAAAAGUUAACGAUAUACUGUGUUUUUUUCAAUAUUCAAUGUUCGUACCGACACUCAUUUAAUGUAAUUUAUGUCUCAUAAAAUCCAUUAAUAUUAAUUCUUUUUGUAUUUAAACUCUCAUUCGUGUAGAGAUAUUGCGAGAAGAGAGAAUUAAGUUGGGACAGUGCAACAUUACAGUUGAUGUUAUAUUUUUACAAUAAAAAAUAAAAAAAGUUAAACACAUAACAUAGAAUGAGAUAUAAAAGAUAAGGACUUGGUGUGAUAUUUACCUAAUCCAAUUGUAUAGAGAUUAUCUAAAAGCGAAAAAUAAUUGAUUUUUUGAUUUUUUAUUUUAUUUAAAUGUUAGUGUAAAUCUACGAUGAAAUGGCUCCUAAAUUAACCCGGAAAUAUCAACUGACAAAUGCUUAUUCUGUUAUUAUUCACUUGCAAAUAUAUUUAUGGAGACUGUCAGCUAUCAUUUCGAUUUUCGAGUAGAAAGACUUGAUUUUAAUUAAUAAUUCAAAAUAAUUAUUAACUUCAAUUAAUCAAUUUUAGAUCUAGACUUUGAUUAGACUAAUUGAAUGUUCACGUUAAGGCUGCACACAUAAAUCAAACAUUUACAUAGUAGACAUAGUCUACAUGAAGUACUAUUGGGUCAUAUGCACUUUUAUCCUUGUUUUAUUAAGAAAAUAUAAUUUGGACUGGUUUUAAGAGUCGCCACUUAAUUUUUAAAGGAAAAUCAAGAAAACUACUGUUUUCAAAAAACUAAAACAGGAAUCUAAUGAAAACUAAAAAAAAGGGUUCGGGGUUCUUAUUAAUAUUCUAGGAAGGUUUUUAAAGCACCUAGAAUAUCCGCUAAUGCGGUUAUCCGACAAUUAAUUUAUUUGGCUAAAAUAAUUUUAACUUGACUUAAAUUGCAAAAUUGAAUUAUUCUAUAGUUAGAACUAUUUUAAAAAGGGGGGAAAUAAUUUUAACUUGACUUAAAUUGCAAAAUUGAAUUAUUCUAUAGUUAGAACUAUUUUAAAAAGGGGGGAAAUAAUUUUAACUUGACUUAAAUUGCAAAAUUGAAUUAUUCUAUAGUUAGAACUAUUUUAAAAAGGGGGGAAAUAAUUUUAACUUGACUUAAAUUGCAAAAUUGAAUUAUUCUAUAGUUAGAACUAUUUUAAAAAGGGGGGAAAUAAUUUUAACUUGACUUAAAUUGCAAAAUUGAAUUAUUCUAUAGUUAGAACUAUUUUAAAAAGGGGGAAAGAGAAAUAUGGAACUACCAUCUAAGUGAGACAAUUCGCAAAAUUUAUUCUUUUAAGUCUUUUGAAAGACGACCGGUUUAGUUAAGUUGUUAAAAACGAAAUGAGCAUCUUUCGGGGAUUUGAACUUUUCGACCUCAAGAUUAGCAGCAAACAUUAGCAAGCACACAAACACAAAAAUAGAGAGGGAAAGAGACUCGGGCCCAAGUUUGGUUUUUCUGUUCGCCUGGACCAAUACUUGGGCCCAUUUUCGUUUUGGGCUUUUGGCCCAUUCGAGUCACCUGCACCUGCCCUAGCCUAACAAGUAUAGCAAAUAAGUGGGCUUAGGCCCAAAACAACAAAAUACAAUUUUUUGAAUCAAGGGUGGGCCUUUGGCCCAAAUUUUUAAUUUUUCUCGAUUUGUCGAUCUGUUGCUUCUUCUUUCGACCGUGGGACCUGUUCACCGAUUUAUGAUUUGGCUGACUUGGAAGGAAGUGAUAUAAGCCUUUAUGGCUUUCUCGAAAUGCAAAGGAGGAAGAUGAGUUCAUGGUGAACUUGGCCAGAUUUCACAUACAAGAAAGAGGGCAAAAACAAUGAAUAAGUAUUCAAAGGGGACGAUCUUACAGACCUUAAGAGUCCGAGCAAAGUUAAACAAGUUAAAAAAAAUAAAAAUAAAAAUAAAAAAAAUAAAGAAAGUAAUGCAUUUGGAUUGGUGACGCUGACUAAAGGAAAUUUAAAAGAGACAAAAAUAUGCGCCAAGACAUCUGACCAUUCCAAAUCUCAAAAGGGGAAUCAAAUAAUAAAUAAAAGGGUUAGCUGAAACAAAACAAUCGAGAAUAAUCACCCUAAAAAAAACUUAAUACCUCGACUGAUUUAAACAGAAAGGAAACCCAUAUUGCUUUUAUUUUCCGUUCGACCAAAUGCAAACUUGCACAUGCCUUUCAAAUAAAUAUUAGAAAAUAAGCCCAGGAAGCACUACCGCAACACACAAUAUGGACAGAAUCUUGGACCAAUUUAAUGAACAUGAAAACAAACAAGUAUUGCAGCUAAAUGCAUUUAAAUUAAAUCUAUAAAAAUGAGUGGGGCAAAGAAACAAUCAAAUGGACUUCAUGCUAUACUUGACUACUGGCAACAUGCUGGAAAAGAGAAAAUAAUCCAAAACUAGACAUAAAUUGACACGUCCGAAGAUAGGUUGACAAUGAAAUAUACGGAAUACUCGACUUAAAUCAAUCUGAGCAAUUAAACGACAAAAUCUAACAUAAAAUGUGACAUCGAGCUUUAUGCAAUCGUAAUAUUGAGAUAGCCUACUUAAAUGUAAUGAACAUAAAGAAAAUUCGAGCGGAGGCAUGUUGCACACUAGACAAACAUCACACUUUAUGCAAUAAUCGAUACCCGGUUUAUCCAUGGAGACCCCAAGCUAACAACUUAUCAUGCUAAAGGGUCAAGCUAACUCACUUGAAACAAAAAGAGGAAAAUGGCUACAAUCUAAAGGCCUAAGCAAAAUGACAUCGCUAUUCAAACUAAAUAUGCUAAACAAUAGCAUAAACUAGCAUAGAUAAUGUCCGUAGAAAACAACAUGGUUGGACAAUGACACCAAAUGAAUAACUCGACUAAUCCACAAGUAAGAACUAGAAAUAAUAUCUACAGAUUUAAACAAAGGCAGGAAAAUUGUUUUCUGGAAAAGGCAAGGAUCACUCUAGCUAAGCCGAAACUUUGCAAAGACGGAGCUAUGACCACAACAUCACGAGUUAAGCCAAAAUAGGUAUGGACAUCAAAUUAACGACUAACAUUAUAUCAUAUGAACAAAAAUAAGAACAAACUGUGCGAGGCCCAAAAGACGCAACCUAUUCACUCAUCAUUUAAACCAAAUGUGAAUCUAACCUUCUCAAGCAACGUGAGGCAGGGAUUCCGCUAAUUAAAGACUCAAAAUCAAGUUAGCGAAUAUAACGAUCAAUAUAUAUCCCAAGAUAGCUUUACUAAUAUCUCACCUAACCAAGACACGAAAUCACAUAGGAGUAUAUGCAUCGCAUCAACAUCACCAUAAACCCAACUACAUAUAUUAGUAGGCCAUCCUCGGAACAGAGAUCUUCCAACAUCAAAUAUUGAGAUAAGGAAAGAGAUGAAGAAAAUGUUAUUGGGAGAGAGUAGUGUUACCUUUUUUCGGGCAGCGAACAGGAACCAAGAGCUAGCAACGACUUCACCACUACACGAACUUGACCCCGGACAACAAAUAGGGAGUCUGGACAGAAAUCUGAGCAGCUAUCUCGAGUUCGAAUGAACUUGUGAUAGAGCGAUGGACAGCACCAAAAGGAAAAUAAAACUAAGUUUUUAGACGAGUUAACCUCUCUAUUUCAGAGUGUAUUUCAUAUGUAUUCAGACUACUUCUUCUUAAGCUAUUCUUAUAUUUUUGCUAACAACUCUUCCAACUCCCAAAAAAAAAAAUCCCCCCUCCAAUGAGGAAGAAAAUGAGCAUAUAUAGGGGGAAUUUAGGGUUGUUUUGGGGGGAAAAGAUGAGGGCAAUUUCGGGUAAGAACAAGACCCAAUUCGAAAUUCAAACCUAAAAAAAAAAAUCUUGCACUAAUUAAGGAAGACAUACUUUUUCUGCAAAUUCAGCCCAUUCCCGAAGAGGAAAGGGCGAGAUGGACGCUCGAGAUCAAUUUAUUCGUCCUCAGGUGCGACGUGGUCUCAUCUCGCAGCUGCAAGGACGGUUCUUGGCUAGAAAUGGCGCUGGAACAGUACUGCUGGAACAACACUGCGUUGUUGCUGCUACUCACGCGAGGAAGAUGAAGCGUGGGCGUUGGGGUCGUUGUUUGCUAUGUAUUUGCUGGAAAGAAAAAAAAAAAGAUGGGCUGACACGUAUGUAAUUGUAUUGUUGUAUGUUAUUGUCUUAGUUGGUUUAUGUAUAGAUAAUGGGCUGGGUCGGUGGGGCUGCUUGUAUUGUUGUUAUUAUUUUAUUAUUAUUGCACGUUAUAUUGUAUGUAUGGGUCAUUUGGAUUUUUAUUGGAAUGGGUUGGGAGGAAUUAUAAUAUUGGGUUGGCUAGGAAUUAUUGUGGUAGGCAAUUUAAGUUUAAGACUUAGCCAACUUGAUCAAAUUUAAUAAAUUUGGCUAAUAAUUAGAUAAGACGAAUUAAUAAUUAAUUAAUUAACGAGCUUCUUAAUCUUAACGAAAUAAAAUAAUAAUUAAUUAUAAACUAAUUAAUUUAACAAUAUAAACGACUAAAUAACCAAAUGUUUAAAUAAAGCUAAAAAUCCUUUUGAGACAAUUUUCGAACCUUCAUAAAAAUAUACUAAUUAGACACAUAAUUAUAUAACAAUUAACUUAAUUAUAAACUAACUAAUUAAUUCAAAAUUGCAAACUACUAAAUAACUAAACUAACUAACCAAAUAUUUAAUUAAACAAAAUAUUUUGAGACGAUUUUUGAAUAUUUUAUAAAGUUCAGAAGUAUACACAUAUUAUUUAAAAAUUAUAAAAAGUGACAAACCAUUUAAACUAACUUGAAAAAUAUUUUAAAUUUUAUAAAAGUCAAUAUUUUAAAUCAUUUGAAAAUUAAGAAACUCAGAAAUUAAUUAUUAUCGGGGAGGGUCAAAAUUGGGUGUCAACAAUCCUUAUUUUAUGCUGCUCUUUAAUUUUUGCUCAGUGGUAGAGUUAUCGUCUCGUAAAGAUGGUUAGACGAAUAUCAUUCAUUGAAAAAAUUACUACUUUUAUUAAGUAUAUAUAUAGAUAAUAUAAUAUUUUUAUACUAGGUAAUUAGAGGAAAUGUACAAAGUCAGUUAAGCUUAAGCCUUUACGAAAUAUAAAUUUAUGGAUCAAAUGUCACGACCUAAAAAAUGGAUGUGAUGAUACUCGUCUUAUCCCACCAAGACAAGUUAGCCUGAAACCCAAAUAUCACAAACUAUGCGGAAGUAAGACAUAUUGAAAUUUCAAAAUAUCAUAAAUGCGGAUAACUAAGUCAACUUAACAAAAUCCCCAAAACUUGGUCGUCACAUGUACAAGCAUUUAGUGUGUUAUAACAAAAUUGAAAGAAAAUACAAGUCUCAAAUGACAUUGUUUCUAGAAUAAAAUAAGAUCAUAAAUAUGGAGAAAGAAGUUUGGUUGAGAUGACGAGCAACUACCUCACAAACCUCCACAAGAAGCCUCAGACAAGAAGAGAAGAGAAAGUAUCACGAAGUUUUGGGCUAGUAACCUACAAAAAUGUAGAAGCAUGGGGUGAGUACCAAACCACACGGUACUCAGCAAAUACAAGCUAAGGGAAUAGAAUACAGGUACUCCUUACCACCCCAACCGAACCUCCACAACUACAACAUGCAUAAAACCAGUCCAACCUAACAGUUCACGACUUACAUAGCACACAGCUCAACAACAACACUCUAACAAUUACAUAUCCUCAACAACAAACUCAAUAUUCAUCAGUCACAAGUUCCACAAAAAAAUACUCAUAAGAUCAGCAACACACAAGAUCAAGUUCACCAAUGAUAAAGAUAUGCAAUGCAACUAAAUGCAAUGUCAAGUAUAGUGAUGCAUGUCUAAUCUAACGAUACACACCCGCUGUCUCUUAGUCCGAGACCCAUGGGGGACAUAUCUGUUCAUGCAUCUGUUGCGGUGUGCGACACGACCCUCGAUAAUGAAAUCCGUCGUGGCGUGAGACACAUCCCUCGAUAAUAAAUCCAUCGUGGCGUAGGACACAUCCCUCAGAUUAUAAUAUCCGUCGCGGCGCGCGACCCGUCAUUGAAAUGGUAUGUCCUCUUUAAUUUCUUAUUCUUUUUCAAUUCACAUAACACUUAUCACAACCAUGUCUCAAAACCAAUGCAAAUGACAUGUUCACACAAAUAAUAAGGAGAUGAUCAUUUUCAUAACAAUGUAAAAUACACAACAUGAACACAAUCGUGAUACAACAUCAACUAUGAAUCAAUAAGCCUUUCAAACUAUUCUCAACACAUCACACACCAAUAAUUAAUCACAUAAUUGUCUUUUAUUCCUUUUUUUCAUCAUUAAAAUUAUUUCAAUAUGAACAAGUCAACCCAUCACAAUGUCCCAUUACUCCCCAACACUUACCACAAGGAAAUACACGAUUUUAUACACUUAACAAGGGUUGAGAAAUUCACUUGCCUCAAAUAAUCGAACUAUCACUAUGGGACUUGAGCCUUUCCCAUUUAUAGGGCUUCCAAAUCAAUGCAAUCUAUUAACGUAAAUAAUUAUAGUAAGAUUUCUAACCCAACACCACUCAUAUUAUAAUUUCUAGCCUAGACCCAAAAACAUCACCCAAAUCUGUAGUCAAGUUCCUAAAUCUUGAUAUCAAUUAACAUGUCAACUCUCAUAUUUUCAAAUUUCAAGUCUAGGGUUAAGUUCCAAUUCUCCAAUAUCAUAAAUCUAAUGGUAUUUAUAUUUUUGAUUAUCACAUUAUGAUUCAAGUUUCGAUAUAUUAACAUAGGUAAUUAAAUAGUAGACAUAUUCAAAUCAUGAUUUCAAAUUAGAUAUCCUAACACUUAUUUGAAAUCAUAACUUCAUAACAUUUGGUCAGUGUUCUUCAUCUGAUUUAGGCCAUUUAGGACAUAUAUAUAUCAGAGAGUUCACACGAAAUAAGAUUCAUAACUAACAAAUAACAUGCAUGUCUUGGAACAAUACAUAGAUAUUCAAAGCUUAACUACUCCAAAUAUAGCAAAUUACUCCUAAUGAGGCAAAGCAAUACACAAUUUACAUGAAAGAAAACACUCAGUUAAAACAUCUCCAGAACAAGUUUGUUUAUUGGAAGCAGUAAUCAGAUGAAAUCAGAUGGAAGCGUUGUGUUGUUUCUUUCUUCAUUGUUGCUCUAUCCUUUGGGCAUUCUGCAAAUCAUAUAUAGUAUGAUUUAAAUUAAAUGAAGUACAUAUGUAGGGGUGAAGAUGUAAGAAAUCAAUUACCUCUUCUUCACUUUAUUAGUAUAUAUGGAACACAUCUGAUAUAUGCAGGGGAGGCUCAACGUUAUUGGGGGCCUAAAGAAUUUUUUUAAUUUGAGGCCUAAAAUAUAAACAAACUUCAUAUAUGUAUUUAUUCAAAAAAAAAUAUUUUUCUUACACUAUUUAGAUGAAAGUUAUUAGUAUUUAAAUUGUUUUUUCAGUUAUUAGUUUUAGGUAAGAUUUCAUCAACUCAACAUUGAAAAACAUCCUUUCAGUGAGGCAAUUAGUAUAUGAAUUGUUAACAUAAUUCAAAAGUAAUAAGUUGACAAAUAUUAAAUAAACAUAAGAGUUAGAAACAUAAAAUUUGACUCAAAAAGUUGAUGACUUGGUAUACCCCAUUUUAAUAUGCUUAUAGUAAUGCUUGAAACUAAAAUUUAAAAAGAAAUAAAAAAAGAAUUUGUAAUUCACUUCGUUCAACACUUUUCACUAUUAAUUAUUAUUUUUAACAAAGUACAAAAAAUGCUUAAGUAGGUAAAAUAAUAUAUUUUUAUAAUAAAUAAUCAAUUUUUUCUAUAAAAUUUUUAACACAUAAUUUAUUGGGAAAAUUGUAUAUAAUAGCAAACUAUUAAUUCAAAUUAAAUGCUAUAAAUAAAGUUUGAUUUAAUUGUACCUCAUAGCAAACUGUUGCUAUUUCACCUCUCUCCUGGUGAAUCUCUCUCGCCACUCUCGUUCUCUCCCUCGCCUUUCUCAUAUUUUAUACAAACACAAGUGUAUAAAGUGUGUUUGUGUUUGUAUAAAGCAAGAGAAAAUUGUAUAUAUACAUAUAUUUUCGUUCCCCUCUCUCCCCUCUCCCAGAUCUCACUCGCCACUCUCCCAGAUCUCGCUCGCUCACUCGCCUCUCUCACUUUAUACAAUUGAUCUUUUUGUAUAUUAUACCAAAGCAGAUUAUACAACUUCUUUCUUUUGUAUAUGUAUAGAGAAAUAUACAUAUUUAUGUUUGCUAUGGAGCGCAAUUAUGCAAAUUUUGCUAUAACAUACAAAUAUGAAUUUUGUGUUUGCUAUAUGUGAAAGUUGCUCUAAUUUAUUCUUGAUAAAAAAUUGGGCCCCCAUAAGGCAAAAGCCUUAUUUCCCAAUGCAUAGAGCCGGCCCUGGAUAUAUGGACAUGAAGUCUGUCCUCUCCUGCGAAAUCUAUUACAUCUUUCUUAAUCUCCAUGGCUGAAUCUACAACCUGACUGUUAAUAUUUGUUAAAUGAAUGAACUUUAAACUGUCUAUAUCCCCAAAUGCACAAGGGAUCUCCGUAAACUCCUCACAGUAUUCUACUAUUAAUUCCUCAAGCUUGGGAAAAGUUCCCUUAUCAACUUGCCAUUCUGAAAGGUUGACCUCUCGCAAAGUCAAAGUCUUAAGACUUUAAUACAUGUCCUCACUUGCAUCCCACUUAUCCUCCACGAAAUAAGAGUCGAUAAUCGCCAGGAUUUCAAGGUGAGGCAAUGCCGCGAUUGCUGACAACAAAGCAGGUCUCAUGUGAAAUAAAUUCAACCGUAACUCUUUCAAGCUGCUAGGGAAGUGAUAUUCAUUGGGAUGUGGUAUUUGGUAGAUUGACUCGGUGUGAAAUAAGUACUCUUUGGGCAUCCUGUAUUUUGCAAAGAGUGAUUCAAGUUUAUUAAGAACAUAAAGCUUGGGAAAAAGGCUUACUCUUCUUGGAGAGCAUAUGAUCCACCAUUAUCAGGCUACUAGAAAUUAAAGCAUCCAAGUAACUUUGAGUUGCUUCCUCUAAACUACACUUGGAUGGAAUAUUAUGCUCCACCAACCCUUCAGCCAUCCACAACUGCAUCAACUUAGAGACUGGAGCUCGUUUGCUCUUUCGAGAUCUUGCAAAGUAAAGCAACAACGGCUUCAGGUGGUAUGGUUAAUGGUCAUAACUUAAUUGCAUAACCUUCAUAAUCUCUAAAUUGAUCGGUCAAUUGAUCUUGAAAGUUCUGUCCCAGCAUGAAAGAUUAUUUUCUCUUGUUCGAAAAAUCAUGUACUUUGUUGUACAUAUUCAGGUGAAUCAAUUAACGACAACCAUCCAUUGAUUUAACUCUCCCUGUUGUUUUACCAAAGUCUAAAUCCGUACCCAACUUAUCUCCAAGCAACAUGAAGCCUUCCAAUUUCAACCUUGAAUCAGAAGACGAGUCCAAGGUCAGCAACUGCCAAGUGGGUUCAAACAUAUCCGUCCAAGAAAUUCGCCCUGGUCCUUCCCUUAAUCUUCAGCAGGAAUCAGUUCCUAUUACUCUUGACUUGACUCUUGGCUUCAACAGCAGUGACUCCGAGUUGAAAACCAAUGGAGAGGCGAGUGAUGAAGUAGUACCCCAUCCUCCAACGGCAGCACUAUCCCGAGUUUUCUCGUGCAAUUUCUGCAGACGCAUGUUUUACAGCUCCCAGGCGUUGGGCAGACAUCAGAACGCACAUAAGAGGGAGAGGACUUUAGCUAAUAGAGCAAUGCGGAUGGGAAUGUUAUCGGACAGGUACGCUAGCUUAGCAUCAUUGCCCCUUCACGGGGCUGCAUUUCGAUCUCUUGGCGUUUAAGCUCAUGCUUCCACACACCAACGCAUCUCGCACCAAGAAACGCCUAUUCAUGCGGUUAGAAGUAGGGCUAGAUUUGAACAAGGCUAUUUCGGGAUGCCAGUAUUCGUGGAGGAUGAUGAAGUGGAAGUGUUCUGGUCCGGUAGCUUCAGGCAAAUAGAGGGAAUUGGUGGCAAUACGGGGUAUAAUUCAGGGUAAAGUUCAAGCAUAAAUUUUGUAGCUGUAGCUCCUCAAACUAGGACAGAUCCAACAUUGCCUGAUCUUAAUUUGAAACUCUGUUGGUUUUUUUUUUUUUUUUUUUUUUUUUUUUGGCAUUCUAUUCUACUUUUUUGUAUCAGAAUUUUCACAAUUGUGGUAUUACACUAGUGCUCUAUUUGUACAGGAGGUGAAUAUUUGAGACUGUCUUGAGCUUUCAAUUUUGAAUCUUCUUCAUUCCCAAAUUUGUUUAGUUGACCAUCUUAUUGUACAAUUAUAUGAUAUUAUUACAUAAGUACAGAUUUGGGACAGUGGUGGUGUUAUUUAGUCUAUGGAAACCUUUAACUUCCUCCCAUUUUAACCCUGUUUAUAAUUAUUCGCUAGAUUCACUUCAGAAAGUCUCACAUUGGGGGUAAGACAUGCAUUCCGUAAAAAAGGCGACUCUAAAUCCAGUAGGGCUCGAACGCGAGACUUCUGAUUAAGGAUCAAAGAGUACUACCACUCCACCACAAUGCUUGUUGGCAGUAGUCAUCUAACUGUCCAUAUUAUUAAAAAAAAAGGGAUAGUUGUCUUUUUCACGUUCUUAAAAAAAAAGAGAGACUUGUCCAUUGAUGACUGUUUAUCAUCAGAUUCAGGCGAAAUGGGACAUAUAUUGAUUCACAAUUUGGCAUUGAAACCUUCCAAUUGAAAAACUAGAAUCUUAUAUGAGAGAUUACAAACAAAAUAAGAUUCAUAACUAACAAAAAACAGGAAAAACAAAAACACACACAACACAUUAAAUUAAAAUAUGUCCAGAACCAGCAAUGAAAAAAAACCAGUAACAAGUUUGUUUAUUGGAAGCAGUAAUCAGAUGAAAUCAGAUGGAAGCGUCGCGUUGUAUCUUUCUUCAUUGUUGUUCUAUCCUUGAGUCCUUUGGGCAUUCUGCAAAUCAUAUAUAGUAUGGUUUAAAUUAAAUGAAGUAUAUAUGUAUGUAGGGGUAACGAUAUAAGAAUUAAUUUCCUCUUCUUCAGCCUCUUCUUCAUCUUCUUCUUCAGCUUCUUCUUCAGCCUCUUCUUCAUCUUCUUCUUCAUACACAUCUUCUAUAUGGACUUGAGGUCUGUCCUCUCCUGUGAAAGCUUCUACUUGUUUCUUAAUCUCAAUGGCUGAAUCUCCAAGCUCACGCUUAGUAUUAGUUAAAUGAAUGGACUUUAAAGUGUGUGUAUCUAUAAAUGCAGAAGGGAUCUCCGUAAGCUUGUAACAAUGUUCUAGUCUUAAUUCCUCAAGCUUGGGAAAGGUUUCCAUAUCAACUUGCCAUUCCGAAUGAUUGACCAUUCGCAUAGACAAAGUCUUAAGACUUUGAUAGAUGUCCUCACUUGCGUCCCACUUGUCCUCUACGAAUUCACAGUAAAUAAACUCCAGAAUUUCAAGCUCAGGCAAUGCCGCGAUUACUGACAACAAAUCAGGUCUCAGGGGAAAACCAUUCAACCGUAACUCUUUCAAGCUGUUAGGGAAGUAAUAUUCAUUGGGUUGUCGGAUUUUAUCAGGAUAUUCGGCAUUCUCGUACAUUGCAAUGAGUGAUUCAAGUUUAUUAAGGACAUCAAACUUGGGAAACCAAUCGCGGUGUGUAGGAGGAUCUAUCGGUUCCUUGAUGUAGCAAUGAAGGUGCUGAAGAUUUGGGAACUUCUCCAGAACAUCACUCGUGCUUCAGUAAAUGAGAUAUCAACUUUGGAUAAAGUUGUCAAGUCUUCUAACUUUGAAUUCUCAGCUUCCAAUAUUCUACUUGGUUGAUGCAUAAUAUUGUCCGCAUCCAUUUCCUCUUCCUCUUCAAAGAAAGAACUCCUGUCAAUUUUCACAUGUUUUAGCUUUGAUAGUUUGAAUACUAUGGGCAGUAAUACCAUGGUGGAAUAUUGUGUAUUGUCAAGAGUCCAAAGCUUUAAGAACCUCAAAUGAAAUAGGGAGCCUAUUUCUUCCAUUAAAAAAUCUUCCAGAAUAAUGCUAUCCAGUUGCAACACUCUAGCAAGUCCAAAGGGUCUUGUAUGGCAGAUAUAGCUGGAGUUAAGAAGUGAACCGCUAACUUUCAAAGAUAUGAGAUGCUUACUACCAGCUGAACACUUAUUAGAAUUGAACAAACCACAUUUUUUGUUAGACGAUGAUGUAGGAAAUCCAAAGCAUGAAAUCGAGCACCUGGAUUCAUUAACUUGAAAAACUUUGCCUUUUUAGAUUUUGCUGAACAAAAAUCGUGCACAACAUCAUGCACAUAGCAAACCUUGAUCCUAACAGAAAAAGGCAUACUCUUCUUGGAGGGGACUUGAUCCACCAUUAUCAGGCUACUGGAAACUAAAGCAUCCAAGUAACUUUGAGUUACUUCCUCUAAACUACUCUUGGAUCGGAUAUCAUGAUCCACAAACCCUUCGGCCAUCCACAACUGCUUUAACUUAGAGACCGGAGUUCGUUUGUUCUUUUGAGAUCUUGCAAAGUAAAGCAACAACGGCUUCAGGUGGCAUGGUAAAUGGUCAUAACUUAAUUGCAUAUCCUUCAUCAUUUGCAAAUUGAUGUUUGCAGAAAUAAAGGAAUCCAAAUUAUGUUGAAUCUUAAGCCACAAAUUCUUUUCCUUUUUCUUUCCUCUAACAAUUACUCCAGCAAUCAAAACAAUAGCCAAGGGAAGUCCUUUACAUUUCUUAACUAUUUGGUGUCCAACAUUUGACAGUUCAGCAGGGCAGCUUCCUUCUCCAAAUACCCUUUUUUCGAAUAGUUCCCAACUUUUUUCAGGUGUUAAAACUUGAAGGUUGAUAGGAUCAGUACGACAUUUAACUUGCGAACCUACCUUACUAAUUCGGCUAGUUAAAAUAACUCUAUCUCCUCUUUUAAGCUUUGGAAAACAUGCUAUUAACAUCUCCCCUGUUGCAAUAUCCCACACAUCAUCCAAGACGAUGAGGUACCUUUUAUUGUACAGCGCUCUUUGUAGCUUUUCAGCAAGGUCAUCCUCACUUCCUUUUUCAGAGCCAGUAACUUGCUGAAGAAUCUCCCGCAACACCUUUGACUUGUUAUACUUUUGGGAAACAGUCCACCAAGCACGAAUCUUGAAAUGACUAGCAACUAAUGUAUUGUUAUACACUUUGUUGGCCAGAGUAGUUUUACUGAGUCCUGGCAUUCCGACAAUAGAAAUGACAUCAAGCUCGGAUUCAUGUUCAUCAAGGAGCUGGUCAAUGAUCUGGGAUUCUUUCUCAUGAACUACUGUUACCUCAACAAAAGGUGAUGAGGUUAACUCAAUUGGCUCGAUGGAAGACUUUGCAUCAAGGGGGGUGAUCCCCAUUCUUAUCCUCCAGCCGUAAACCGGUGACUUCUGCCACGAUAAGCUUGAUCUUAUCAGUGAUCCUCGGAAGUGAGAAGAUUAAAUGGGAGAGAGCUUUAUCUCUGACAAGAAUGGAAUUAAUGACAUGUUCUGCCUCAUAUGCCACAUCUAAUGCACGCACCCAACAAUCUUUAACUACUCCACUAGUACUGUCAUCCAAUGUUUGCCUGAAAGAUGAUGUUAGGAAUUGAAGGCUUUCUUUCAUCAUCCCAAUUUCUUUUUUUUUGAGAGAAACUGCAUAGACAUUGGAAAUGAGCAAAUCAUUUAAAUGUCUGAGUAGAAGAUUCAUGAAGAGGAAACCAUCAUCCAUAGGAAAGCAAAGUUGAGAUAACUCUGGAGCUUUCAAAAAAAUGUCUAAUAUCUCGCUUCAUUUGUUCUAUUUCUUGCAACAAGUCUGAAGCUGAAAAGUCCGCUUCAUUGAUAUUAUUCUCAGAGCUCUCCUCCACCAGAAUAGAUAUCUUCCUAGCAAGUUGCCCAACAUGUGCCAACAUAUCAUUCAAUUUGUCAUGAUGGAUAAAUUGCUUUGGUAUAUCAGUGAGAAAGAUCAAUAGGAACUCUAUCAUGACAUUAAUGCUUUGAGUUGGAGCGUAAUUGACAGCUACUGCAUCUGCCAUGCGUCCAGGGCCGGCUCUUGCCUAUAAAAUUUUAGGCAUUGGCCUUAGGCCCCAAUUUUUGGGGGCCUCAAAUUUUUAUAAAUAAAAAAUUAUGUAUCUUAAUCCCAUUCAAAUAGAAGAAAUUAAGGAAACAUUGUCUUGGAUUCUUACAUUUUCUUCGUUAACACUCACAUUAUUUAUCCUUUGUAACUCUUUUUGCACUCUAUUUCUUCAAAUCUUUGAUAGUUAGAGUAAUACACUCUCAAAAAUAUGAAUCAAUAGUCGAAAAGUGUUGAACAAAGUGCAUUACAAAUUCUUUUUUUUAAUUUAUUUGUUAAUUUUCAUAUUAAAGUAGGUAUACCAAGUUAUCAACUUUCUGAAUCAAAUUCUAUGAUUCUAACUCUUAUAUUUAAAGUUUAUCAACUUAUUACUUAUAAAAUUGUGUUAAUAAUUCAUAUAAUAAUUGUCUCAAUAAAAGGAUGUUUUUCAAUGUUGAAUUGAUAAAAUCUUACUUAAAACUAAGGGAAAAUGUAUAAGUACCACCCCAGCCUAUGCCCGAAAUCCCAGAGACACACCUAACCUUUACUAAGGUCCUAUUACCCCCCCGAACUUAUUUUAUAUGUAAUAUUCUACCCCUUUUUGGCCUACGUGGCACUAUCUUGUGGGCCCAACGCAUGUUGACAAAAUUUUCAAGGAUAGUGACUUGUGCCACGAUAAGCUUGAUCUUAUCAGUGACACUGGAAGUGAGAAGAUGAGAUGCGAGAGAGCAUUAUCUCUGACAAGAAUGGAAUUAAUGACAUGUUCUGCCUCAUAUGCCACAUCUAAAGCACGCAACCAACAAUCUUUAACUACUCGGCUAGUGUCAUUCAAUGUUUGCCUGAAAGAUGAUCUAAGGAAUUCAAGGCUUUGUUUCACCAUCCCAAUUUCUUUCUUUAUGAGAGAAACUGAAUAAGCAUUGGAAAUGAGCAAAUCAUUUAAACGUCUGAGUAGAAGAUUCAUGAAGAGGAAACCAUCAUCCACAGGAAAGCGAAGUUGAGAUGACUUUGGAGCUUUCAAAAAAAUCUGUCUAAUAUCUCGCUUCAUUUGUUCUAUUUCUUGCAACAAGUCUGAAGCUGAAAAGUCCGCUUCAUUGAUAUUAUACUCAGAGCUCUCUUCCAACAGAAUAGAUAUCUUCCUUGUAAGUAGCCCAACAUGUGCCAACAUAUCAUUCAAUAUGUCAUGAUGGAUAAAUCGCUUUGGUAUAUCAGUGAGAAAGAUCAAUAGGAACUCUAUCAUGACAUUAAUUCUUUGAGUUGGAGCGUAAUUGACAGCUACUGCACCUGCCAUGCGUCCUUGGAGAAGAAUCAGAUAAUUUUGAAGAAUCCUUGGUGAUGCUUUCCGGAUUUGCUUAACAAACCGUUCUAGUUCAGUUGAUCUUGAUUCUUUGAUGAGCAGUAGAAAUGUAUAAACCUCCAGCUCAAGAGGGAUUAUGUCGAUGAGUAGAGAAGCAAUCUUGGAAGAGCAUUGAGAGACGUCGUCACACACCUCGUAACCAUCAUAAUAAUAUUCAGUCCAAAGAUCAAAACAGAAUUGUGUUACUCUAUCAGCAGUCAAUUGGUGCCAAAGGUAGAGAUAUUCAGUGUGUGCUUUGUUGGCCUUGAGGAUAGGAUAGAAAUCUCUCAGAUGUCGGAAUACUUGCUAUUAGCACGAUAGUUUGGUAGAUCAUGAAGGUGUCUGAAGAGAUAUUCAAACAUUUUCUCGUCAGUCGUCAUGGCUACAUAAUAAUCAUUCUCCAAAUUCAAAAAAUAACUUUUCAUCUCUUCCAGCAGCAGAGGGGCAAGACAUUCCAUGUCGCAUUUCGCUAGGUUUAAUUUAUCAUCUUCAUCUUGAUAGAAAAGUGAGCAACUAAGUUCAUAGAACUUGUCUAUUUUCUCGGACAUGCUGGAAUAAAAAUAAUCCAAACUCGGUUUCCCAAACAGAACAAAUGUUCUUAGGAAUCUCAACUCCAUUCUUAGCUUUUCAAUGUCAUCCAAUUUUGAUGAAGCAAUUAUUUUUUCAUUCUUUAUUUUCUUCAAGCCAUUUAAGAAAUCAUCAAUAUGACUGCUGAUUCUUCUUCUUUCUUCCUCAAAUGGAAGCUGCUAAAUUAAAAACCAAUCAUUAGUCGGGAUAUAUUAGUGACAAAUUUUGUUAUUUAGUUACACAAGUGUAGUAAGUAGUUUGUUUAUGUGAUGUAAUAUAAAGUUUAGGGAUGUAAGAUUCUUUUUAGUGAAUUUUAACAUUUUUUUUUUAUAUUAAACUUUUUUUUAGUAGCUUCUAUAGAUAAUUUAUUACUAAUGAGAAUGGGUGAUAUAAUUUUUAAAUUAAAUAAUGAAUUUGUUUUUGCUAAUAAUACUACCUCCGUCGACUUUUAUUUGUCAUGCGCUUUUCGAAAGUCAAUUUGACUAAUUUUAAAAAUUAAAUUAGAUUAAUUAAUUCGAUAUUUUAAACAAAAAUUUAGAUAUUCAAAAAAUAUACUAAAAGUACUAUAAAUUGCAAUUUUUUGCAUAUCAAUAUGAUGAAAAAUACAUCAUAAAAUGUUAGCUAAAAUUCUUAUAAUUUGAUUCUAAAAAGAAAACAAUGACAAUUAAAAAUGGAUCGAGGGAAUAGAAAAAAAAAAAAAAAAAGGGCAAAGUGCCCAAUUAAUUAAAUAAAUAAAAAGGAAAGGAAAAAGGGCAACUACCCAAUAGACCAAAGAAAAUAAAAAGAAAAGUUGAAAGACGUGAAACGUCAAACAACAUAAACGAAAAAAAAAAAAACAACAGUUCAACAAACGCAGUAGAAGAAUAGAAAAGAAAGAAAGAGAAAAUAAGAGGAGAAAAUAAAAGAGAAAAAGUGGAAACUUUAUCUCAAAGUGAUUCUUGUUCUUUUCACAAAAUUUUUAUACGAUUAUGAACAGAUUUUUAGGAUAGAAAGUGUAGAAUUUAUGCCUAAUUGAGAAAAAUAUAAUUCUAGGAUUUUUAGAACAAAAUCUUGAUUUGAGGGUCGAAUAACUAUUCGUUUUAACUAAAAUUUAUCAUGCGAGUUAUUUUAUUAUGAGUGAAAUAAUCCAAAGAAAAUUUCAGAUUUGAAUUCGAAGGCUCAGGGUGACUUUUUUCACCCAAUUUUGAGCCAAAAAAAAAUAAUAUAAUAAUAUGUGUGUCAUUCAAUUCGUAUUCUUACGAGAAUUAUAUAUCUGAACAGAUUUUGACCAUUCAAAAGCAUUACAAAAGGAUGAAUUGGUAAUUUAACUUUUGAACUUCAGUUUGAAGCAAGUAGAAAUUCCUUCCUUUCUUUGGAGUGUUAGUUUUAUGAAAUAUAUAAAUAUAAUGAUAACGAAUAAUAAGAGGGUCCUGUAUAAAUGUGAACAACCCGAACCGUCGUUAUUUAGGAGAAACAAAAAUUCGGGAAAAUUUGGCCAUUGUCCCGCCAUAGCGGGCCAGAUGCCGCUAGGGCGGCGGCGCCAAGGCGGGGUAAGCUAACGCCAGGGCGGGAUAGGCGAGGCAGAACGUAAAUUACGCGAAAUCCUAUUUUCCUCCUUCUUCCUAAAAUACCUAAAUAAGUCGUAAAACACCUUAGAAACCCCCAAAAAGCUGUUGCAAGCUUGGGAAGAAGGGAGAGAGAGAUUUCUAGCGUGAGGAUGAUGAUGUCUUAUGGAUUCUUGGCCAAAAUCACCGUCACGAAGCCCAAAAAACAAGAAUCGAAGUCAAUAACUCCGUGCAAUUGCUUGGCACCCAGGUAGGUUUUAUGAAUUGAGUAGUUUAAAUAUGUGCUUACUACGUAAUAUAUGUGAAUCGAUGGUUGGAUUUAUGCGUAGGACUUCGUGCACUGAAUGAUUAUUGAUUUAAACCCUAGAAAGAAGCCUUAGACGAUGAAUUAGGGCUGAGAAUGGUCGAAUUAGGGUUGCAUGAAGUGUGUUGAUAAAUAAUCCGUUGUGAGGGUGGUGAUUCCAUGAUUUAGUGAUGUAUGUUGUUCUUGCUUCAUUGUGAAACAUGUAGGUAUACGAAUGUUGCAUUGUUGAUCACACUUGUUGUAAAUAAGGAGAUGUGAAUGAUGAACGCUAUGAGUCAUGAAUUGUUUUACAUGAUUAUGAGGAUAAACUUGUGAUAUGUUGAAUGGAUCAGUUGCCACGUUCCGGCAUAACUAAUUGGGAUCGAUUGCCACGUUUCGACAUAACUUACUGGGAUCAAUUGCCACAUUCCGACAUAACUAACUGGGAUAAGUUGCCACGUUCCGACAUAACUAUAGGAUCGGUUGCCACGUCCUGGCAUAAUUAUGAGAUCGGGUACCACGUUCCGGUAUGCUAACUGUUUGGGUUUGGGUUCCAUGAGAGGACCAAUGAUGUGGCAAAAUUGUGUAUCUUGAGAAAUGUGAAGUUGUUCGUAAGUGUCGUUAAUAUUGUAUAUAUUUGAUAUGCACAUGUGAGUAUGUUGUUGUAUUGACUUACAUAUGUUGCACUCAUUAGGUACAUGUUACGACGACUUAGAUUUGAUGGUUCUUGUGUUGAGCGAGUUGUUUGGGUAUAGUGGAAGGGCAAGGUGUCCAAGGGGCGAAUAAUAGAUAGUAAGGGUUGUUCGUAUGUUGUAAUGGCGAGAAGUAGAGGCUAAGUAUGUGAUGAAAUAUGCUUAGGUGGAUUUCACCCUGGGGAAAGAGAUUGGGUUUAGCGGUAAGAAAGCUUGAUAUAAUGUAUCAUGUGACCAUGGUUGGGUAAUGUGACGAGGAAGUAAGGAUAUGACGUGAGAGGUUAGUUGAAAUACAACGUGGUGAUUUUUGAGGGAACGCUUAAUGUGUUAGAAUGGUUAGGCCAUGAUCAAGUAUCCAGUAAGUAAGUUGGUUGAGAAGGUAGUUAGUAGUCAGAGUACUAGUGAAAUUAGGAGGUACUUCAAGAAAAGGGUAGAGGUGGAGAAACGAGUGGUUUAUGUCAUGAUCUUACUAGUUGGUCCCUUAUGUUAUGUGGUGGGCUUCGGGUUGACCGAUUAUGCAUACCAGUAUGUGUGUUUUGUACUGAUACUACUCUUGCUAUGUCUUUUGACAUAGUCUGGAUCCAGGCCGGCGACGUUUCAUUAGGUGAAGACGAAGAAAUUCUCCAGCAGCAUCUAUCUUCCUUCUGCAUGGUGGGAGCUGUGUCUUUUGUUUAUCUUGUCCAGAUGUACUCUUAGUAGCUCUUGUAACUGUUUAGACUAGAUCCUUGAGAGUUGUUAAUUACUUUACAAGUUUAAUAAAAAAGAGUGCCUAAAGUUAUUGUACAAAAAAUCAUAUUAUUAUAUUUAUCUUUGUUUUCUUUUAACUUUCCGCAUGUUUAACUAUUGGAAUAUGAGGGUUCUCCUACUUAGGUGUUAGAUUGGGUGCCCACACGGCCCGGUGGGUUGGAUCGUGACAAAAUGAGAUAACGAACAUUUAUGUAGGUACGGAUGUUAUAAUAUGGGAAAAUUUACAUGAAAUUAAUUAUUGCUUGAUAGUAGCUGUAAGUUGUGAUAUGAUUGAAUCAUUGAAACUAGUGAAUUAUGUAAAUUUGAUUGUGAUUAAUGAUCCUUAAUUGUAGGGUCAAUUGAUGAACUCAUAUCAUAUGUUUUUUCAUACAUAUCCGUACCACUCUUAUUGUCGUAUGAUUAUUAUUGGUUGAUAUUAUUUAUUCAACUAUUUGUAAGAUUCGUAUUCUUAUCAUGCCAAUGAGAAAUUGUUCCAACAAGUGAUAUCAUGCAAAGCCGAUAGAAAAUAAUAUUGGCGAAAGGUAUUCAUGUACCAAUGAGAAAUGGUUUUGGCAAAUGUUAUUGUGCCGAUAAGAAAUGAUUCCGGCAGUUAAACAGAUCUCUUGAGUCCUCGACUAUCUGACAGAAGAAGCGGUGUAUACCAUUUCUUGGUCAGUGCAUUGCAUUACAUUUCAUCUAUAUUGCAUUUCAUAUAAAUUUGGCGUUGACUUGUUGAACUGAUUGUGAACUGAUUUGAUUUGAUAGAUUUGAGACAUCUUGUGAUAUCAUUGAUGGUGUAAUUGACAAUUUGGGAAAAAUAUAUGUUUUAAUUGUUAUGUUGAGGUGAUUUAUUUUAUGAUGUAAUUAUACUUUUAGAAAAAGAAACUUUUAGAACAUACCUCGUUAUUGCUUCUUAGAAGAGUUAGUAAUCAAAACUUGUUGAAUACACGUAUUUUUCGUACGGAUCACUCUAUACUUGUUACACCUUUUUUCAAGCAGGAACUGAGUCAGGUACUAGCGGUAUUUGAUUUGUUACUGCGACUGAGAUUGAUGGUUGUUGAAAUUUAGGGUGAAUUGAUUUCUCUUCUUUUUGUCUUAUUUCCUUCUAAACAAAUGCGUUUGUUUUCAUGUUUGUUUUGUAUUAAUAGAUGCCAUUGUACUAGUGUCACCAUGUCUAGGAAUAUUUUAUUUUAACUUAUCUAUACAAAUUUUGCAUUGUUAAAUGAUUAAUAGAGGGAUCAGGUUUGCUUACGGGGAUGGUAGGUGCCCUCACAAAUUAAUGAAAUUUUGGAUUGUGACAACAUGGUAUCAGAGCAUGGUUCAUAGGUCCCAUUAAGUACAAGAGCUGAGUCUAGUAGAGUCUUGCGGAUCAGUUCGUAGAUCUCCAUUACUUAUCUUUGAGAGACUAUAGGACUUUAAGAAACUUUCAUUCCUUAUCGUGCGUAUGCGGUUCACUUUAAUAUCUAAAUUCUUUGUUUUAUUCUCUCACCCAUUGUGAGGAUACGUAUCUAAUUUGUACGUAAGUUAUGAGAGAUGGUGUUACAUGGUGUGGUGCGAGGCGUUAUGAUUUGGUUAGCAGAAUGACCAAAUAAUAGGAAUUGCGAUAUUGAGGAUGUUAGCAUAGUAUGGAUGGUUCGUUUGAGGUGUAACAAUGAUGUUUUAAUUUUUCCAAUUUAUUGGGACAAUCUUAUGACACAAUAAUAUCAAUGAUAAGUUGACAGUUCAAUACUGGAAUUAUAUAAUAUGGAUGAUAUGAAUAAAAAUGUAAUCUUGGGAGGAUCAAUUGAUUAGAUAAGAAAAUAGUGAUUAUGAUCAGACUAAAAUGAGAAGUUGAGGAAUAGCAAAAAUAUGAGAGGUGAUAAGUUAUAAUGAAGUUAAGAUGGUAGGACUAGUUAUAAGAUGGGUAUGAAAGACUUUCUUACCUUUUGAGUGAAGGUAUACUAAGAAAAAUUCAAAUAGUUCGAGUUGGAUAACAUGAUAAUCACAAUGAUAAAGUUUCUUAUGAUGGGAGCCACUAUACGUAGACUAAAUAUAAUAAUGUAUGAGAUUAUGAAGCUAGUUGAGUGUCAACCAACAAGGACACUUUAAGUGGUGAUUAAAUGAUAGAUACUGACAUAUUUACCUGUGAGAUGUCUUUCCGAAGUUGAAUUGAGAAUCAACAAUAUUAGUUGAAACUAAUGAAAAACAUGAUUUGAUUUUGGAAAAAGAUACGUGUACAAAACUAUAUGAGAUUAUUCAUAGAGACAUGAGUAUAGUGGUAAAAGACCGGCUUACAAUUCAUGGACUAAUAUUGGUGGUUGGAAAUAUUAUAUCGACAAAUAACUAACUCUAUUGAAGUAACCAAGGUUUUUCCAAGUAUUGUUCAGUAUGCUCUCGAUCUUUUGUAGUUUUAUUUUGGUCAUUGAUCUACUUCUUUUUAUGUAUCUUUUUUGAAUUUGGAUAUAUUUUGUGACUCUCCUUCUAUUUUUGUACGUAUCUCGACACCCUUAGAUGAUUCUUAGUGGUGGAUUGAUUACAUCGAUUUCAAGUUAUUGAUUUGGUAGAACAAGACAUUUGGAUAGACUUCAUUACUUUGAAUAUGAUAGACUUCGACAUCAUGUUGAAUAUGGAUUGAAUUUUUUCCGUUUCAUGCAUUCAGACUAUUAUGUCAAGACAAAGAUCUCAGUUUUGUUAGGUAUUCCUAAAUUGAAGUUACAUGACACUCUAAGUAUCUAUCUAAGGAAAUAUAGUAUCAUCUUCAAAGGCUUAAUGUAUAUGGUUCUGAGACAUGGUUGUGACAAGUGUUAUGUGAAUUGAGAGAGAACAAGGAAUUAAAGAGGAUGUACCAUUUUGAGGAACGCAUCAUGCACUACGAUAAGUAUUAUAAUGUGAGGAACAUGUCAUACGCCGUGAUAAUUUCUAUUAUUGAGAGACGUGUCGCAUGCCGCGACAGAUGUAUGGACAAAUAUGUUCCCCACGGGUCCCAGACUGAGAGACAACGGGUAUGUAUCAUUAGGUCAGACAUGUAUCACCAUAUUUGGCAUUGCAUCUCAUUGUAUUGCAUAUCUUUAUCAUUGUGAACUUGUGAGUGCUUUUCUAUGGAACUUGUAAUUGAUAAAACUUUAUCAUAUGUAUUGUUGAUAUGAAAUUGUCGGAUAUUAUCGUUAAGCUAUGAGCUAUGUAGAUUAUGAACUGUUAGGUUGAGCUGAUUUUAGGCAAGUUGUAGUUGUGGAGGUUUGGUUGGAGUGUAAGGAGUAACCUUAUUCUAUAUUUUUAGAUUUGUUAUAGGAGUUUGCUUGCUGAGUAUCAUGUGGUUUGAUACUCACCUUUUGCUUCUAUAUUUGUGUAGGUUACAAGCCUGGAUCUUCGUGAUACUCUCUACCUCUUCUUGUCCAAGACUUUAUGUGGAGAUUUGUGAGGUAACUGUUUGUUAUCUCAGCAAACCUUCUUACUCCUAUUAUUUAUUUUAUUCUGCUUUAGAGACAAUAUCAUUUGAAACUUUCGUUUUCUUUCAAAUCUAUUAUAAUACAUUAGAGACUUGUGCACGUGACAACCAGGUUUUGAUGAUUUAGUUAAGUUGACGUGUUAUCCGUAUUAUUAUUAUUAUUAUUAUUAUUAUUAUUAUUUGUUAUUAAACUUUUAUUUAUACGUUAUUUCUGCACUUUAUCUUAAUGAUUGGGUUUUAGGCUGACUUGUCUUUGAUGGGAUAAGACGAGUGUCAUCACAUCUAUUUUGGGUCGUCACAUUCUAAUUCAACUCACAAAAUAUGAUAUAUAUUUAGUUAAUUAAAGUGGAUGAACAUGAAAAUAACAAUUUAUCUAUCGUGCACAGGAUUAAUAAAUAUAGGCAUGAUCGAGCGCAUAUUGUCAACGUGACGGAAGUAGAUCAUAUUUUUUAUACUUUUAUGGAGUUUGUAGAAUUAGAUAUUUUAAUUCCUUAUGAUUAGGUUCAUCUUAAUUAGAUGAUAUUUUUAAAAUAUAAAUAUUUUAAUUGUUGAGUUUAAAUUUAUUUACAUUUUGCCGACAAUCCUUUUCAAGAGUCAAUGGUCACAAAUAUUUUAAUGGAUACCGUUAGCUUUAUUUUUACUAUUUUUGACCUUUUUGUUAAGUGCAAGUUUUAAAAUGAAUUUUAACCAUAAAUUAUUUUAUGAUCCACAUGACAUUAAUCUAAGAGGUAAUUGAACUUGUGGGAAUAGUAGUACUUGACUGAAUCUUUUUCCCGCAAAAUGAAUAUAUAUGCCUCUAUAUAUUUGAAUAGGCGUUAACAUUGCCAUGUAAAACAUACCAAUAGUAUUGUUACAAAAACAUGUAAAACUAGUAAUUGCUAGAGAAGUAACCAGCUUAAUCACUACUCCUAAUUCCAUUCCUUUUUAGUUGUCAUAGUUUUCUUUUUAAGACUCAAACGAUAUAGAUUUUGACCAAUAUUUUAAGUUGUAUUUUUUCAUCAUAUUGAUAUGAAAAAAAUUGCAAUUUAUAGUACUUUCGGCAUAGUUUUUGAAUAUCUAAAACUUUAUUUUAAAUAUUGAAUGAAUAUAAUCUAAUUUAGCUAUGAAAAUUAGUCAAAUUAACUCUCGAAAAACAUAACAUGACGAAAAAAACGAAGAAAGUAUUAAUUUGGAGCAUGUAAAAGUAUUAGUACACAUACCGAUGACCUUCCUUUUUCCAUUUAAUCUCUAACGUCGAACCAGCCUUCAAUUUCUAGAGAUUUGAUGUUUCAACUAAUCACAUGCACAUUUAAUAAGGAUAAAAAUUAGAAAUGCAAGUAAAAGGAACGGCAACAAGCAAGAAUUGUGAAUGUAAACUAUUAAAUUUAUAGGUUUUGAAUUAUUAAAAUGAUAUAUAUGUAAAUAAUAAUUCAGAAUAAAUACAUGAUAAUUUUUUUAGAGAAAAUGUUCUCUAAAAUUUUUGACCAACCAAAAUGAGAAAAUUGAAAAACAGUUUAGAGAGGGAAGAGAAGAGGGUCGGAGACUAAUCUUGAUGCUAGGAAAUAAACUCUUUCAACUACUAUAUAUUGAUGCUUAAUUAUCGACAAUUGCGCUCUAUCGGUGAAAAUCUCCUACUUCACAACAGGAGAUCGUAUCGGGUAAGAAAGUAGGCUCACUAUAUCCAUUAUACUCUUACUAAAGUACAUUUGAUCUUCUUUGUCUCGAACCCAUACCCCUAUAAUAAUGGUAGAGUCAGGGGUAGCCCCAAAGCGAAAUUGACCAGUAGUGCUUGGUCGAAGCUCCAGUAGGUCCUUCAACCUUAAGAUUGUAAGCAAAGAUGACAGAAACUCCUACAUAUCAUUCUGUAUAUCCAACAUAUACAUUCUAUAAUUAUCAAGUCAAAAAUAUAAACCAUUUUGCUGUUUCUUAUGUAUGUAUGUAAUCCACAAAUAAAUACAAAAAGGGAAUAUUACUCUCUCUGCCUUUGUAUUCAAAUAUUACAUGUAAAAAAAUGAAAUAAAAAGAAAAAUAGUUUACCUUUUUCUCUACUUCCAAGCUGUUAAAACCAUGAAAAUUAACUAGGAAAUGAUGAAUGUGAUAUAUUAUGAGAGAGCUCACAAUAAAACUUAAAUGCUAAUUAAGGCUACCUUGAAUCUAUAUGACUAUAUAGCCAUACAUACAAUAAGAAAAAAAUGACAAAAGGUUAAGUUGGUCAAUAGCUUACAAUACCAUGUUCUUACAAUUUUCUAUUUAUAUUAAAUUUUUUGAAAUAGUCAACUUUUUUUCUAUUUAGUCUAAUUGAUAAUAAGAAUUAAUUUCUUCAAAAAAAAGACUUACUAAUAGUUAGUUCUAUCAAGAAUUUUUAGAUAAAAAUUGUUCACAUUCCUAAAAAUCUCUCUUUUUUAUGGGUUUUUCACCCGGUGUCCGGAGUCUACAUUGAAGCAUUGCACAGCAUUGCAAGAGCUCAUUUGGGGUUGACGCUCCCAACAACAUUUUCUUUAUUUCGAACCCUCUGUUUAAGGUGAAAAAGCCCCAUAUUCCUAAAAAUCUCUCCAUUAUUAGUCAACUAAACAGACAAUAGAUCUGCCAAUAAAAUAAAGGACCCAUUUGGUUAUAAAAAUUAUUUAUUUAUUUAAUUUAAAUGUUAGUGUAAAUCUACGAUGAAAUGCCUCCUAAAUUAACCCGGAAAUGUCAACUGACAAAUGCUUAUUCUGUUAUUCACUUGCAAAUAUAUUUAUGGAGACUGUCAGCUAUCAUUUCGAUAUUCGAGUUGACAGACUUGGUUUUAAUUAAUGAUUCAAAAUAAUUAUAAACUUAAAUUAAUCAAAUUUAGAUCUAGACUUUGAUUAGACUAAUUGAAUGUUCACGUUAAGGCUGCAAAUAUAAAUAAAAAAUUACUUAUAUUAAGUACUCAUAUAAUAUUAUUUUUAUACUAGGUAACAAGUUUGUUCAUUGGAAGUAGUAAUCAGAUAAAACCAGAUGGAAGUUGCGUUGUUUCUUUCUUCAUUGUUGUUCUAUCCUUGUGUCCUUUGUGCAUUCUGCAAAUUAUAUAUCAUAUAUCAUCAUAUCACAUAUUACUAUAAGUGGGAAGCUUAACCCCAAAGUUGAUUUACCGGUUUUGACCUUACAGUAUUACUUAAAUAUUAAUUUAGUAAAAAUUAAAUUUGCUGAUAAUCUCAGCCCUAAUUAAAUUCUCCAGAAACUUAUAGUUGCUGCUCAGCCUCUUCGAUCACUGUACCAGAAACCGUAUAGUUGCUGGUUGCUGCUCAACCUCCUUGAUCAGUGCGACAGUUCUUUUCCGACGCUCAAGUUCCAUUGCUUUAAUUAGCAGCUCAUUCAAAACCUUUUCACAUUCUUGGAUCAUCUAUAUAAAUGUCUCCAACAAUGUGUCAUUGUCCAAUAAUUGGUUUUUCUUUUCUCUGCCUCAAUCAAAUACAUCAUUGUCAAGUAAAAAAAAAUUCUCCUCUUUAUUUAUCAAGAGCUGCUCUAUUUUCCCUGUUUACUGUGCAUGUCUUUAUCUGGCUUAUUUCGUUUCAUUCUCUUUAUCAUGAGUCGCUCUGUUCUUGAUAUUGUUAUUUUUGUGAAAGUGUUGGAAUUUUGCGAAUGUUCGGAAGUGAUGGCAUGCUGGGAAGUGGAAUAUUGGCAGGCAUUUGAGGUGGCUGCUGUUGGUAAAUUGGGAAUAGUCGGUAUUAGCUGUUGGAAGUGUUGGCAAAGAUGUAAUGCUUGGCAAUGGUGGCAAUGUGGCUGCUGUUGGUAAAUUAGGAAUAAUGGGUAAUUGUGGCAUUGUUGGCUGAGGCAACAAGGGGAUCGUUGGCAAGUUUGGAAGUUGCAGUAGGCUAUAACCAACAUGACUUGUGGUGAUGUUUGGUCAUGUCUGGUAUUUAAGUCGAGAAGGGAAGAGGGAUAGGGCUAUUUUUCACCGAGUUUCGAACUAUGUGCCUAUUUGCCUUUGGGAAUUCUCAGUUUUCAUCCUAUGCUACCAAAAGAUUCAAACUCAGUAUACUUUUUUGCAGAUUUGACUUGUGAAAGGUGUUAUCUUUAGAUUCUAAUGUGAUACCUAAAUUAGAUUUCUUAGACAAGUAUUUAGCGGUCAUACAAAAUGUGGUUAAAGCUAGAGUGCAAUGAAUUUGCCCCCUGUGCUUUGGCAGUGGUCAAAGUCUGGUAUUUUAGUUGAGUUGGGCAGAGGGAUGGGCCUAUUUUCCACGGAGUUUUGAACUAUGUGCCUAUUGACCUUUGGGAAUUUGUCAGUUUUUAAGGGAAAAAAGACUGAAUUGUUUUCAUCCUAUGAUACCAAAGAAUCAAACUCAGUAUACUCAGAAAGGCAGGAUUUACCCUGCCUUUCUGUACUAUAUGUAUGAAUAAUCGAAGUAAGAGUGAUUAAAUGUUGUGUUUGAGACUUCCUUCACAUAGCAUUGGAAUUCGCCUUUUCCUUUGUUAAGAUGUUAGAACACAACCUUGCUGGUUCACCGCUUGGUCAUUAUCAAAUUAAACUGUGAGCAACUGUUCUAAAGCUGGAGUCUUUGUUGGGAACCUAGGACCCUUUAUUGUUUUGUCUCAAUUGUUGUAAUAUAUUGGAAUACUCAGCUUUUCUUGGCUACUUCUAUGCAUAAACGUGCAAGUGGUGUAUAAUCUGUUUAAAUGUUUUCACAACUUGGCCUUUGGAGGUAUGUAAAGAGUACAAAAAGUAGGACUUGUGUAAAUCUACAUAAUAAAGGAGUUUAACAAGUCCAUAAACUCUGUCCAGUUAGUUACAAUAAUCAUUUAGGGAUUCUUUUCUAGCUGUCAUUUCCCGGGAGAAAAGGUUGUCGUGAGAUUUGAACUUGCUGAUCCCAAAGCUCAAAAGCGAGUAGUUGCAGUGCUUCACGAGCUCCUUAGUUUGACUAUGGAAAAGAGGUUGACAUCUGCUCAAAUAGAUGCAUUUCAUUCCGAGUUACAGUUAGGUAUAUUCUACAUCACUAAUAAAGGUGUCAGGAGUAAAAUGAUACUUAAAGAGGCUUAUGAUGGGUCUAAUUUGAUCUGUAAAUGCCCUAUGUUAUUAUUUAGAGAUAAGUUUAUAGCACUUACAGUAGGAAAAGAUAUUGAUUCAUGUAUCAAUGCUCCGACUUAGUUUAUUUAAUGAAAACAGUGGUUGACACUGUAGUUUGUUCUUUUUACCCUGCUUCUCAUGGGUGUUGAUCAGUAUUGUUGCAGUGUUGUUCUUGUCAAGAAGGAUAUUUUGUGACUUAAUGUUGCAAUGAAUGAUCUGGUUCUCGCAGUCUUCAUGAAAGUAUAACAGGCCUCUGGCAAUGUCAAGUUCUAUGUCACUUCUUAGCUUCCAGCUUGGUCUUUGUCCAUCGCGAAAGAUCAAAUUUGACACAUCCCCAUUUUUCAAUAAUUCAUAAACAACAUGCCUGUUGCUUUUUUCAUUGCAGAAGCCUAACAAAUGAACCAGAUUUUUCUAAUGUGUUGGGCCUAUCACCCUUACUUCUGCCAAAAAUUCUUUAUCAUCACCUUGUUCAAUUCCAUUUCCUAAUUUCUUCACAGCAACUUCAACUUCCUCAUCCUCUAACUUGAGAAUUUCGCUAUAAACACCACCAGAAGCUCCUUGGCCUAAUUUAUUCUUGAGACCAUUGGUGGCUUCGUGCAGCUGCUGGAAUGAAAAUGCCCUUAAAUACAUCGCAAUUGCCGCCUUUAUUUCUUUCUUUCUUUCUUUUUGGAGAGGUUUUGGCAUCUCUAUAUUUCUUCAUAAAAGGGUGCUAAUAUAUAGCAAUUGCUGCAAAAAGCAGAGCAACUACUGACAAAACACCCUUUGAUGCAGAGUGCUUUUUGUUUUGAGUUAUCGAAGAGCUGCUAAUUUUUUAAGAAAUGCAACCAUGUUAUUUGUAUGAGGAUUAAUAACAUGAUAAUAUCUUGAGCUUUUCUUGAAAUUUUGUGGGUUGUGAGUAUUUUUUGUGAUUGUUGAUGUUAUAAUCAUUGUUAUGGUAAUUACUAAUAAAUUCUACUUCUACUUAUAUUUGUUGUUGUUAGUUACUAUGAUUAUGAUUCUUGAAUUGUUGUUGUGAGCUUUGUAAAUUUGGUGACUUUGGGUUCUUUUCUUGAUCUACUAUGAGUUGCUUGAAUUUUGGUCUUGUGGUGUAUUUGAGGUCUUAGUGGACUAUGGUGUUUUGCAAUUUUCAUGUUGUAAUUUAGAUAUAUGAUGUUAUUUUAAUUUUUUCUUAUUUAUUAUUAAUAUAUCAAGGGCAGGGGAAGGGGAAACGGAGGAGGGGAUUAUAAGGUGGUAAUCGAAUCCUGACUAAUAAGGUGAAUGUUCAGGUAGUCAACUAACCGAAGCUAGCUAUCAAGAUUCUGUACUUUAAGUUGAAAUUGUCUUAUGGACAAAAUUCCACUAUAGGUGAAAAUGAAGAAACUUGAUUUUGUGUCUUUUUUGGUACUAAUUUAUGACCUAUUUGAGGAACUGAACUAAUUUAUCGAAGUUUUCGUCUGUGAAAAUUUGUGAAAGAUGUUAAAUUGUUCUUGAAAUUUCGUAGUUCAAAGCAUAGUAAACUUGAUGAGCUCAUGAUUACAUGGAAAAUAAGUGUAUUUUUCUACUGAUUUUUUGGUUUGAUGAUGAUUUAUGUUAGGUGUUAAGAUACCUCUAGUGAAAUUGUGUGCCAAGUGGAACCAAGAUUUGAACUUUAUGAGUUCUAAGUUCUAAGAUAGCAACAUCAGGUGUUAGUAACUGUGUUCUGAAUUUAAUAUUUGUACAUGUUUAGUGAAUUUCUUAAUACAAAUUUAAGGGUUUGAACUUAAGCUACUGAAUUCGACUUCUAGCUCGCCCGUGAUUGUGUUCAUUUGCUUCCUCGAUGUUUUCCCGUUUCUCAUAAUUUUCCUGAUGAUGCCUUUUGUUUCCCAGGUUCUUCCAAAAAGUUGAAUUUUGCUACAGUUCAAGAAGUUUUGGAGUUCUUCUGAUUAUUUGUCAAAGUGCAAUAAAACUGAAACUCCGUAGGUAUUGUAUUUCUCAUUUCAACCUUUAAUUAACUAACCAUUUUAGCACUAUCUUUUUGAAUUAAGCUUUUUCCUACACGAUUUAACCGACCUUUGAGUCAUUACUAUGAUAACAACCAGUCGUAAUUAAGCUUCAACAUGAGCCUGGUGUUUGAGGUUGUAAGCAGGUAGAUCUUUUCCCGCAUGUGAACAAAUGAUGUACUUUUAUUUGAUGCACUGGUACUGAUUUGAGAAUGUAGAAUUCGUACUCGUUCGUGUGGUAUCUAUUUUACUGAUCUGGGAAUUUCAAAGCUGUUUCAAAGCAAUUACUGAUCUGGGAAUUCUCCGUAAUGUUAUAAACCAUUGGGGUUAGUUGUACCUACAGAGUGGAAAGCAAAUCAAAACCGAUACUUCGAUGUUAUUCAUUUUGGUUUCUGUGUGACUUGGUUUAGAAUUCGAGGGAAAUGAUUAAUGUAUAGCUUAAUAAAUUGAUAUUCAUCAUUGGCCAAUUGAUCUUGAAAGUACUGUCUCAGUACGAAAGAUUAUUUUCUCUUGUUCGAAAAAUCAUGUACUUUGUUAUACAUAUGCAAGUGAAUCAACUAACGACGACCAUCCAUUGAUUUAACACUCCCUGUUGUUUUAUCAAAGUCUAAAUCCGUACCCGACUUGUCUCCAAGCAACAUGAAGCCUCCAAAUUUCAAUCUUGAAUCAGAAGACGAGUCCGAGGUCAGCAACUGCCAAGUGGGUUCAAACAUAUCCGUCGAAAUUCAUCCUGGUCCUUCCUUAAUCUUCAGCAGGAAUCAGUUCCUGUUACUCUUGACUUGAUUCUUGGCUUCAACAGCUGUGACUCCGAGUUGAAAGCCAACGGAGAGGCGAGUGACGAAGUAGUACCCCAUCCUCCAACGGCAGCAUUAUCCAGAGUUUUCUCGUGCAAUUUCUGCAGGCGCAAGUUUUACAGCUCCCAGGCGUUGGGCGGACACCAGAACGCACAUAAGAGGGAGAGGACUUUAGCUAAGAGAGCCAUGCGGAUGGGAAUGUUAUCGGACAGGUACGCUAGCUUAGCAUCAUUGCCCCUUCACGGGGCUGCAUUUCGAUCUCUUGGCGUUGAAGCUCAUGCUUCCGCACACCAACGCAUCUCGCACCAAGAAACGCCUAUUCAUGNNNNNNNNNNNNNNNNNNNNNNNNNNNNNNNNNNNNNNNNNNNNNNNNNNNNNNNNNNNNNNNNNNNNNNNNNNNNNNNNNNNNNNNNNNNNNNNNNNNNNNNNNNNNNNNNNNNNNNNNNNNNNNNNNNNNNNNNNNNNNNNNNNNNNNNNNNNNNNNNUUUUUUUUUUUGCAUUCUAUUCUACUUUUUGUAUCAGAAUUUUCAUAAUUGUGGUAUUACAUUAGUGCUCUAUUUGUACAGGAGAUGAAUAUUUGAGACUGUCUUGAGCUUUCAAUUUUGAAUCUUUUUCAUUCCCAAAUUUGUUUAGUUGACCAUCUUAUUGUACAAUUAUAUGAUAUUAUUACAUAAGUACAGAUUUGGGACAGUGGUGAUGUUUUUUAGUUUAUGCAAACCUUGUAACUUCCUCCCAUUUUAACCCUGCUUAUUAUUAUUCACUAGAUUCACUUCAGAAAGUCUCACAUUGAGGUUAAGACAUACAUUCCCUAACAAAGACGACUCUAUAUCCAGUAGGGCUCGAACGCGAGGCCUCUAAUUAAGGAUAAAAGAGUACUACCACUCCACCACAAUGCUUGUUGGCAGUAGUCAUCUAACUGUCCAUAUUCUUUAAAAAAAAAGGGAUAGUAGCCUUUUUCAUGUUCUUAAAAAAAAGGGGGAAUUGUCCAUUGAUGACUGUUCUUCAUCAGAUUCAGGCCAAAUGGGACAUAUAUUGAUUCACAAUUUGGCAUUGACACCUUCCAAUUGAAAAACUAGAAUCUUAUAUGAGAGAUUACAUACGAAUUAAGAUUCAUAACUAGCAAAAAACAGGAAAGAAAACACACAACACAUUAAAUUAAAAUAUGUCCAGAACCAGCAAUGAAAAAAACCAGUAACAAGUUUGUUUAUUGGAAGCAGUAAUCAGAUGAAGUGAGACUGCAAAUGCAUUCGUUGCGUUGUUUCUUUCUUCAUUGUUGUUCUAUCCUUGAGCAUUCUGCAAAUUAUAUAUAGUAUGAUUUAAAUUAAAUGAAGUAUAUAUGUAUGUAGGGGUAAAGAUGUAAUAAAUUAAUUACCUCUGUUUCAUCCUCUUCCUCAGCUUCUAAUUCAUACAACACAUCUGAUAUAUGGAGUUGAAGUCUGUCCUCUCCUGCGAAAUCUACUAUCUGUUUCUUAAUCUCAAUGGCUGAAUCUUCAACCUCACGCUUAACAUUAGUUAAAUGAAUGGACUUUAAAGUGUGUAUAUCUAUAAAUGCACAAGGGAUCUCCGUAAGCUUGUAACAAUGUGCUAGUCUUAAUUCCUCAAGCUUGGGAAAGGUUUCCAUAUCAACUUGCCAUUCCGAAUGAUUGACCAUUCGCAUAGACAAAGUCUUAAGACUUUGAUAGAUGUCCUCACUUGCGUCCCACUUGUCCUCUACGAAUUCACAGUAAAUAAACUCCAGAAUUUCAAGCUCAGGCAAUGCCGCGAUUACUGACAACAAAUCAGGUCUCAGGGGAAAACCAUUCAACCGUAACUCUUUCAAGCUGUUAGGGAAGUAAUAUUCAUUGGGUUGUCCGAUUUUUUCUGUUAACUUGGGAUAGCCAACAUUCUCGUACAUUGCAAAGAGUGAUUCAAGUUUAUGAAGGACAUCAAACUUGGGAAACCAAUCACCCUGUGUAAGAGGAUCUAUCGGUUCCUUGAUGUGGCAAUGAAGGUGCUGAAGAUUCGGGAACUUCUCCAGAACACCACUCAUGGCUUCAGUAUAUGAGAUAUCAACUUCAGAUAAGGUUGUCAAGUCUUCUAACUUUGAAUUCUCAGCUUCCAAUAUUCUACUUGGUUCAUGCAUAAUAUCGUCCGCAUCCAUUUCCUCUUCCUCUUCAAAGAAAGAACUCCUGGCAAUUUUCACAUGUUUCAGCUUUGACAGUUUGAAUAUUAUGGGAAGUAAUACCAUGGUGGACAUUCCAGUAUUGAUGAACAGAGUUUCCAGAUUCUGGAGGUUCAACCACGACACUGGGAUAACUUUUACUGGAGUUCGAAUCCUUAAGAACCUCAAAUGAAAUAGGGAGCCUAUUUCUUCCACUAAAGAAUCGUCCAGAAUAAUGUUAUCCAGUUGCAAUACUCUAGCAAGUCCAAAGGAUCUUGUAUCGCAGAUAUAGCUGGGGUGACGAAGUGAACCGCUAACUUUCAAAGAUAUGAGAUGCUUACUAUCAGCUAAACACUUAUUAAAAUUGAACAAAACACAUUUUUUACUGUCGUCAGUAUGAAUGGUUAGACGAUGAUGUAGGACAUCCGUAGCAUGAAAUCGAGCACCUGGAUUCAUUAACUUGAGAAACUUUUCCUUUUUAGCUUUUUCUGAACAAAAAUCGUGCACAACAUCAUGCACAUAGCAAACCUUGAUCCUAACAGAAAAAGGCAUACUCUUCUUGGAGUGGGUUUGAUCCACCAUUAUCAGGCUACUGGAAAUUAAAGCAUCCAAGUAACUUUGAGUUGCUUCCUCUAAACUACCCUUGGAUGGGAUAUCAUAAUCCACAAACCCUUCGGCCAUCCACAACUUCUUUAACUUAGAGACCGGAGUUCUUUUGGUCUUUUGAGAUCUUGCGAAGUAAAGCAACAACGGCUUCAGGUGGCAUGGUAAAUGGUCAUAACUUAAUUGCAUAACCUUCAUCAUCUGCAAAUUGAUGUUGUCAGAAAUAAAGGAAUCCAAAUUAUGUUGAAUCUUAAGCCACAAAUUCUUUUCCUUUUUCUUUCCUCUAACAAUUACUCCAGCAAUCAAAACAACAGCCAAAGGAAGCCCUUUACAUUUCUCAACUAUUUGGUAUCCAACUUCUGACAGUUCAGCAGGGCAGCUUCCUUCUCCAAAUACCCUUUUUUCGAAUAGUUCCCAACUUUUUUCAGGUAGUUAAAACUUGGAGGUCGAUAGGAUCAGUACGACAUUUAACUUGCGAACCUACCUUACUAAUUCGGCUAGUUAAAAUAACUCUAUCUCCUCUCUUAAGCUUUGGAAAACAUGCUAUUAACAUCUCCCUUGUUGCAAUAUCCCACACAUCAUCCAAGACGAUGAGGUACCUUUUAUCAUACAGUGCUCUUCGUAGCUCUUCAGCAAGGUCAUCUUCACUUCCUUUUUCUUCCGAGCCAGUAACUUGCUGAAGAAUCUCCUGCAACACCUUUGACUUGUUAUACUUUUGGGAAACGGUGCACCAAGCACGAAUCUUGAAAUGACUAGCAACUAAUGUAUUGUUAUACACUUUGUUGGCCAGAGUAGUUUUACCGAGUCCUGGCAUUCCGACAAUCGAAAUGACGUCAAGCUCGGAUUCAUGUUCAUCAAGGAGCUGGUCAAUGAUCUGGGCUUCUACUUCCUCAUGACCUACUGUUACCUCAACAAAAGAUGAUGAGGUUAACUCAAUUGGGUCGUCAGAAGACUUUGCAUCAAGGGGGUCAUCCCCAUUCUUAGCCUCCAGCUGUAAACUGGUGACUUCUGCCACGAUAAACUUGAUCUUAUCAAUGACAUCUGGAAGUGAGAAGAUGAGAUGCGAGAGAGCUUUAUCUCUGACAAGAAUGGAAUUAAUGACAUGUUCUGCCUCGUAUGCCACAUCUAAAGCACGCACCCAACAAUCUUUAACUACUCCACUAGUGUCAUUCAAUGUUUGCCUGACUUUCCCGAAAGAUGUUGUUAGGAAUUCAAGGCUUUCUUUCACCAUCCCAAUUUCUUUUUUUAUCAGAAAAACUGAAGAAGCAUUGGAAAUGAGCAAAUCAUUUAAAUGUCUGAGUAGAAGAUUCAUGAAGAGGAAACCAUCAUCCAUAGGAAAGCAAAGUUGAGAUGACUCUGGAGCUUUCAAAAAAAUCUGUCUACUAUCUCGCUUCAUUUGUUCAAUUUCUUGCAACAAGUCUGAAGCCGAAAAGUCCGCUUCAUUGAUAUUAGAGCUCUCCUCCAUGAGAAUAGAUAUAUUCCUUGUAAGUAGUGCGACAUGUGCCAACAUAUCGUUCAAUUUGUCAGGAUGGAUAAAGCGCUUUGGUAUAUCGGUGAGAAAGAUCAAUAGGAACUCGAUCAUGACAUUAAUACUUUGAGUUUGAGAGUAAUUGACAGCUACCAUGCGUCCUUGGAGAUGAAUGAGAUAAUUUUGAAGAAUCUUUGGAGAUGCUUUUAGGAUUUGCUUCACAAACCGUUUUAAUUGAGUUGACCUUGAUUCUUUCAUGAGCUUGAAAGUAGAAAUGUAUAGAACCUCCAGCUCAAGAGGGAUUAUGUCGAUGAGUAGAGAAGCAAUCUUGGAAGAGUACUCAUCAGCAUCAUAACUUGAUUUAUACUUUCCAGUCCAAAUAUAAAAAUAGAAUUGUAGAAAUGUAUGGGCGAUGAAUUGGAAGCGAGGAAAGAGAUAUUGAGUAGUAGUUGUUUUGUUGGCCAGGAGGAUAGGAUAGAAAUCUGUCAGACGACGGAAUACUUGGCGAAGAAUGUUUAUUUUCGUGGACAUCGGCCUGUAAGAAGUAAUGUUUGUUAGAUCAUGAAGGUUUGUGAAGAGGUAUUCAAACAUUUUCUCCUCUGUUAUCAUUGCUACAUAAUUAUCAUUCUUCAAACUCAAAUAACUUUGCAUCUCUUCCAGCAGCAGAGGGACAACACCAUCCAUGUUGUAUUUCUCUAGAAUUACUUCAUCAUUAAGUAGUCCCCGAGUCAUAACACUGAACUUGUUUAUUUUGUUGGACAUCCUCUCAUAAAAGUCAUCCAAACUUGAAUCCCCAAACAGGACAAAUGUUUUUAGGAAUCUCAGAUCCAUUCUUAGCUUUUUAAUGACAUACCAAUUUGAAUAAAAGAAUACUUCUUCUUCAUUCUUUAUUUUCUUCAAGCCAUUCAACAAAUCAUCAAUAAGAUUCCUGAUUCUUCUUCUUUUUUCCUCAAGUCGCAGCUCCUAAAUUAAAACAUAGUAAUACGUAAUUAUUAUUGUUGUCGUCAUUGUUUCAAUAGAGACAAUAAUUAAAGAAAUUGAAAAUUUAGUAAUUUUUUAUUUAUUGGCCACUUUUUUUUUUCUUAUUAAUAUAUUCAUUUUGUAUGAUACGACGACAUAUAUAUUGUAUUUUUUUUUAAUUGACUUGAUUGUAAAUGUUUCCCUUUAACUCUCAUUCUAUAUUUCAAUUUUUAUGAUUUUUUUAUUUUAAGAUUUUAAUUUUUUAUAAAUUAAUAGAACAUGUAAUAUUGGAUACAAGUUUUUUAUUGUACUGUACAAUUAUUCAUAUAUAUACAUAUAGUAAUCAUUAGUUUGUUAUUUUAUGGGAUUUUAUCAGCUCAAGUAUAUUAUCUACCCCCUUAGACAAUUUUAACAUAUCAUAUGAUGUUUUCAUUGUUUUAAUUUGUUACUAUGUUUAUUGAAUGUUGUUUAAAGAUUUUAGCAGAAGUAAUUUUUUUUAUAAGUAAUUGGAGCCAAACAUGCAACACACAUUCUCAAAAUAAUUGUUACAAAAAUAUGUAAAACUAAUAAUUGCUAGAAAAAUAAGUAUAAUUUAUAUGUAAAACUUAAUUACUACUAAUUUGGAGCAUGUAAAAUUUGUAUUGAUAGACAUACCAAUGACUUUCCUUCUUUUUCCAUUGAGUCUCCAACGUCGAACCAGCCUUCAAUUUCUAAAGAAUUGAUUUUUCAACUUAUGAUCACAUGCAUAUUUAAUUUGGAUAAAAGUUAGAAGAUAGUAAUCACAUGCACAAGUAAAAGGAAAUGCAAGAAGCAAGAGUUAAGAAUGUUAAUUAUUAAGUUUAUAGGUUUUGAAUUAUAAUUAUACCUAGUAAUUUACUGUUUUAAGUAAAUACAUGAAUUGGUGAAAGUAACAGAUAGCAUGUCAAAAUAUAUACUAUUUUACGUUGAUUAGACUUGAUAAGUUACUCAGAGUGGCGCACAAGUACACACACUAAUAAAUUUUCAAGAAUUUGGACCAUAAUGUAUACUCCAUUUAUUUCAUAUUAACUGAAUUUGUGAGACAAUGGACAUAUAUUAAGCAAAACAUUUUAAAACAUAAUUUAAAUCAUAAUUUCCAGUAUUAUCAUUUGAGAAAUCAUAAAUAUAACUUUGUAAGUAGUGUAAUUUAUCUCCUAGAAAAUAUAAAACUCCAAUAAAUAAAAGGGUAAAUAUGGAAAAAAAAAUCAAACAUCCUUUUUGAAUUUUGAACAAUUCAAUUAUUCUGAACAAUGAAAAAAAUCUAAAUUUUUUACUUAAUAUGAAAUGGAGGAAGUACUAGAGAGACGAGAUCUAAAUUUACACAAACCAUGAGUGUGUUUGGUAUGAAAGAAAUUAUUUUCUGAAAAUGUUUUUUUUUAACUAAUAAGUGGGUUUGUUAUUUUAUUUUUUAUGUGUGUUUGAUAUAUUUUCUAAAUAUUUAAGUAAUCGAACAUGAAAACAUUAAAAAAAUAUAAAUACUUCCUCUUGAACACACACUAUAUUAAAGUGUUUCCAAUAUCAUGAUAUAUUAAAAUCUUAAAUGUAGAACCAACCAAGAUAUAUAUCUAUAUAAACUACGUUAAAAGGUCUUCUUCAUAUCAUGAUUAGAGACCUUAAUUAAUCUCCCUUUACAAGCUUGGACCCUAUAUGGGUGUGAUUGGUACAAAGGGUUUCGUACUUACUAAACAUGAGAAAAUUGAAUGAAAAAAGUUGAAAAACAGUGUAAAAAGGAAAGGGAAGAGGGUUGGAGACUGAUCCUAAAUUAUCAGAUCAUUCUAUAUAUCCAACACACAUAUUCUAUAAUUAUCAAGUAAAAAAUAUAAAUCAUUUUUCUAAUUCUUAUUAUGUAUGUUUCUAUCAAAUCAAGUGAAUCACAAAAAUACAUGUAAAAUGAAAUAGAAAAAAAGAAAACUAGAAAAACAUUAUAUUAUACCUUUUUGUUUACUUCCAAGCUAAUAAUUCCUCUCAAUUGGUAGUUUGCCUUGUUGCAGAUUUACAACACUUAUAUUGAGAAAAUUGAGUCAGCAAAAGCAAGCAGCAAAUGUUGAAGAACCUAAUUCACUUAUUGUUAGAUCUGCAAAUGUGAACUUUCAAUUAGUUUAUCAAAAGUCUAGAUCUGAAAUAGAUUAGUUUAAGCCCCAAUUGAGGUGCUUAAGUGAAUUAUGCGGACAACUCUAAGUGGUUGUUGAUGACUUAAGCCAAUUAGUUUUCUAGUUCUUGUUAUGUAUGUUUCUUUCAAAUCAAGUGAAUAAAAAAAUACAUGUAAAAUGAAAACUAGAAAAACAUUAUAUUAUACCUUUUUGUUUACUUCCAAGCUAAUAAUUCCUCUCAAAUGGUAGUUUGCCUUGUUGCAGAUUUACAAGAAGCAAAUGCUGAAGAACCUAAUUCACUGAUUGUUAGAUCAGCAAAUGUGAACUGUCAAUUAGUUUAUCAAAAGUUUAGAUCUGAAAUAGAUUAGUUUAAGUUUACUAUCAAUUUGAAUUAUUAAAGCCAAGUCUUUCUAUAUAAUUUCCCACAGCCCAUUAAAAUAUUUGCUAGUGGAUCAUUGACAAAAAAAAUACUCCCUCCAUUCCAUUUUAUGUAGCAACAUUUGACCGGGCACGGAGUUUAAGAAAUAAAUGAAGGCUUUGAAAUGUUUAUCAAAUUACCCCUUUAAAAAAUAGUCAUAUUAAAAAGUAAGAGAAAAUGAUCAAAAUGGUCCUUAAUGUAUGGGCUUUGAUUCCAUUUGGUCCUUAAUAUAUGAACUUCAUGGAAAUGGUCCUUUAUGUAUCAUAAAUUGUGAUCAAUUUGAUCCUUAACCCUAAAAUUAAUAUUUUAUAUUUUUUUUUGCCAUCAAAAUACACGGAAUAUGUAAAAUAUGCGCUCGUUCAAGACUUUCCUUCCCCUGUUUCCAAAAUUUCCAAAAGGGCACAUACAAUUUUUUUUUCUUUUUUCUUUAAAAUCGCUGCUGUGAAUUUUUUUUUUUAACAACGCUGGCCCAGUAGCGUUUUAAAAAUAGAAAUAGCUGCUAUAGUAGCCAUUUUCUUAAAAAAGUUUAAAUUUUUUUUAACUAAAAAUUCCCAAGGCGAGGAUUGCUUAAAAAAAUAAUGGGAACACGGCAACGAUUUCAGUAGAAAAAAUUUCCCAAUUGAGUUACUUUAUAAUUUUUUAUUGUAUACUUUUUGAUUGCUAGCAGCAAUUGGAAAAUAAUAAAUUCUUACUGAAAUCGCUGCCUUGGCAGCGAUUAUUUUAAAUCAAAAAGUAUACAAUAAAAAAUUAUAAAGUAACUCAAUUGGGAAAUUAGCGAUUUCCCAUUAUUUUUUUAAGCAGUCCUCGCCUCGGGAAUUUUUAAUAAAAAAAAAUUUGAACUUUUUUAAGAAAAUGGCUGCUAUAGCAGCUAUUUCUAUUUUUUAAACGCUGCUGGGGAAGCGUUGUUAAAAAAAAAAUUCACAACAGCGAUUUCAAUGAAAAAAGAAUUUUUUUUUGGACUGGCAGCGAUUUUUAUGAUUUUUAAAGGAGUAACGGCGUCAAUUUUGUCAGAAGAAAAUCGCUCCGUCAGGAGCGAUUUUGCCCUUUUGGUUAAAAAAAAAUUGAUGUGCCAUUUUGGAAUUUUUGGAAACAGGGGAAGGAAAGUCUUGAACGAGCGCAUCUUUUACAUAUUCCGUGUAUUUUGACGGCAAAAAAAAAUGUAUAUAUAUUAAUUUUAGGGUUAAGGACCAAAUUGAUCACAAUUUAUGAUACAUAAAGGACUAUUUCCAUCAAGUUCAUAUAUUAAGGACCAAAUUGAAUCAAACCCAUACAUUAAGGACCAUUUUGAUCAUUUUCUCUAAAAAGUAAACUCACUUUUCUCUCUCCUCAUAAAUGUAUUGGAGUAUUAUCUUUAAGAUUAAGUGAGACCAACAAGGAUAAAAGAGGAAUUGUACCUUUAAAUACUUACCAUAUAAGGAAAUGUGACAUUCUUUUUGGAACUGACAAAAAAGGAAAUGGUGCCACAUAAAAUGGGACAGAGGGAGUAGGAGAUUUCAUUUUGUAUUCUGUUUUAAAUUUUAUGAUUAUUAAUUAAAAUAUUUUUAUUUUUACAUUUAAAAAGUCUGAAAGGUUAAUUUUUUUUUAAUUUCAAUUUAUAAUUUAUAAGUGAUAAUAAAGAAAUUUACAAGCUUGAAACGUUGAAACAAAAUCUGAAGUAUGUAUAUUUAAUUUGAUGCACUAUUAUUGUGAUGCUUCAAAUAAGAGUAUCAAGUCAGAAAAAUGUUAAGUAUUCAAUUAGUCCUAAUCAAGUAAGGAGAUAAGGAAAAAAAUGGCAUGCUGAUGUUAUUUAUUAUCUAUAUCUAUAUUAACUUAAAAUUAUGAACUCCUUAAUUACAUUAUAUGGAAAGCAAACACAUUUUUACAUUAAAGGGUUGUGACUUUUCUUAAGAGUUGCAACUUUUCUAAUAAAGUACAAUAAAUACAUGUUCAUACGAUCCUUUGUUGACUAUAAAUAAAGAGGAAAUUUCAAGAAUAGCUAAGACUAGAAACAUAAUUAGAAAAAAUAGUUAUAAUUUGUUUAAUUGUGAUUUGUAGCUACAUGUUAAAAGGGCAGAGAGACGAUUGGGAGAGCUAGGAGAGAGGGCAGAGCAAGGAGGGAGGCAAGCGAGAGCGAAAGAGAGGAGAGAGGAAAGUGAGAGCGAAAGGAGAGAAGCGAAUUGUAUUUGUAUAUCUGUUGGUUAAUUGUAUAUAAUGUAUAUGCAUGUAUCAAUGAUUGUAUUUGUAUACCCACUGGAGAAUUGUGAAGGAAAAUUUUGACACGAUUAUUUAUUUGUGUUACAUAUAUCACAUAUACAUAAUUUGAUAUACAAGUGCAACACACGUAUCGAAAAACUAUUAUAUUAAAAAGAAAAUCCUUAAACUGGUGAAGCUCAUGCUUCCGCACACCAACGUGUCUCGCACCAAGAAACACCUAUUCAUGCAAUUAGAAGUGGGGCGAGGUUCGAACAAGUCUAUUUUGGGAUGCCAGUAUUCGUGGAGGUGUUCUGGCCCGGUUGAGGGAAUUGGUGGAAAUAUGGGGUAUAAUUCAGGGCAAAGUUCAAACUUUCUAGCUGUAGCUCCUCAAACUAGGACAGAUCCAACAUUGCCUGAUCUUAUUUUGAAAUCUUAUGUUUUUUUUUUUUUUUUGCAUUCUAUUCUACUUUUUGUAUCAGAAUUUUCAUAAUUGUGGUAUUACAUUAGUGCUCUAUUUGUACAGGACGUGAAUAUUUGAGACUGUCUUGAGCUUUCAAUUGUGAAUCUUUUUCAUUCCCAAAUUUGUUUAGUUGACCACCUUAUGUACAAUUAUAUGAUGUUAUUCAAAAUAUAGAUUUGGGACUGUGGUGAUGUUUUUUAGUUUAUGCAAACCUUUAACUUCCUCCCAUUUUAACCUUGUUUAUAAUUAAUUGUUCGCUAGAUUCAUUUCACAAAGUCUCACAUUGAGGGUAAGACAUACAUUCCCUAACAAAAGGGACUCUAUAUCCAGUAGGGCUCGAACGCGAGACCUCUAAUUAAGGAUCAAAGAGUACUACCACUCCACCACAAUGCUUGUUGGCAGUAGUCAUCUAACUGUCCAUAUUCUUAAAAAAAAAAGGGAUAGUUGCCUUUUUCAUGUUCUUAAAAAAAAAGGGGGAAUUGUUCAUUGAUGACUAUUCUUCAUCAGAUUCAGGCCAAAUGGGACAUAUAUUGAUUCACAAUUUGGCAUUGAAACCUUCCAAUUGAAAAACUAGAAUCUUAUAUGAGAGAUCACAGACGAAAUAAGAUUCAUAACUAACAAAAAACAGGAAAGAAAGCACACAACACAUUAAAUUAAAAUAUGUCCAGUGCCAGCAAUGAAAAAAACCAGUAACAAGUUUGUUUAUUUGAAGCAGUAAUCAGAUGAACUGAGACUGCAAAUGCAUGCGUUGCGUUGUUUCCUUCUUCACUGUUGUUCUAUCCUUGUGUCCUUUGGGCAUUCUGCAAAUCAUAUAUAGUAUGAUUUAAAUUAAAUGAAGUAUAUAUGUAUGUAGGGGUAAAGAUGUAAGAAUUAAUUACCUCUUCUUCAUACAUAUUAUAUAUUUUUUCAUUGAGACUAGUGAAUUAUGUAAAUUUGAUUGUGAUUGACGAUCAUUAGUUGUGGGGUCGAUUGAUAAACUCAUAUUAUAUAUUUUUUCAUACAUAUUCAUAUCACUCUUAUUGUUGGAUGAUAAUUAUUGGUUGAUAUUAUUCAUUGAGCUAUUUGUAAGAUUCAUAUUCUUAUCAUGCCGAUGAGAAAUGGUUCCGGCAAGUGACAUCAUGCAAAGGAUGGAAAAUGAUUACGGCGAGUGGUAUUGUGCCAAUGAGAAAUGAUUCUGGCAAAUGAUAUUGUGCCAAUGGAAAAUUUUUCCGACACGUAUAGAAAUCUCAUCCCCCUAGAUCUCGACUAUCUGACAGAAGAAGUGGGUGUAUACCGAUCUUCGGUCACUGUAUUGAAAUGAUUGUGAACUGAUUUGACUUGAUACAUUUGAGACAUCUUGUAAUAUCAUCCGUGGUGUAAUUGACUGUUUGGGAAAAGUAUAUAUGUUUUAAUUGUUAUGUUGACAUGAUUUAUUUUAUGAUGUAAUUACACUUUUAGAAAAAGAAAACUUCCAUUAUUUCAUUUCUUAUUGUGCAUAUAUGGUUCACUUUAAUAUCUAAUUAUUUUUUAUUUUAUUCUCUCAUCCAUUGUGAGGAUACGUCUCUAAUUUGUAUGCAAGUUAUGAGAGAUGAUGUUACAUGGUGUGGUUCGAGGCGUUAUGAUUUGGUUAGCAUAAUGACGAGAUAAUAGAAAUGGUGAUAUUGAGGAUGUUGACAUAGUAUGGAUAGUUCGUUUGAGGUGUGAUUUGAACAAGGAUGUUUUUAUUUUUUACAAUUUAUUGCGACAACCUUAUGACACAAUGGUACUUAUGAUAAGUCGACAAUUCAAUAUUGAAAGGGUAUAAUAUGGAUGUUAUGAAUACAACUGUAAUCUUGGAAGGAACAAUUGAUUAGAUAAGAGCAUAAUGAUCAUGAUUAGACUACGAUGAAAAGUUGAGGAAUAACAAAAAAAUGAGGGUGAUCAUUUAUGAUGAAGUAUUAGAUGGUAGGACUUGUUAUAAGAUAUGUAUGAAAGACUUUGUUUCUUACCUUUGGAGUGGAGGUAUACUAAGAAGAAUUCAAAUAGUUCGAAUUGGAUUAUACGGUAAUCACAAUGGUAAAAUUUCUUAUGAAGGGAGCCACAAUAAAGACUUAAGUAUAAAAUUGUAUGAGAUUAUGAAGCUAAGUUAAGUACCAAUCUACUAGAACACUUAAAGUAGUGAUUAAGGGUGUGUUUCGUAUGAAGGAAAAUGUUUUCCAUGGAAAAUGUUUUCCUAGAAAAUGUUUUCCUGGAAAACAAGUUGAUUUUUGACUUAUUUUCUCAUGUUUGGUUGGUGAGUAGAAAAUAUUUUCCGAAAAAGAUUUUUAGUGUUUGAUUUAUGAAUGAAAAAAUAUUUUUGAGAAAUAUCUUUUAUUUUUACUAGAGUAGAAAAUAAUUUUUGAAAUUGAAUUUUUUUUUUAAAAACAAACUUAAAUUUUUUUUGGGGCGUGGGGGGGUGUGGUAGGGGGUGGGUGAGGGGGAGUCGAGGGUAGGGGUGAAAAAAUGAAAUUUUGAAAUUAAAAAUAUUUUUUAAAAACAAACUUAAAUUUUUUUNNNNNNNNNNNNNNNNNNNNNNNNNNNNNNNNNNNNNNNNNNNNNNNNNNNNNNNNNNNNNNNNNNNNNNNNNNNNNNNNNNNNNNNNNNNNNNNNNNNNNNNNNNNNNNNNNNNNNNNNNNNNNNNNNNNNNNNNNNNNNNNNNNNNNNNNNNNNNNNNNNNNNNNNNNNNNNNNNNNNNNNNNNNNNNNNNNNNNNNNNNNNNNNNNNNNNNNNNNNNNNNNNNNNNNNNNNNNNNNNNNNNNNNNNNNNNNNNNNNNNNNNNNNNNNNNNNNNNNNNNNNNNNNNNNNNNNNNNNNNNNNNNNNNNNNNNNNNNNNNNNNNNNNNNNNNNNNNNNNNNNNNNNNNNNNNNNNNNNNNNNNNNNNNNNNNNNNNNNNNNNNNNNNNNNNNNNNNNNNNNNNNNNNNNNNNNNNNNNNNNNNNNNNNNNNNNNNNNNNNNNNNNNNNNNNNNNNNNNNNNNNNNNNNNNNNNNNNNNNNNNNNNNNNNNNNNNNNNNNNNNNNNNNNNNNNNNNNNNNNNNNNNNNNNNNNNNNNNNNNNNNNNNNNNNNNNNNNNNNNNNNNNNNNNNNNNNNNNNNNNNNNNNNNNNNNNNNNNNNNNNNNNNNNNNNNNNNNNNNNNNNNNNNNNNNNNNNNNNNNNNNNNNNNNNNNNNNNNNNNNNNNNNNNNNNNNNNNNNNNNNNNNNNNNNNNNNNNNNNNNNNNNNNNNNNNNNNNNNNNNNNNNNNNNNNNNNNNNNNNNNNNNNNNNNNNNNNNNNNNNNNNNNNNNNNNNNNNNNNNNNNNNNNNNNNNNNNNNNNNNGGAAAACAUUUUCCGGAAAAUGUUUUCCUUCAUACCAAACACACCCUAAAUGGUAGAUAUUCGCAUAUUCCACCUGUGAGAUGUCUUUCGGAAGUUAAAUUGAGGAACAACAAUAUUAGUUGAAAUUAAUGGAAAACAUGAUUUGAUUUUGGGCAAAGAUACUUGUAUAAAACUAUGUGAGAAUAUUCAUAGAGACGUGUAUAAUGGUAAAGGAUCGGCAUACAAUUCGUGGACUAAGUUGUGGUGGUUGGAAAUAUUAUAUCGACAAAUAACUAACUCUAUUGAAGUAACCAAGAUUGUCCCAAGUAUUGUUCAGUAUGCUCUCGAUCUUCUAUAGUUUUAUUUUGAUCAUGGAUAUAUUUCAUUUUAUAUAUCUUCUUUCAGAUUUGAAUAUAUUCUGUGACUCUUCUCUGUAUUUGUAAGUAUCUCGACACCCUAAGAUGAUUCUUAGUGGCGAUUACAUCAAUCUCAAGUUAUUAAUAUGAUAGAACAAGACAUUUGGGAUAGACUUCAUUACUUAGUCCACUAGACUUUCUUAUGGACUACUAUUCGAAUAAGCGUUAACAUUGCCAUGUAAAGCAUACUAAUAAUAUUGUUACAAAAUAAUUGCUAGAAAAGUAACCAACUUAAUUACUACUCCCUUCGCCCUUUUAAGUUGUCAUAGUUUUUAUUAAGAGUCAAACAGAUAUGAAUUUUGACUAAUAUUUUAAGGUGUAUUUUUAGGGGAAAAAAUGUAUUUUAUAGUACUUCACUAUAUAAUUUUUGAUUAUCUAAAAUUUAAUUUAAAAUAUCGAAUGAAUGUAAUCUAAUUUAACUCUGAAAAUUAGUCAAAUUAACUCUUGAAAAGCGCAACAUAACAACUAAAAAGGAACGGAGAAAAUACUCCCUCUAUCCAACAAUAGCUGUGUGACAUCUUGCAAAUUGAAAUAACUAUGAAGAAGCUUGAAAUUUGAAAUAGUCAUUUUUGGAAAGAAUUCAAAAUCUGGAAAUUUAGUUAAGUAUGGAAAAAAAUGAGUUUUUGGUCAACUUUGAGCAGUCAUAACUCCUAGCUAAUGUUGUUGCUGAUUCUUUAAGUAGCUUGUCUAUGGGUAGCACCGCCCAUAUUGAAGAAGGAAAGAGAGAGUUAGCAAAAGAUGUGCACAGACUGGCACGCCUGGGAGUCAGACUUAUAGAUUCCGCAGAAGGAGGAAUAGAAGUGACGAGCGGGACCGAGUAAUCAUUAGUGUCAGAAGUGAAAGAGAAACAAGACCAGGAUCCCAUUUUGCUUGAGUUGAAGGCAAAUGUUCAAAAGCAAAAAGUAUUAGCUUUUGAACAAGGGGGAGAUGGUGUAUUGAGAUAUCAAGGUAGAUUGUGUGUACCUAUGGUGGAUGGACUCCAAGAGAGGAUCAUGGAAGAAGCUCAAAGCUCCAGAUAUUCCAUUCACCCGGGUUCCACAAAGAUGUAUCGUGACUUGAGAGAAAUUUUUUGGUGGAAUAGCAUGAAGAAAAGUAUUGCUGAAUUUGUUGCUAAAUGUCCAAAUUGCCAGCAAGUGAAAGUUGAACCCCAAAGGCCCAGUGGUUUGGCUCAGAAGAUAGAACUUCCUGAAUGGAUGUGGGAGAUGAUCAAUAUGGAUUUCAUCACAGGGUUGCCAAGGUCUCGCAGACAGCAUAAUUCUAUUUGGGUAAUUGUCGACAGAAUGACAAAGUCAGCCUAUUUUCUACCGGUAAACNNNNNNNNNNNNNNNNNNNNNNNNNNNNNNNNNNNNNNNNNNNNNNNNNNNNNNNNNNNNNNNNNNNNNNNNNNNNNNNNNNNNNNNNNNNNNNNNNNNNNNNNNNNNNNNNNNNNNNNNNNNNNNNNNNNNNNNNNNNNNNNNNNNNNNNNNNNNNNNNNNNNNNNNNNNNNNNNNNNNNNNNNNNNNNNNNNNNNNNNNNNNNNNNNNNNNNNNNNNNNNNNNNNNNNNNNNNNNNNNNNNNNNNNNNNNNNNNNNNNNNNNNNNNNNNNNNNNNNNNNNNNNNNNNNNNNNNNNNNNNNNNNNNNNNNNNNNNNNNNNNNNNNNNNNNNNNNNNNNNNNNNNNNNNNNNNNNNNNNNNNNNNNNNNNNNNNNNNNNNNNNNNNNNNNNNNNNNNNNNNNNNNNNNNNNNNNNNNNNNNNNNNNNNNNNNNNNNNNNNNNNNNNNNNNNNNNNNNNNNNNNNNNNNNNNNNNNNNNNNNNNNNNNNNNNNNNNNNNNNNNNNNNNNNNNNNNNNNNNNNNNNNNNNNNNNNNNNNNNNNNGGACCUUACCGCAUAGCCAAGAGGAUUGGCAAUGUUGCUUAUGAGUUGGAGCUACCACAAGAAUUAGUAGUGGUUCAUCUGGUAUUUCAUAUCUCCAUGUUGAAAAAGUGCAUAGGCGAUCCUUCAUUGAUCCUACCAACUGAAAGUAUUAGGAUCAAGGAUAGCUUAUCUUAUGAGGAGAUUUCUGUUCAAUUUUUUAUCGCCAAGUUCGUAGGUUGAGAACGAAAGAUGUAGCAUCAGUCAAGGUCCUUUGGAGGAACCAAUUUGUUGAGGAGGCUACUUGGGAAACCGAAGAGGACAUGAAGAAGAGAUAUCCAUAUCUCUUUGAUUCCGGAAGAAAUGCAGAUCAAGGUACUAAUUUCCUUCUUAGUGCUCUUUAAAUUAUAGUGAGCAUGUUGUUGUUGUUGUUUGCAUGAUUGCUUGUUUGGUGUUUGAGUUGAUGUUACACCCUCAGCCUUGUAAGAGUAAUCUCAUUCGAGGACGAAUGUUUCCAAGGGGGGAGAUAUUGUGACAUCUUGCAAAUUGAAAUAACUAUGAAGAAGCUUGAAAUUUGAAAUAGUCAAUUUUGGAAAGAAUUCAAAAUCUAGAAAUUUAGUUGAUUCUGAAUCUGACCGCACUUUCCUCAGGUCGAACGGCUAGAAAUAAGGGAAAGGUCAAUUCAAUUUUCGAUGGAAACGGAAUUUUGCGAAUUCUCCCCCGAACUGGAAGAUCAUUUCGAGAUCUUCGAACAUAUUCGAGGGUUCAAUGUUAUUAUUGUAACUUCGGCCAACACACAAGAUGAGACUUUACCAACCGUGGAGCGGCUUUUUGCAAAAAGAUGAGGGGGAAACUCAGUAAGAUGUCGGAGAAGCGAAAUAUAAAGUAUGGAAAAAAAUGAGUUUUUGGUCAACUUUGAUCAGUUAUAAAUCCUAGCUCAGGAUGAGUUAGGUGAAUUUCCAGUUAUUCUUGAAAAGCUCUUGGAAUGAUAUUUCCAACGCCGCCGAGUUUGCUCGAUUUCGAGUUCGUAUGAGUGAGUUAUGCCCUAUGGAAAUUGGUUUGUUGGCACAGGGCAGUUUAGUCCGUAUUUGUAAGGGUAUUUUGGUCUUUUCCCAAACCUUUUCUUUUGGUUAUAUUAAGGUUUUAGACUGAUUUUAAAUCAGUUUUUCCUUUUUAAAGUGAGAGUUAGGGCUUUUGAGAGAAGAGAAAAAGAAGAGGAGAAAGAAAAGAAGAAGCAAGGAUUCGUCAAGAUCGUCGGGGGUGAUCCCUAUUAAGGUAUGUAAGAUCAUAGUGUUGGGUUGGUUCAUUCCCCCACACGCCAAACUCAUUUUAAUUCCGAGAAAAGAUUGGUUGUGUUUGUUGAAGUUUGUGGUUGUGUUUGUUGAAGUUGUGGUGGCGUUGUUGAAGUUUUCUUGUUGGUUUGGUGCAUGUUUCCGGUUGUGUUUUCGAGUUUAAUCUAUUGUAUGUUGAGGGUUUAAUGGUUAUGAGAGUUUGGGGAAAGAACCUUUGUUGUUGAGAGGGUUUAGAGUUGGAGAAAUUAAGGAGAAAAGUCGGAUUUUCUGGGAAAAAGGGCUGGGGCGUCGCACCAGCCAGCGCGCCCCAAAAGGGGCUCUGAGGUUUUCCCCUUGGGGAAGCGCACCAUGCAGAGCGCCCAGCAGACCCCUCUGAAGUCUGAGGGCAGUUGUUGUUGAAGUUGUUAGUUGUUGUUGAAGUUGUUAGUUGUUGUUGAUGUUGUUAGUUGUUGUUGAUGUUGUUAGUUGUUGUUGAUGUUGUUAGUUGUUGUUGAUGUUGUUAGUUGUUGUUGAUGUUGUUAGUUGUUGUUGAUGUUGUUAGUUGUUGUUGAUGUUGUUAGUUGUUGUUGAUGUUGUUAGUUGUUGUUGAUGUUGUUAGUUGUUGUUGAUGUUGUUAGUUGUUGUUGAUGUUGUUAGUUGUUGUUGAUGUUGUUAGUUGUUGUUGAUGUUGUUAGUUGUUGUUGAUGUUGUUAGUUGUUGUUGAUGUUGUUAGUUGUUGUUGAUGUUGUUAGUUGUUGUUGAUGUUGUUAGUUGUUGUUGAUGUUGUUAGUUGUUGUUGAUGUUGUUAGUUGUUGUUGAUGUUGUUAGUUGUUGUUGAUGUUGUUAGUUGUUGUUGAUGUUGUUAGUUGUUGUUGAUGUUGUUAGUUGUUGUUGAUGUUGUUAGUUGUUGUUGAUGUUGUUAGUUGUUGUUGAUGUUGUUAGUUGUUGUUGAUGUUGUUAGUUGUUGUUGAUGUUGUUAGUUGUUGUUGAUGUUGUUAGUUGUUGUUGAUGUUGUUAGUUGUUGUUGAUGUUGUUAGUUGUUGUUGAUGUUGUUAGUUGUUGUUGAUGUUGUUAGUUGUUGUUGAUGUUGUUAGUUGUUGUUGAUGUUGUUAGUUGUUGUUGAUGUUGUUAGUUGUUGUUGAUGUUGUUAGUUGUUGUUGAUGUUGUUAGUUGUUGUUGAUGUUGUUAGUUGUUGUUGAUGUUGUUAGUUGUUGUUGAUGUUGUUAGUUGUUGUUGAUGUUGUUAGUUGUUGUUGAUGUUGUUAGUUGUUGUUGAUGUUGUUAGUUGUUGUUGAUGUUGUUAGUUGUUGUUGAUGUUGUUAGUUGUGUUGUUGAAGUUAUUGUUGGUUGUGGGACAUGAUUGGGUUGUGUAUUUGAGUUAUAAUUUAUUGUAUGUUGAGAUAUUGAUGAUCCUUAGUGUUUGGGGUUAAAUCCAUUGAAGUAAGGGUGGUUUAAAGUUGAGGAAAAGAGGGAGAAAAAUCGGGUUUUCUGGGGAAAGGGCUGGCGCCUGGCAGAGUGCAGAGUGCCCAGCAGUCCCCUUUGAAGUUGAGGGCUGGUUCUUGGCAGAGUGCUCAGCAAUCCCAUUUGAAGUUGAGGGCUGGCGCCCCGCGCCUCUUAGAGCGCCAAGGACGCCAAUCCUUCCCGUUACCUUAAUUCCCCACUUUUUCAUACAUGUUCCUAGAUAUUAUACCUAUGUUUCCUAGUUGUUUCCAACACUCCAAGGUACUUCUAAAAGUCAAGAACUCAUCCGUAACAUGUGAUCAAACAUCUUGAAUCCAAAAUUCCAAUUCAAGGAGAGUUAGUUAGAAGUCAAGUGAAGUUAGAAAUUAAGAGUUAAGCUUAGAAGUUAAGCAAGUUGUAAAGUUGUUCAAGAGUAUUCAUUGAACAUUUUAACUUCAUUUUUAGACUCAAGUGUCAAGUCAAGCAAAGAGCUUAGAGUUUCAAGCUAAGUAAAGAGUCUCAAGUUUCAAGUUGAGUAAAGAGUUUAAAGUUGAGUUCAUUUUCUCAAAGUUAUUAGGGAACUAUGUAUUCCCAAAAAAGUUUUAAAGAAAUGUCUUUACAUUUAAACAAGGUUGGAAACUGAAAUUUCCAAAGAGUCUUCAGGGCUAGUUUUUGAGUAAUUAUCUCAUAUCAACAGGAAGAAAUAUGUUUUAAAAACAUAAGAGCCAGUACAUUUUUGGGAGUAGUAUCGAGCACCGAAUUGGGGGAGCGUUCAAAGAACCCACAGCCCCCAUAGAACCAUGUUAGCCACCAUGGGUAGAAAAGGAUCAUACUCUUUAGAUGAAUCCUUUUCAUAUUAGACUAGUGGAUCCAUUAGGCAGUUCAGGUCCUAUACCUUUGGCCGGGAAUAGGAUACUCUGGCAGCGUGAGGUCGAUCGAUGUAUCAUCACUAUAGCUCUCAUGUGAUGGUUGUCGGUUAGAGAAACUCCCACAACAGUUAUUGUAUUUCAUACACAAAGAUUAUUGUAUUUUUAUAUACAUCAGUUCAUUGUAUUUCUAUAUACAUUUCAGGCUUAUUGUAUCUUUGUAUACACACAGAGUUUAUAGCAUGUUUUAAACAGUCUUUCUUUAUAUCGCACUUGUUUUAAAUUGCCUUAUAUUGAAAUCGCAUACUCGUACAUUCCAUGUAUUGAUGCCAGUUGGCCUGCAUCUUAUUAUGAUGCAGACGCAGGUACCCAGGAUCAGCAUCCAGCAUGCCGUUGAUCCAGCUGAGCACUCCAGAGUCAGUGGUGAGCCUCCUUGCAUUCCGGAGGACUCAAUUAUUUUAUGUUCUUAGUUUUGUUUUAUUAGGGUGUUGCGGGGUCUGUCCCAACAUCCAUUUCAGUAUUUUAGAGGCUUUAUGGACAAACAGUCAGUCAGUUAGUUUUGAGUCUCUCAUCUAUGUAUAUAUGUAAAUAUUCUAUUUUGAGAUUCGAGUUGCCUUUAUUGCCAUAUUUUAUAAGUUAAGUUGUUUUGUGAUAUUGCAUUGCAUUGAGUUAUUCUAUUGGGUUAGGUUUCCGCUGAGUUAAGAAAGCCAGGCCAAGGGUUCGCUUGGGGCCAGAAAUGGUCUCAGGGUGCCGGUCCCGCCCAGGGUGUAGGCUCGGGGCGUGACAUCUUUUAUUGAACAUUUUUCACUUCGUUUUUAAGGCUCAAGUUUCAAGUUAAGCCAAGAGUAUAGAGUUGAAUUCAUUUUCUCAAAAGCUAAUAGGGAACUAAGUAUUCCCGAAGAAGUUUAUAAAUGUUUUUUUUUUACAUUUGAGUAAGAAAGGAACUUUGUUUUCCAAGAGAGCCUUUGGGCUAGGCUUUGAGCAAUUAUCUCAAACUAAAGAAAGAUGUGUUUAAAACACUUAUGAACUAAAGUAUAUUUUUUGGGAGUAGUAUUGAGCACCGAGUUGGGGACGCGAGUUCAUAUUAACUCAACUCUCCAUAAGAACCAUGUGGCCAACAUGGGAUCUAACGGGUCAUUCCUUCUAGAUGAUCACGUAAGAUAAGCUAGUGGAUCCACUGAGUUAAGCAAGGUCCUAUAUCAGGGCAAGGUAUAGGAUGGUCCUUGGGCAACAUGAGGUAAAACGUUGUAUCAUCACUAGGGCUCAUAGUGGUGGUUGUCGGUUAAAGAAUCUCCCACUAAAGUUAUAUUACUUUUCUACAAGUAAAGUUAAGUUGUUAUUGCUUUAUCCUUAACAACUAAGUUGUUUACACUAUUUUACAAGCUUUAUGUAUUGCAUGUGUCUUAUUGCUUUACAUUUGAGUUCAGACAUUCAUAAGUCGAACAGAGCUAAGGUAAGUGUUCUCUUGUACUUCUUUCAAGCUUAAGUUGUGGUUUAACUUUCCAUCUUGCAUACUCGUACAUUCAAUGUACUAAUUCUAGUUAGUAUGCAUCUUAUGAUGAUGCAGACGCAGGUACCUAGGAUCAGCAUCCAGCACGCCGUUGAUCCAGCUACCAGAGUCAGUGGUGAGCCUCCUUGCAUUUUGGAGGACUCGGUUAUUUUGUUCUAUUAGGAUGUUGCGGGGUCUGUCCCAACAUCUAUCUCAGUGUUAUAGAGGCUUCAUAGACAGUCCGUCAGUCAGUUAGCAUUGAGUCUCUCAUCUAUGUAUAUAUAUAAAUAUUCUAUUUUGAGACAAGUUGCCUUUUGGGCCAGAUUUUAUCAGCUAGGUUGUUUUAUGACCUUUCAUUGCAUUGAGUUAUUUAGUUGAGUUAAGUUUCCGUUGAGUUAAGUAAGCCAGGCCAAGGGUUCGCUUGGGGGCCAGCAUUGGUUUUUGAGUGCGGGCCACGUCCAGGGUGUAGCCUCGGGGCGUGACAAGUUGUCCAUUAUAUUAAAAAUAGUUGUCCAACAAUACUAGUCCAAUUUAAAAAAUCAAAAGAUAAUGUAACUUUUGGAUCUAUUUUACCCUUGCUAUUAAAUAAUAUUUAUCAUCUAAUACAUUUUUCAAAAUAUUAAAUUUAACAAAGUCAAAGGAUAAAAUAGUAAUAUUACUACUAUUAUUUAUUGUUUCUUAAGGGGUGUGUCAAAUUAAUAACGAACAACUAUUGUUGGACCAAGAGAGUAUUAGUUUGUACUUUGGAACAUGUAAAAGUUUUAGUAGACAUACCGUUGACUUUCCUUUUUCCAUUUAAUCUCUAACCUCGAACCAACCUUCAAUUUCUAGAGAUUUGAUGUUUCAACUAAUCACAUGCACAUUUAAUAAGGAUAAAAAUUAGAAACACAAGUAAAAAGAACGGCAACAAGCAAGAAUUGUGAAUGUAAACUAUUAAAUUUAUAGGUUUUGAAUUAUUAAAAAUAUAUGUAGUUAGGGGUGUGCACUAUUUGGAUUAAACCGAAAAACCAAACCAAAUCAAACUGAAUUCUAGUUUGGAUUUUUGGUUUGGUUUCAGAUUUAGAAAAAUAAAAACCAAAAAAACCGAAUUUUAUAUAUAUAUAUAUAUAUAUAUAGAGAGAGAGAGAGAGAGAAUUAAGUUUGGAGUUAACCACUUUUGUCCCUUUUUAGUUACCUUCUAUGUUUGGACAUCUAUAAUUGAUAUACUUUUAAAUAUUGUGUUUUAAGUUUUACUUGUGAUUUAUAUUAAAAAGUAUAUUUAAGAAAUUUAAUAUAUAUAUAUUAUUUUUUUCCAAAUUGCAAAUAUAACUUUGUUAUGUUUCUAAUUAUUGACAUAACCGAUUAACCGAACCGAAAAAACCCAAACCAAAAAAGAGAAAAACCAAACCAAACCAAAUUUAUUUUGGUUCGGAUUGGGGUUACACUUCUUCAAAACCAAAAACCGAAAAUCCAAACCGAAUAGUAUAAAACCAAACCGAAAAAUCGAAUGCACACCCCUAUAUGUAGUAAAUAAUAAUUUUGGAUAAAUACAUGAUAUUUCUAUAGAGAAAAUCUUCAACCUUAAGAUGGUAGGCAAAAAAUGGUAAAAGCUCCUACAUAUUAUUCUAUAUAUCCAACAUAUACAUUCUAUAAUUAUCAAGUCAAAAAUAUAAACCAUUUUUCUGGUUCUUAUGUGUGUAUGUAAUCCACAAAUAAAAAUAAAAAGGAGUAUUACUCUCUCUGCCUUUGAAUUCAAAUAUUACAUGUAAAAUGAAAUAGAAAGAAAAAUAUUUUACCUUUUUCUCUACUUCCAAGCUGUUAAAACCAUGAAAAUUAACAAGGAAAUGAUGAAUGUGAUUAUUCUGAGAGAGCUCACAAUAAAACUUAAAUGCUAAUUAAGGCUACCUUGAAUCUAUAUGACUAUAUAGCCAUACAUACAAUAAGAGAAAAAUGACAAAAGGUUAAGUUGGUCAAUAGCUCACAAUACCAUGUUCUAACAGUUUUAUAUUUCUAUUUAAAUUUUUGAAUUAGUCAACUUUUUUUCUAUUUAGUUUAAGUGAUAAUAAGAAUUAAUAUCUUCAAAAAUAAAAAAUAAAAUCCGACUUACUAAUAGUUAGUUCUAUCAAGAAUUUUUUGAUAAAAAUUGUCCACAUUCCUAAAAAUUUCUCUUUUUUUUGGUUUCCCAUCAUGUGUUUGGAGCCCACAUUGAAGUCCUGACUAAAUCCAGAUCGCGCACUGCAGGGCUCAUUCAAGGAAUACCCAGGACUCGAACUCGAGACCUCUGAUUAAUAAGGAUAAAACACUCCACACUCCUAAAAAUCUUUCCAUUUAGUCAACUAAACAGACUAUGGAUCUGCCAAUAAAAUAAAGGAUCCAUUUAGUAAUUAAAAUUAUUUGUUUAUUUUGAAAUAAUUUUUUUAUUUUAUUUAAAUAUUGGGACAAGGCACAAGUAUCUCCUAGACUAUAACCGAAAUCUCAGAGACACAUCUUAACUAAACCAAGGUCAUAUUACCCUGAACUCUUUAUUUUGUUAAUUUUAUGCACCUUUUGGCUUACGUGGGGCACUUCAUGACUCCAUGUAGUUGAGGCGCGUGGGAGAUGUUUGGAUGCCACGUAAGCCAAAAAGUGUACACAGUUAAAAAAAAAGAUGGGUUUAGGAGGGUAAUUGAACUUUAAUUUAGUUAAAAUAUGUCUCUAAAAUUUUGGUCAUAGUCCAAGAGAUACUUAUGUCUUAUCCCUGAUAUAUUAGUGUAAAUCUAUGAUGAAAUGCCUUCUAAAUUAACCCGGGAAAUGUCAACUGAUAAAUGCUUAUUCUGUUAUUCCCUUGCAAAUAUAUUUAUGGAGACUGUCAGCAAUCAUUUCGAUUUUCGAGUAGAAAGACUUGGUUUUAAUAAUUCAAAAUAAUUAAUCACUUUUAGAUCUAGACUUUGAUUAGACUAAUUGAAUGUUCACGUUAAGGCUGCAAACAUAAAUCAAACAUUACAUAUUCUACAAGAAGUACUAUUGGGUCAUUUGCACUUUUAUCCUUGUUUUAUGCUGCUCUUUAAUUUUUGCUUAGUGGAGUUAUCGUAUCGUAAAGAUGGUUAGACGAAUAUUAUUCAUUGAUCUCAAAUUGUAUAUCCUAACACUUAAUUGAAAUCAUAACUUCACAUAACACGUUACAAAAUCACAAAUGCAAACUUAGCUUAAUAGCUUCCGCUUAUCGAAGUUAACAUGAUAUGAAAGCGCAUGUACGAAUCUGCACUAAUUGAAGAAUUGAUCGUAGUAGCUUAAGGACAUAAAUCUAGUCUAGGUAACAUAAGAGCAUAAAUUGAUCAUAAUCAUCCACUUUAUCUUCAACCUAAUGAUACUCCAUGUAGUUCUCUCAUCCCUCUUCAGUUAAUUGGAUCCGAGAAUUAUGACCAUUUUUUCUAACAGAAUUUAGUGGUAUCUAAAACUACGAUGUCAUCGAACCACUCAAUAGCAGUAAAAUACAUUUAGAAUACUAGAAUUUAGUAGUAGAAGAAGAAGUCGAGAGAAUCGUUGUUGAAGAAUAAGAAUAAAUCCCUCUAUUUAUGGACAAUAAAUGAUAGUGUGAACAUGUGUUUAUAGUGCCUUAUCGGAACCCUUUAGAAAAGUCAAAAGUCAUAACCCUUCGUAAAAAUCACACCUUACGGAAAAAUCACAAAUCUUCACAAAAAUCACAACCCUUCAAGUUAACAAAAAAACUAGAAUCUUAUAUCAGAGAUUAGAGACGAAAUAAGAUUCAUAACUAACAAAAAAACAUGAAAGAAAACUCUCAAAACAUUAAUUUUGAGCAUCUCCAGAACCACGCAGAUGAACUGAGACUGCAAAUGCAUGUGUUGUUUCUUUCUUCAUUGUUGUUCUAUCCUUUGGGCAUUCUGCAAAUUAUAUAUAGUAUGAUUUAAAUUAAAUGAAGUAUAUAUGUAUGUAGGGGUAAAGAUGUAAUAAAUUAAUUACCUCUGUUUCAUCCUCUUCUUCAGCUUCUAAUUCAUACAACACACCUGAUAAAUAGACUUGAAGUCUGUCCUCUCCUGCGAAAUCUAUUAUCUGUUUCUUAAUCUCAAUGGCUGAAUCUUUAACCGCACGGUUCACAAUCAUUAAAUGAAUGGACUUUAAAGUUUCUAUAUCCGCAAAUGCACAAGGGAUCUCCGUAAACUCCUCACAGUAUUCUAGUUUUAAUUCCUCAAGCUUGGGAAAAGUUUCCUUAUCAACUUGCCAUUCUGAAAGGUUGACCAUUUGAAAACUCAAAGUCUUAAGACUUCGAUAGAUGUCCUCACUUGCAUACCACUUAUCCUCCACGAAAUCAGAGAACAUAAUCGCCAGAAUUUCAAGCUGAGGCAAUGCCGUGAUUGCUGACAACAAAGCAGGUCUCACGUGAACACCAAACAACCGUAACUCUUUCAAGCCGCUAGGGAAGUGAUAUUCAUUGGGAUAAACAUAAUCAAUCCAUUCGUAUGCUAUAAAGAGUGAUUCAAGUUUGUUAAGGACAUCAAACUUGGGAAACCAAUCAUCGUGUGUUAGAGGAUCCUUGGGUAUCCAGAUGAUGCACUCAAGGUGUUGAAGAUUUGGGAACUUCUUCAGAGCAUCAUUCGUGCCUUCAAAAUAUGAGAUAUCAACAUGGGAUAAAGUUGUCAGCUUUGAAUUCUCACCUUCCAAUAUUCUACUUUGGAUAUUGUCCUCCUCCUCUUCCUCUUCAAAGAAAGAACUCAUGUCAAUUUUCACAUGUUUCAGCUUUGACAGUUUUAAUAUUCUGGGCAGUAAUACCAUGGUGGAAGAUCCAGUAUUGAUCAACAGAGUUUCCAAAUUCUGGAGGUUCAACCACGACACUGGGAUAGCUUUUACACCUUGAGUCCGAAUCCUUAAGAAUCUCAAAUGAAAUAAGGACCCUAUUUCUUCCAUUAAAGAAUCUUCCAAAACAAUGCUAUCCAGUUGCAACACUCUAACGAGUCCAAAGGGUCUUGUGUGACAGACAUACCUGGAGUUAAGAAGCGAACCGCUAACUUUCAAAGAUAUGAGAUGCUUACUACCAACUGAACAAUUUUUAGAAUUGAACAAAACACAUUUUUUGUGGAGUUCGCCCGCCUCAGUAUGAAUGGCUAGACGAUGGUGUAGGAAAUCAGAAGCAUGAAAUCGAGCACCUGGAUUGAUUAACUUGAGAAACUUUUCCUUUUUCGCUUUUACUGAACAAAAAUCGUGCACAACAUCAUGCACAUAGCAAACCUUAAUCCUAACAGAAAAAAACUUUCUCUUCCAGUUGAGGAUAUGAUCCACCAUUAUCAAGUUACUGGAAAUUAAAGCAUCCAAGUAACUUUGAGUUGCUUCCUCUAAACUACACUUGGAUGGGAUAUCAUGAUCCACCAACCCUUCAGCCAUCCACAACUGCAUCAACUUAGAGACUGGAGUUCGUUUGCUCUUUCGAGAUUUUGCAAAGUAAAGCAACAACGGCUUCAGGUGGUAUGGUAAAUGGUCAUAACUUAAUUGCAUAACCAAAUUGAUGUUGGCAAAAAUAAAGGAAUCCAAAUUAUGUUGAAUUUUAAGCCACAAAUCCUUUUCCUCUUUCUUUCCUUUCCUUACUCUAACAAUUACUCCAGCAAUCAAAACAACAGCCAAUGGAAGCCCUUAACAUUUCUCAACUAUUUGGUGUCCAACUUCCGACAGUUCAGCAGGGCAGUUUCUUUCUCCAAAUACCCUUUUUUCAAAUAACUCCCAACUUUUUUCAGUUGUUAAAAGUUGAAGGUGGAGAGGAUCACUAUGGCAUUUAACUUUCAAACCUACCUCACUACUUCGGCUAGUUAAGAUAACUCUAUUUCCUCUCUCAACCUUUGGAAAACAUGCUAUUAACAUCUCCCCUGUUGCAAUAUCCCACACAUCAUCCAAGACGAUGAGGUACCUUUUAUCGUACAGUGCUACUCGUAGCUUUUCAGCAAGGCCAUCCUCACUUUCUUUUCCUCCCGAGCCAGUAACUUGCUGAAGAAUCUCCCCCAACACCUUUGACUUGUUAUACUUUUGGGAAACAGUGCACCAAGCACGAACAUUGAAAUGACUAGCAACUAACGUAUUGUUAUACACUUUUUUGGCCAAAGUAGUUUUACCGAGUCCUGGCAUUCCGACAAUGGAAAUGACAUCAAGCUCGGAUUCAUGUUUAUCAAGGAGCUGGUCAAUCAUCUUGGCUUCAUCUUCUUCAUGACCAACUGUUACCUCAACAAAAGAUGACGAGGUUGACUCAAUUGGCUCGUAGGAAGACUUUGCAUCAAGGGGAUCAUCCCCAUUCUUAUCUUCCAGCUGUAAACAUGUGACUUCUGCCACGAUAAGCUUGAUCUUAUCGGUGACCCUCGGAAGUGAGAAGAGGAGAUGUGAGAGAGCUUUAUCUCUGAUAAGAAUGGAAUUAAUGACAUGUUCUGCCUCAUAUGCCACAUCUAAAGCACGCAACCAACAAUCUUUAACUACUCCACUAGUACUGUCAUCCAAUGUUUGCCUGACUUUCUUGAAAGACGAUCUUAUGAAUUCAAGGCUUUCUUUUACCAUCCCAAUUUCUUUCUUUAUGAGAGAAACUGAAUAAGCAUUGGAAAUGAGCAAAUCAUUUAAAUGUCUGAGUAGAAGAUUCAUGAAGAGGAAACCAUCAUCCAUAGGAAAGCAAAGUUGAGAUGACUGAUCCGGGGCUUUCAAAAAAUUCCGUUUGAUAUCUCCCUUCAUUUGUUCAAUUUCUUGCAACAAGUCUGGAGCUGAAAAGUCCGCUUCAUUGAUAUUAUUCUCAGAGCUCUCCUCCAUGAGAAUAGAUAUCUUCCUUGUAAGUAGUGCGACAUGUGCCAACAUAUCGUUCAAUUUGUCAGGAUGGAUAAAGCGCUUUGGUAUAUUGGUGAGAAAGAUCAAUAGGAACUCGAUCAUGACAUUAAUACUUUGAGUUUGAGAGUAAUUGACAGCUACUGCACCUACCAUGUGUCCUUGGAGAUGAAUGAGAUAAUUUUGAAGAAUCUUUGGAGAUGCUUUUAGGAUUUGCUUAACAAACCUUUUUAGUUCAGUUGACCUUGAUUCUUUCGUGAGCUUAGAAGUAGAAAUGUAUAGAACCUCCAGCUCAAGAGGGAUUAUGUCGAUCAGUAGAGAAGAUACUUUGGAAGAGCAUUCAGAGACUUUUUUGUUGUAAUAGUAAUCAGAACGUGAUAUAUAGUUUCCAGUCCAAAUAUCAAAAUAGAAUUGUAGAAAUGUAUGGGCGAUGAAUUGGAAGCGAGGAAAGAGAUAUUGAGUAGUAGUUGUUUUGUUGGCCAGGAGGAUAGGAUAGAAAUCUGUCAGAUGACGGAAUACUUGGCGAAGAAUGUUGCAGUCAGUUUGACGACCGAGAUAUUCAAAGAAAUAAAAAGAAUAGUUUGGUAGAUCAUAUUGGACGUUUGUGAAGAGGUAUUCAAACAUUUUCUCCUCUGUGCUCAUAAUUGCUACAUUAUUCUUCAAACUUAAAUAACUUUCCAUCUCUUCCUGCAGCAGAGGGACAACACCAUCCAUGUUGUAUUUCUCUAGAAUUACUUCAUCAUUAUCUUCAUAGAAAAGUGACCAAAUCAUACCACACAACUUGUUUAUUUUCUUGGUCAUCCUGUAAUAAAAGUCAUCAUCCAAACUUGAAUCCCCAAACAGGACAAAUGUUCUUAGGAAUCUCAGUUCCAUUCUUAGCUUUUCAACGGCAUCCAAUUUUGAAGCAGUGAACUCUUCUUCUUCAUUCUUUAUUUUCUUCAACCCAUUCAAGAAAUCAUCAAUAAGAUUCCUGAUUCUGCUUCUUUUUUCCUCAAGUGGCACCUCCUAAAUUAAAACAUAGUCAUACGUAAUUAAAUUAAUCCAUGAAUAUUUUGGUGAUAUGAUUUCCGAAUGAUUUUUUAAAAAAACAUUUAUGGGACCCUCCCUAAUAAGUUGGGAGGAGUAAUAUGUAUAACCUCAUCAUGAUCCACAUACUUUUGGGCUACACAAUCAAUCGAAAAGUCAAAUAUGACUUAACAGUUCACACUUCUUAAUGAGUUUUAAUAUAUUGGGGUACCCUUUUAAUUGUUUAUCUUUUUAGCUUCGGUCAUUAAAUAUACUCAUUCACAACUUUUCAUGUACAUAUUCUCUCUUCCUUCAUAAAUUUGACAAAAAAUUAUUAAUUUACAACACUUCUGUAUUUUAUCAUCUUAUAAUUUUUAUAUAAUUUUUUAUUUAUUGGUCAUUGGGCCAAACAUGCAACACACAUUCUCAAAAUAAUUGUUACAAAAAUAUGUAAAACUAAUAGUAAUUGCUAGAAAAUAAGUAUAAUUUAUAUGUAAAACAUAAUUAUUACUAAUUUGGAGCAUGUAAAAGUAUUGAUAGACAUACCGAUGACUUUCCUUCUUUUUCCAUUGAAUCUCCAACCUCGAACCAGCCUUCAAUUUCUAAAGAAUUGUUUUUUCAACUAAUGAUCACGUGCAUAUUUAAUUACGAUAAAAAUUACGUAGAAGAUAGUAAUCACAUGCACAAGUAAAAGGAAAGGCAAGAAGCAAGGGUUAAGAAUGUUAAUUAUUAAGUUUAUAGGUUUUGAAUUAUAAUUAUACCUAGUAAUUUACUAUUUUAAGUAAAUACAUGAAUUGGUGAAAGUAACAAAUAGCAUGCCAAAAUGUAUAUUUUCUGUUCAUUAGACUUGAUAGGUUACUCAGAGUGGCACACAAGUACACACACUAAUAAAUUUUCAAGAAUUUGGACCAUAAUAUAUACUCCCUCUAUUCCAUAUUAAGACAAUGCACACAUAUAUAUUAAGAAAAACAUUUAAGAACAUAACUUUUACUAUUGUCUUUUAAGAAAUCAUAAAUAUAACUUUGUAAGUAGUGUAAUUUAUCUCAUAAAAAAUAUAAAACUCCAAUAAAUGAAAGGGUAAACAUGGAAAAAAAUUCAAACAUCCAUUUAAACUAACAAUUCAAUUAUUCUGAAUAAUGAAAAAAAUCUAUAAUUUUUUACUUAAUAUGAAAUUGAGGAAGUACUAGAGAGACGGAAUCUAAAUUUAUACAAACCAUGAGUGUGUUUGGUAUGAAAGAAAUUAUUUUCUUAAAAUGUUUUUUUUUAACUACUAGGUGGAUUUGUUAUUUUAGUUUUUAUAUGUUUGGUAUAUUUUCUAAAUAUUUAAGUAAUCGAACAUGACAACAUUAAAAAAUAUAAAUAUUUCAUCCUAAACACACUAUAGUAAAGUGUUUCCCGUAUCAUGAUAUAUUAAGAUCUUAAAUGUAAAAUCUAUAUAAACUACGUUAAAAGGUCUCUUCAUAUCAUGAUUAGUGACCUUAAUCUUCCUUUACAAACUUGGACCCUAUAUGGGUGUGGUUGGUACAAAGAAUUUCGACUUUCGUACUUACUAAACAUGAGAAAAUUGAAUGAAAAAAAUGAAAAACAGUGUAAAAAGGGUGUGGUUGGUAAUAAGGAUUUCGAUUUUCUAAUUCUUAUUAUGUAUGCUUCUUUCAAAUAAAAAAUACAUGUAAAAUGAAAUCUAGAAAAAACAUUAUAUUAUACCUUUUUGUUUACUUCCUUCCAAGCUAAUAAUUCCUCUCAAAUGGUAGUUUGCCUUGUUGCAGAUUUACAACACUUUUAUUGAGAAAAUUGAGUCAGCAAAAAGCAAGCAGCAAAUGUUGAAGAACCUAAUUCACUUAUUGUUAGAUCUGCAAAUGUGAACUUUCAGUUAGUUUAUCAAAGUCUAGAUCUGAAAUUAAUAGAUAAGUUUAAGUUUACUACUCCCUCUGUUU